rnacentral:lncRNA from 1 species
CAGUAAGAUGUGUUUGGUUCAAGUAUAAAAUGAUGGGAUUGGACAAUUUUAAGAUUAAAUAAUCCUAAUGCAAUGUUUGGUACCAAAAAUAAUUGUGGGAUAAAAAUAGUGGACCCCACCAUUUAAUCCAACACAAUGUCAAAAUUUUAUCACAAAGGGGGGUGUGGGAUAAGCUAAAACUUAAACGUAGGAUAACAAAAAAAAAGCCCAAAAUUUUAUACAACACAGUGAUUUUUUUUUUUUUUUGAGUAUGUCAUCAUCCAAUGAUAGUAUAUAUGCCAGAACACUCUUUUGACGUUAAUGAUAUGUAAUAUUUUCAUAUAUACAGCUAGUGACAUUGUUAUGUAAUUUCUUUUUCAUUUAUAGAUUUAUAUUAUUAUUAUAUUUGUUGAUGAUAUUCUUGUUAUGUUUAUAAUUAUAUUAUUUAGUAAUUUAUAAGUUUAAAAACUAUAACAUGUUAAAUAUAAGAAAAACUUUAAGCGAAGAUUUUGUAUUUUUUAACAAAUUUACCAAUAAUUUUUUAUUUAAGUUAGAUUAUAUUCCAUGUCAUUUUAAAAUAAAUCUAAGAUAAUUUUGAUAAAUUAAUAAAUAAGACAUAUUAUUAGUUACUAACCAAUUUCAUGGCAUACCAAACAUGAGAUAUGAUUAUUUACAGUCUAAUCCAACAUUGCACCAAACGUAAUAGAGUAUUAUAUAUAAUCCAAUGUUAUCAAAUCCAAUCAUAUCUUAUCCAAUCCGAUCCGAUCCAGUCUAAUCCAAUUUGACAUACCAAACAAGCCCUAAUUAUGUUAAAAACUACAUCAUUACCAAACUGACCCUUAAUACAAUCUCAUACAUACAUACAUAUAUAUAUAUAUAUUAAAAAUUAAAAAUUAUCUUUAUUUAGUUAGGAAAUAAAACCAUUAUAUUUAAAUAGAUUAAUAUUAUUACUAAUUAUAUUCAGAUAACAAAAUUAAUAAAAUAAAAAUAUUUGUUUGAUUUAUCAAUUAUUAUACACACAUAUUUAUAAAUGCAUGCGUAAAUAAAAUUUUAUAGAUUUAGGCCAAGGCGGAUGUACGGUACAGCAGUAUCUUUAUUUAGUUAGGAAAUAAAACCAUUAUAUUUAAAUAGAUUAAUAUUAUUACUAAUUAUAUUCAGAUAACAAAAUUAAUAAAAUAAAAAUAUUUGUUUGAUUUAUCAAUUAUUAUACACACAUAUUUAUAAAUGCAUGCGUAAAUAAAAUUUUAUAGAUUUAUGUCUAUUUAAAUCAUUUGCAUUCUUAUAACAUUUUAAAAAAAGAAAAGAAAAGUGAUUUACCAAAUACAUGUAAUUGUUCUUCAAACUUACAACACUUUUAAAAUAGAAUUUAAUAAAUGUUUAAUUAAUUUUUUCACAGCUGAUUAUUUUUAUGGUAUAACUAACAAUAAUCUAUAAACUUAUGGUAAAUAUUUGUGUGAAUGUUGGUCCAUGUAAAGAAGUAAAAACAACGCAUAUAUCAAGCAAUAAGAUAUCAAAACUCUUAGUAAAAUACAUAUACUAAUGAAAGAAUGACAGCAAUGCAAUAAAUAAGAUUAUAAUAUAAAUUAUUAAAAUUGUAUAUUAAAAAUUGAUGUAUGAAAUUCUUUUUAUUUUAGUGAUAGAUAAUGUGAUAUAUUUGAAUAAUUUGAUUAAAUGAAAAGAAAAAUAACAAGUAUGGUUGUGGAGGAAAUAAACCAUUGAACUGUGGAAUGUUAUUAAUUAUUGCUAUUUCAUUAUGUAACGUCCUGAUAAUAAGUACAGUGUUAUAGUAUAUUGAUGGGUGGUGAUAUUGUCACCCCUUAAAUUGUGUAAAGUCAACCUCAUUUACAAAUUUUUUGAUAUAAAUUAAAAAGUACAUUAGUUUUAAUAAAUUAUAUAUUUAUUGAAUAAACUAGAACCGUUAGGGAGCUGUAAUGUUAGCACUGUUUUAACUUAUUAUAAAAAAAAAAGUUAUGAUUUGAUCAUAACUCUAAUUUAGAAAAGAAAAAAGAGUUGAAUUGCUAACAUACUUAAAAAUAAAAUAAAAACAUUAUUAUUAGAUGAAAAAUUGUAAAACUUAAGGGGGCAUUUGCAAGUCCGCCACUACUCAAUAGAGCAUUAUUCAGUACUCGUUAAUAUAUCUCGAACUUUUAGGUUUUUUUAAUAUAUUUUUAAUACAUUUUCUAGAACAUUUAGAUAAAAAGAGUCAGUACUCCAAUUGAGUUGUGAAUAAACAUUUAGAUAAAAAGAGUCAAUACUCCAAUUGAGUUGUGAAUAAACUCAUGUUAAAAAAAAAAAAACUCAUUUUCACACUUGAAACGAUUAGUAAAUGGGUGAUACGAAUUUAACUUGGUCAAUAAUAUAUACCAUCUUAAGUUAACUUCAACUCAUUGAUCUUCUAUAGGGUUGAUCAGCCUGCCACAAGGCCCACAAAUUAUCACCUCUAAUGCUUUUGCAACAGUCGUUAUAAAUGCUGACAAAAUGAAACUUCUAUAUAUUUUGGUUUUUUUUUAUUUCUAUGAAAUAUAAGGCCCUUAUGGCAAAUUUCCAUCCAGCGUGAAAUUUGCUAGUUUGGCCUUGGUACUGUGGCACAUGCGUCAUGCAUGCGUGGCUGAGAUGCUUCUAAAACUAAUAAAUUAUGAAGAAUUCCAAAUUCGUACCAAAAAUAAGAGAAUAGGAGCUUGUCAUAGGUGUCCGCGGAUCGGAUUUUAUGGGUUAAACAUUAAUUCAUAUUUGAUUCGUGAUUUUGUAGAUUAUAAAUUUUUAAUUUAAUUCAAUUUAUGGAUUAGUGAAACUCAAUACAAAUUCAAUCCAUAUAUAUGCAAAUUAGAUGCGGAUUUAACCCAAUGCAUAUUCAAUCCAUCAUUUGGCGGAUUGAUUUGCAAAUUAAAAGUUUUUAAUUUUGUCCAAUCUAAAAAGUAAUUAAAUUAAAAAAAUCUAAUAUAUAAAUAAUUGAUUAAAUAAAAAAAUCUAAUGUAAAAAUAAUUUUACUACCAAUUAAAUUCAAAAUUGAACAAGAUUUAAAUAAAUUUAGAAUAAUACAUUCAAAAUUUUAAAAUAUAACACACCGAAAAAAAAAUUCAUUUAUUUAGAUCAAUACAUGAAAAUUAACUAAAAUUAUGAAUUUAAAUGUUGAAACUUGAAAGCUUGGAUGUAACAGGAAGAAUUUAAGAAACUUGAAGAGCUUGAAAAGAAAGUAAGAAAUUAAGUUUAAUUACCUCAAGUGGUGAAGUGAAACAGUGAUUGGCUUGUGCGUGCGGUGGGAUAGAGAUUUGGUGUUAUAUGUCAAAAUAUUUUGUUUGGCUUGGGGUUUUUGUUUUGCUUUAGAAAUUUUAAUGUUUAGGAAACUAUAUUUGCUUAUUUAAUUAUUUCUUAUUUUAUAUUGUUAUCGAAUAAAAUAUAAUAUUUUGUUAAUUUAGCUAUAAUUUUAUGCUGAAUAUAUUUAUUUAAAACGAUUUUAUUAAAUAAAUGUGCAUAUUUAACGAAGGUCUCUGAAAUUUCAACCUGCCUGCUAAUGAUAGCCAAUACGGCACGACCCACCAAAUGUCGGCCCACGCGGGCUUGUGGGCCAUGACGACUUUUUUUGUAAGGGCCCGGCACGGCCCACGGCACGAGUCCGUGCCCAAAAAAAGCCCACCUACCUUUUUUUUUUUUGUCCACAUGUUCAGCGUGCCUAAAAAAACCCACGUGCCUGACGUGCUUUUUUAAGCCCACCAGCCUAAUAGUAACAACAACAACAACAAUAAUAAUAAUUUCAUAGAAAUAAUUAAUGAAAAAUAAAAUAACAAUUCUAGAAUAACAAUUACAUCUAAUUUUAUUUGAACAACUAAUAUUAUAAUUGCACAUAAACUCUAUUGAAUGAAAAUGUAAUUUUUAAUUUAUUAUAAAAAUAUUUUGUUCAUAAUUUUAUUUUUUUGUGCGUAAAUAUGAAAAAUAUUUCAUUCACAAAUGAAACAUAUCUCCAUUAACUAUUAACUAAGUUAUGAUUUCAUAAAUGAAAUAUUAAUGUCGUAAAAUUUUUUAUUUAUCAUUUAUAAAAUCAUGAUAUUUAUUUAUCCAUUUAAUAAAUUAUAAACAUAAAAAAAUUAGAAUACUUAUUUAAACUAGGACUUAAAUUAAUUUUAAAAAGCCUAUACUAAAAAAAUAUAUUAAAAUUUUUAAUUUCAAGGUAUUUAUAAAAUCAUGAUAUUUUAUAUUUAUUUUUCAUUAAAAAAUUUUAUUUUGAUAUACUUUGGCCCACGUGCUAUUGGUGGCCCACGGGCCGCGUGCUUAGCCCACCAAUAAAGUGUGCUUAUUACAUGCCUUUUCGCGUGCCGUGUUUUGCCCCAUCUCUAAUCAUACCGUGCUUUUAAGGCCUGCGUGCCUAAAAUUCUAGGCCCGCCAGCCGUGCCGUGCCGUGCCGUGCCUCGUGCCGCCUGGCCCAUUGGCCAUCCCUACUGCCCGCCAACCACAUUUGUCCAAGAUCAAUUUGUAGGAAAAAAAUUUGAAAAUCAAUAAUUUAUUUAAUUAAUUGUUAAUGUAGGCAUUUGAAUCCCCACAAAAUCUGGGUGUCAGUUCUAGACUUCUGGUGAUAUAUUUUUCUAAUUAAGGAAUAAAAUAUUUUUGUCAUUUUUUUAAUAUUUUAAUUUACCAGGCAUAUCAACUAAUUAAUUUUUCUACUUAGACUAUUAAUUCAUUACGUGCGCAAUCUGUAGCCCGGCGCUCCAAUCCCAUGCAUGUUACACACAACUCAAUCAUUAUUUAUUUAUUUAUUUAUUUUGACCAACAACUCAAUGUUUUUUAUAGAGCUGUCAAAAUUUGACACGACCCGAUUACCCGACACGAACACGACAUAAAUAAAUGGGUAUGGGUCGUCAAAUUUAACACGAUUAUUAAAUGGGUCGGGUCCGGGUCAACACGAUUUUUUUCCGUGUCGGGUUUUGGGUUAAAAUUCUUGACCCAUUUACCCGAUCAAUGACCCGAUUAUAUUUUCUAUUUUAAAAUAAUUUACAUAUUCUUAUAAUUAAAACUCAAAUAUUAGAGAUGAUUUUCUUUUUUUUUAUUCUUUAAAAGGGUGAUAUAUUUUAUAAUAUCGAUAAAUUAUGUAUGUAUGUAUUUAUGUACAUACGUAUGUAUGAUAGUGUGGAAAUAUUUUAUGUAACUUUUGUUCAAUAUAUAGAUAUUAAACGGGUUAUUGGGUAACCCGAUUAUUUUUCCGUGUCGGGUUUGGGUCUCAAUAUUUUGACACGAUUAUUAAAUGGGUCGGGUUUGGGUCGACCUAAAUUUGACACGACACGAAACUGACACGACAUGAACACGACCCGAUGACCCGUUUUGCCAGCUCUAGUUUUUUAAUAUGAAAAGGUAUUGGUUAGCUUUGUCUUUAGUUUUUUCAACUUAUAAUAAGUUUGUAUUAAGGCUCCCUUUGGUACAGAUUUUCAAGUAAAACUUAUUUAGGGUUAUUUUUAGGGACCUCCCCUGAGGUUUGGUGUAUUAACAAUCUGAUAGAAAGUAUUCACGUAAUUACAAAGACCUCCCCUGACAUUUGUAUUAUGUUAAGUGGACUGUUAUUGACUAUUGAAAAUCCAAAAAUACCCUUCCUGCCAAAAUAUUUCUUUAUUCACUGAUGAACUGAUGGGUAAUUCGUGCCAAAAUCACAAAUUACUUAAGAAGAUGAAAAUAUCCAUUGGAUAAAAAAAAUGAAAUUGCUUAAUAAAAAAAUUGACAUUGCAUAAUAAUAAAAAAAAUUGAAAUAAUGUGCGGCGGCAUAGCUGCAUCUUGCAUGCAUAUUAUUAUUGUGAUUUUUUUAUUACAAACUCCAUCCUGCAUGCUUAUUAUUAUUGUGAUUUUUUUUAUUACAAACUACUUCAUAACUAAUACAUGCCACAAGAGCAGAGCUAUUAAAAGAAAUGAUUUUCAUAUUGUAAACUUGAUAGUACAGGUGUUGGCACCGACCAUAAAACCCUUAUGAUACCAAUCUUUGCUCCAUCCAUAUUUAAAUCCAGAUCAAGUAAAUAUUAAAUUGGAUUUCAGGUCCUGAAAAUCCCACUCUAUAAUUGAUAUCUUCGAGUUUUGUUGGUGCCUCAAACCUGGAUCUAGAGCAUCAUCUCUGUCAUACUCGGAACACCUAAACUAAUGGACUUGCUGCAGCUGCUUAUUCUUCUUCUGAAAUGAUGCACGCAGAUAGAUUACAGACUUUGAAAUAAGAAAUACAAUAAACAACAUGUAAUCGAACUUAAGAUUUCGGCAAACUUGUUUGAAAAUUAGAAUCAAACAAGGAAAAUGGCAAGUCAAUAUUUUUUAAUCUAGAAAAAGGGCAAUUUCAAAGUUUAUCACAUGCCAAAUUCAUAGUCUUGCAUCCACUAUUUUCUAGUUUGAAUAACAAACAAAAGCCUUAGACAAAAACACAGAGAACAUCUCACAUGGGAGCAAAAAUUGUGUGUAGAACAAUAUACUUAAGUUACAUGUGAUUACAAUCACAUUAUUUAGCAAAUACAAAAUUACCUUCUCAAAAAAAAAAAAAAAAAAAAAAACACCACCAAAUUAUUGAAGGUAUUACAACAAUAAGGCAAAAGAACACCAAAGGCAUGCACAAACCGAAACUAACACACAACUCAAUUAGUGUCAUGACCCCAAACUGAACAAUCAUAUAAACCAUUGUGGGCUCUCUAAAAGAUUAUCACAUUAUAAGCAAACAGAAACCUAUAUUUGAUGAACUACAUCUAGUACUUACACAACUCUUAAAUCAUUAGGAAAUUGCUCUUAUCAGUCAUUACCCAAUAGUUUUUUUCAACUCAACACUAACAACCCCAAAGAGAAACAACAUCCAGCACCAUUUUCAUUAAUUAAAACAGACCCAUUGUUAUUUUUAAUCAAUAAAAUAACAACAAUAUCGUGUAAGCCACUGAUUCAAGCAUUCAAGCUGUGUUUUCGAAGACUGACCUCUUCUUGCUAUCUAAUUCCAGUCACGAUAGACGCUAGAUGCCGGCAAUACUCGCUUCUUGGAAGCUCUGGACCACCGCACGACGUCAUCUUGUGCAGUAGAUGAAAAUAAAUCAAUGAUUUCAGAAAUUAUUUGUGAGUUGCAGACGCUUCUUCUCCAUGGAUGAAAAUGAUGGUGGGUUUUGUUCAAGUGUAAGCUGUGUUUACGAGGAGAAGUACACUUUGUGAAAAAAUCAUUUUCUUUCAUCUACUGGAUAAUGACUUUGGACUGGGUAAUGGUGUGUUUAAGUCUCUAUUUCACGGACAUUGAAGCAUAUUUUGCUUGAAUUUUGAUUUUGUUUAAAUUUCAAGUUUACUUUUACUUGUUUACCCUUUUAUACUGACGCUUAUGUAUUUUUAUACUAACGUUAAGGGAGGUCUUUGUAAUUAUAUGAAUACUUUCUAUCAGACUGUUAAUACAACAAACCUCAGGGGAGGUCCCUAAAAAUAACCCAACUUAUUUAAAUAGAACUUUUACAAAAAAAAAUUUAGUUAUUUGGUUGUCAAUAAACUUUUCAAGUAUACUUUGUUUGGUACAGCUUUUCAAGUAAAACUUAUUUAAGUAGAGCUUUUACAAAAAAAAAAAAAUUAGUUGUUUGGUUGUCAAUAAAAAUUUUUAUUAAAAAAAAUAUGAAAUUACUUUAUUAGUCAAGUUUUUUUAAAGUUAUGCUAUGAAAAGAAUAAAAUAAGAUUGUCAAAUAAAUAGAAAAUAUUUUAAAUAUUUUAACAUUUAAAAAAACUUUUUAACCUUUAUUUUCAAAAAUCUAAAAUUUAAACUUUUACUAGUAAAGGCAAAAUAAUUUAUUUAAACUUCAAAAGCUUUAUUAGAAAAAUAAUCAAACAAUAACAAAAAUUAUUAUAAAAGCUUAUCGAAUUAAAUAAGUACUUAUAGUUAUUAAAGAAGUUAUAUCUAACAGACACUAAUGCCGAAAGCCCCUUCUAAUUGUGGGUGUAAAAGUUUGAAUUAUGCAUACGGUUAAGGAGUUAAGGUGUGUUUGGCAACUGCAUUAAGUGGAAAUUUUUAUUUUGUUUCGAAUAAAAAUACAGCAAGCUCGUGUUCGGCUCAAAAUAAUGGAACGUUUAAUUUGCAACCGUCGGCGGACGAAGCACACCGUUCACGGCCCUUCGUAUAAAAUUGCAUAUGUAAACGUAAAUAGGUCCGGAUUCAGAUUCGUUGCUGUAGAGAGUGGCACGCACGAUCGGGCUGCUGUCGGUGGUAGGUUGGCAUUGGAAUUCUCAUCACGCGCUUCCCCAGGCGCCUACUUAUGGCAAAUUGACACGUGACGCGUGUGGAUUGAAUGGACAGAGUCCCGGGCAGUGUGUCCAAAGCUGCCAACCGUGCUCUGAUUUUUGUCAUCCAUAAUGGCUAACGACUAACGAGGGAGAUUUCCGGGCAGAAAGAAAUUGUUGUCGUUUCUGAAGGGGAAAAAAAAGUUAUUUAAUUUGUUGUUGAAGACAAAAUGAAGAUCUAAAUAAAUAAUGGCUAAUUUUGAGUGUAAAGCAACGGUAAAUGCAUUAUUAAAUUAGAUUUAGGGUCUGAUUGAGAUUAUUUUUAGAUUUAAAAUUAAUUUUGAAAAGUUAAAAUUAAUUUUGAUGUUUAUUAAUUUUUAUUAAAAAUUAUUUUUGUCAAAAUCUCUCAUCCUCCAGCAUAUUAUAAAAAAUAAGGAAGAAAUAAUUUUUUAAAAUUUAAUUUUAAGAAUCAGUUUUAUACUUAAUAUAAUCCACAUAUAUCCUCGUAAAUAUUAUAAAAAUUUAAAAUUAUUCUUAUUUAUUUAGGAUAUAAAAUUAUUAAAUUCAAACAUAUUAUUAUUAUUAUUAUUAUUGUUAUUAUUAUUAUUAUUAUUAUAAAUUCACACACGCACACACAUACUUAUAAAUUUAUAAAUAAACUUUAUUUAACAUUUUGUUCACUUAAAUCAUUUAUAUUCUUAUAGCAGUUUAACAUUAUGAUUUACCAAACACAGAUAAUUAUUUUUAAAAUCCAUAAUAUUUUUUAAAAUAAAUUUUAAUAAAUGUUUAACUUAUUAUUCUGACAACUGAUUUUUUUUGUAAGGUAUAACCAUUAAUAAUAAAUAUUUUAAAAGUUACAGUAUCCCCAAAUUGGCCCUUACUAAUACUCUGCGUUGCCAACUAAAUACUAAUUGUAACAUUAAACAUCUGGAAUAUUUUUCUCUAACGAAACAACACAAUUAAUUUCCCUCUAAAAAAGAAAAAGAAAAAGAAAAAAUAAACUACCAACCCCACCCCUUUAGACAGCAGAGUUUUAGCUGAGGCGGCUUGCUUGCAUAAGCAUUAAGGCUGCUCUUCACCAACCAUUGAACAUUCUUUCCAUUUGAUUGUUACACUUUACUUCGCCAUCUCAUGUCCAUGUACAUUGUUUUGAAAUGAAGACUUUGCGUACAACUAAUCUUUUUCAAUUCAUAAUAAAAACUCUUUUAAUUAGUUAAUAGCUAUAGCUUCCAAUUGAGACUAUAUAUAAAAAUCCAUAUUGACUGACCAAACCAAUAAUUUUUAAUUGGCUUGAGCAUUGUCUUACUUACUUCAAAAUCGUCACUCUCUUUGAAAAGAACAUGAGAGAGUUCACCUCCAUCUCAACCCUUAACCCUAUAUCUCAGUCAAGAGAUUAUUCAUGGAAAAUUCAGAAAAAAGAAAUGUUGCAAUAUUUACGAAACUCACGUCACGUGAGGUAAGAUAAAUUAUUCCUUUCUGCUUUAAUUCAUGUACAUAAUCAUGAGAAUAACUUUAAUUAUAGUUUAUUUCUCCGUUUUAAGAUUUUUCCUUUUUUUUUUUUAAUUAAUUAAUUAUAGUUCAUUCAUUAAUCCCAUAAGAAAUUAACACCUUUGCCGGUAAAGUCACACAUACAACAAUAUUUUAGAACAAAAGGGAAGAUCAUGCACGAUCAUGAUGUUUUAUUAUAUCUCUAGCAAUAUAAUUAUCUUAUAAUUAAUUAAAAACAAAACAGGUAAUUAAGCCAAAGUGGAUGGCAUGCAUCAAUCAUCAUGCAGAACACCUCCCCUUGUUUUAAAUAUAAAUAAAAGAAAUUUGUGCCCAGAAGACUUAAUUAAUACUUCUCGUUUCUGAAGUGCUCACAUGAUAUAUAGUCGGACGCAUUAUAUUUAAUUUCAUGAAUUAAUCGUACGGUUGUAUUUUGAGAGAGAGAGAGAGAGAGAGAGUGACUGAGUAAGAUAUGGCUUAAUUUAACCAAAUCUACGUAUAAAAUUUUAAAAUGAAUUUUUGAGUUUUAACUUAGGAAUUGUCUAUGAAUAAAAGUGUUAAUCAAAUAUUUCGUGUAAAAACAGUCAGCUGUAACAUUUUCGGUUGCUUUAACAAAACUGUAUAUUUCUGUAAUUUCCUAUAUGGGCCAAAAGGAACAUUUUUCUCAGAAAUUAAAAACUUAUGGUGAAAAAGAUAAGAAAACCAACAGGUUCAAAGGUGCGAGUAAACUGGGCUCUGGUGCGCCCAACUCCCUCUUUUGAUUUUGAGACUCUAUUGACCAUUGAGUUUGAGGCCCCAACGGCCCAGUUUAAAACUGUUAUGAAAAGAAAAAAAAUAUAACUAUAAAAUUAAAAUUAAUAAUGUUUGAUAAAUAUAAUUUUUAAAUAAUAAUUUGACAAAAAUAAUAUAGGGUCUUGUGUAUAUUUUUAUUUGGCAUUUCAAUUAAUCUGCUUAUAUAUAUAUAUAUAUAAGUUAAUCUAUAUUUCUUGCAAGAAGAUAGUAUUUCUUUAAUUAAAGUCAUAACUAAUAUAUAAAUUAUCAACUAACCAUCAAACAUUUAUCUCAUUUUAUCUCCACCACGAUCAUCACCAUUCAUCCUGUCACGAUCUUUAUGUAACUACAAUUAUUUUUUCUUUAAUAAUGUCAACCCACCAACCCCAUAACAAUAUCUCCAAACAUCUCAUCUCAAAAUUCCUAAUAACAUAAGUGUUUAUGUAUGAAAGAAAAUGUGAAAUAUAUAAUCAAAAAGUAGUUUAAUAAUAUAAUGUUUAAAAAUUAUGGUAAAAAUAAGUGAGAGUUUGGCAUGGCAAGUUAAUAAAAAGAUAAAAGCUCGGACACUUGAUGCAUCAAAGUAGCAAUGUCUGUCCAUCAUUAUCAUCAUGCGGGUUUAGGUGCUUCUCAUGAUAGCAUUAGCUGGUAAGACCAUCAUGCAUCGUACUUUCAUUGUUAUACAUUUUGAAGGUAAGAAUGGUUAUGUUACGUCCCUCCGAUUAGGUGUAUUUUUCUUCUUCUUCUUCUUCUUUUUCUUCUUCUUGUACGUAAUAAUUUCUCUUUCUUCCAUGAAGAUUUCUUUCUCUCUUUCUUUUUUUUUUUUUUAUUAUAAAUAAAAUGAUAAGAACUAAUUUCCUUACUAAUUGGUAGGGUCGUUUAAUGGUUCAGAUCCAUUAGAUUUUGUCAAAUUCAAGUCCAAUCCAUCAUAUAUUCCAUUUUAUAUUCCGGAUCCGAUCACUAAUAGAAAUCCAUUAUAAUUUAAAACAAUAAAACGUCGAAUCCAAUUUAAUUCGAUAUGAUCAAUCCAAUUAAAAUAAAAAUUUACAAAUAAAAAUCAUUAGUUGCUCUCUCCAGUUAUAAUUCUUAACAAUUAAAAAAAAUACAAAAUAUCAACUCCUUUAAUAUUUCAUGAUUCAUGUACUUUAUUAUCAUAUGGUUGGAAAAAAAAGUUGAAAUUUGAAUAUUAAAAGCAAAUGUUGGUUGCGACCUGCUGUUUGUAUUCUAUAUUGUUAUAGUAUAUUUAUAGUUAUUUUUUUAGCAAGUUAAAUAUAAAAGUGACAUAUAGUUUUUUUUUAUAAAAAAAAAUAAAUAAAGAAAAUAAAAAAUUAAUUGGUUGGAUUGGUUUAUAUUGGAUUUGAACAUAUAGAUCCAUAGACCAAUCUAAUAACAUUAUAUUUUUUAUUUUGCAAUCUUAUCCAAUCCAAUCAAAAUGUCAAUAUGACAAAAGUUGGAUUGGUUUUGAUCAGAUCGAUUGGUUUGAUUGGAUUGAAUUGAAUUAGAUCUUGAACAUCCUACCAAUUAGACUUUCCGUGAUUUUUUUUUUUCCAAAUUUAAUAAAGAGACUUCCCAUGAAUGUUAAAUGCAGUUUUAUUGAUGAAUUCUGCAAUUUUAAGAAAUGUUUGAUACACGAAUAAUGCAUCUCAUCAACCAAGUAACUGCGUCCCCUGCAGCAGCCGCGGCUUCAACUGGAAUACUGCAGCCACACCGGUCUUGAGACUCAACAUUCGGCCGAAACUCAAGCAAAAGUUGAACAAUAUCAGGCCUGCUUUGAGCUAUAGCAAUAUGAAGCAAUGUUUGUCCCUGCGCACCAGCAGAAUCAGCUGGGUGGGUUCCAAGCAGGGUCACUCUGUUCAAGAACCUCUCUUAUCUCAUCCAUUUCACCAUCCUUAACUAGCUGAACCACAACAUGGGACCCAACAAACAUGAUCUUGAUUCCUAUUGAUGAACGCUGGCUUCUUCCUUCUUGUGAACCAGUCACCAGGAACCGAAUCAAGCAUCAAUGUUGCAUCUUUAAUUGCAGCUGCAGGAACGACAACGCUAUGCAAGAGGAAGGAAUCAUCACAGUGAGGGAAAGUAUGAAGGAGAACUGAUCCUGGAGGAAGAUGAUACGCAAUCUCUAUGCUUACUGUUCCGAGUGGUUGCAUUGACCUGAAUAGUUCGAUCUAUUUCUCGUGUAUCUACUUGCGCUGCACUUUCACUCGAAGAACCUACAAAAUUAUUCAUAACCCGGCAUAAAAAAGACGUAAAGUUUUCAGCGCGAGCAUGGUAACUUCAAAACCCGUUUCAUACCUAUCAUAUUUCAUUCGUCCCGCACCCUCAUUUAAAAGACUAGAGCUUAUAAAAACUAGAAGUACCUUACCCAGAACAUAAAAGCAGACAAAACCCAGUCGAGUAUAAAUAUAACGUUGAAUAACACCUACCAUUUACCAUUUCAUUCAAGAACACCACACAAUUAACGAAACCAACAUCGGUAUGUUUUCAGCCGUUGUACUUUCAACUUAAUUUUGAAAGCGCGGCAGCUAAAGCCUAAACUGUUGUUUGAUAAAAGUCCACCCACUGACUGCUACCUGGCGGCUACCGAUUCCAUUCAAUAGCAGUCAUAAAAUAAAAAGUACAAAACAAACCUAUGUACAAAAAAGGCAAUGAAGCAGCCAUGGAUUCAGUUAUUUGCAUGUUUGGGAUUGUGGUUGAUUCCAAAUUGAGAAUAUACUGCGAAAUUAUGUUUGAUAAGCAUUUAUCUGAUGAUUGCUACUUUAUUGAGUGCCUGUUUGGUAUGGCUUAUUUAAAAGCCAUAAGUGCUUAUUUAAUCGUAUAAGCACUUUUUUAAAAUUUUUAUGGUGUUUGGUUAUUUUUUUAGUAGAGUUUUUUUAGCUUAAAUAAGCUAAUUUACCUCUACUAGCAAAAGCCCAAAAUUUGAGCUUUUGGGAGUAGAGGUUAAAGAGCUUAUCUAAAAAAUAUAUAAUAAAAAAAAUAUCAUACAGUUUAAUGAUUCAAAAGUGUUUUUUUUAUUGACAACCAAACACCCAAUGACUUUUUGUCCAAAAACUCUAUUGGUAUAAGCUCUACUGCUAUAAGCUCUAUUGUUAUAAGCUCUAUUUAAUAAGCUGUACCAAACGGAGCCUAAAGCAUUCAUUUUUUUUUUUCGCGUUUGGCCUCUUCACUUUUUAAAAAAUUUUAUGGUGUUUGGUUAUUUUUUUAGUAGAGUUUUUUUAGCUUAAAUAAGCUAAUUUACCUCUACUAGCAAAAGCCCAAAAUUUGAGCUUUUGGGAGUAGAGGUUAAAGAGCUUAUCUAAAAAAUAUAUAAUAAAAAAAAUAUCAUACAGUUUAAUGAUUCAAAAGUGUUUUUUUUAUUGACAACCAAACACCCAAUGACUUUUUGUCCAAAAACUCUAUUGGUAUAAGCUCUAUUGUUAUAAGCUCUAUUUAAUAAGCUGUACCAAACGGAGCCUGAGUCUUCAAAGAAAAACUCAAUCAACUAAUGCUCGAUUUUUUUUUUUAAAUGACAAAUCAAAAAGUAUUUUGGAGUAGAUUCUCAAAAGAGUGAUUAUUUGAUAAUCCACCAUAAUCCCACUUAGUUAUCAGAAAUAAAUUAAAAUCCGACGAAUGUUACUUAAGCCAAACAGCAUUAUUUUAUUUUGACCACAAGGACCACAACCCUCAAGCUGUCAAGCAACCGUUACCGUUAACGACCAAUCUUUCACCUCUCCGAAUCUUUGCAAGUCACUAUCAAGCAACCGUUACUAAUAUUUAAUCAAUUAUUAGGAUUAUUGGAUUUCUCAAAUACCUUAUGUACUUUGGUUCACUUUCUACUAAAAUAAAUAUUACAGGAGCUUUCAAAGUCUAGGCUAAGGUUGUUGUAAACAUAGAGAGAUUCAGAGAUAUAACAGCUUGUAAUUACAUACCACAAAGCAUAACUUUGUUCGAAUGAUAAUGAUCAUAAUCCAGAUUAUAGACGUAGAGAGAGGAGAAGUCGUACUUGAGGGGCAAAACGCGGCGUUUUGGCUCGUGGAUGAGGUGCUGCUCCUGAUCGUCGUAGAUUGAAGGGAGGAGAGGUCGGUCGAGGAAGUUUAGGAGACGGUGGAGGCUGAAUUGGUGAAUUUCGAUGAAGACUGACGAAUCCAAUGGGGCUUGAGGGUUUGAUUUGCAAAGAUGAAAGAUAAGAGCAUUGUUUUGGUUUCUGUGCAAAAAAAAAAAAAAAAAACAUGACAAGCGUUGUUUUGGUUUUGGUUCUAAAAAGAUGAAAAUUUGACUGCAAUGGAUCCAUACGCAGUCGGUGUCAAAUAAGAGGAGAAACAAAUAUGUUAAUCACUCGCUCAAUCACUCAUGCGAAGUGCCUUUUUUUUCGUUGCUUUGGCUUCUGAGAAAUAUAUGCAUCAGAUAUUACAACUCUCGAGGAUAAUGCAUUUUGUUCCGGUUUUGACUGAUAUUUAGUGGCAUUUGAUAAACUGAUACCUCAGAACCUGGUAGAGAGUUUAUUAAAUACAAAGAGAACAAAAAUAUAUGACUAUAUAAGCUUUUACACGGUUGAAGAUCCGGUCAAAUUGGCUUUAGUUAGCAAGAUCAUUUAAAACUUUCAAAAAACGAAUGGUAUCAAAAAGCUCUGAGAAAAAGCGGAAAAAAGGCACCACAAAGAUCUUGCAAUUAUUAUCACAGCUUGAUAAGACAUGGAAAUGUAUCUUACAAAUUGGCCUUCCAAGCAUCAAAGAAUUGGGUGGCGACAACUCCCAUUCCUAGCUGCUACCGUGGCCAGUCCCUUCUAACUAAAAUGGGACAGGACCAAAAGCAAGGUCUCUCCCACUCUCCUUAUGUAUAUAAAAUUCCCUACAUUCGAAUAAAACUACAGAAAAAGAUUUGCACAUCAUCUUCUUUCACCUUAUUUUGCAAUCUUCAAGAGUUUGGAAGAUUUCAAAGCACUUGUUAGAAUGUAGCACUCCAUUAAGCAUUCUCACCUUCCCCACACCCCAAUGGACCUCCUUAAUCCUAUCGGCAGACCUACAAAUUCUGCUGCAACUCCAAUCAAAUAAAGCAACACAAUUGUUGCCUGCCUAAGCCUUCCACUCACAGCCUGCAAUGACAAGUUCAUGAUACAAAAUCAGAAACAUUAAUAAACAAAAAGAUAUUACCAUUACUUGCAGAGGGGGAUUUGUUGCAAUUAGUAAAUGCCAUACUUAUCACUUUCAUUGCAGAUAUCAUCAUCAUCAUAAUACUAGCAAUCCAGCACUAAUAGUCAGAAUAAUAAUAAUAGUAGCAUGAAUAAAGAAUUUCUGCAGAGUAAGCUCUAAAGAUGCCGAAAGUGUCAUCUAUUAUGUUAAUAAUAAAAAAGUCUAUCAAGAAUUCAAGGAAAGAAAACUCAUUAACAAAGAACUAAACUUUUUAAUAAUGUUUAAUAAACUACGUACCUAUGAUUUUCUAUUAUUAACAUAAAUGACACUACGUACAACUGAUUUUCGCUUUCUAAUGUUUCAAAUCAUACCGAGAAAUAUAACAAUUACCAAGUCAGUAAGUAGCACAAUUACUUAAUAAGACUUUGACUUGUCUAACCCAAAAUUGUACCCAAUUCUAUACUCUACCAUGAAAAGCUUAUGAAGCCGAACUUACUUUGACCAAACAGUACUAUUAGCUCAGUUAAAGGAAACCACAAUUGAACAAAGUUCAGCUGAAAUAACUGAACUAAAAAAACUUGAUAAAAUUAAAAGUAACUUAUAACAGUUUAGUAAAGAAGCAUACAAAACAUGAAGAUAAAUAAACAUAGGUCUAUUUUCUUGACACUACCAGGUCCUUUCCUUUUUUUUUUUUCAGAUAAGAUCUCGAUACUACCAAGUUUUGGAUUCAAAAUCACCAUAUUACAAUAAUAGUUGUGAUUCAUGGGAUACAAUAUGUAGCAGCUUAUAUGUCGGCAAUUAUAGUCAAAGAUGGUUGUCAAACAUCAUCGCAAAUCAAGAAGCUAAUAAAGACCAUGUCACACUACAUUAACAUAUAUCAGUUCUUUGAUACAAAGAUAUUGAAUGUUAUACAUUUCUAAUCCCAAGUCCUGAAAUACAAAACAAAAGUUCACUUCACACAGUCAUAAAGCUAGACUGCUAGAUAAAUGGACAAUAGGCAUUGGAUAUGGGUCAAUAAACUAUUAAGCUAAUUAAUGCACACGAAGGAAUCCGUUAGAGCUAGUAAAAUAGCCCUUACCAGAGAACUCGCAGAAGCAUUCAAUUUCCUCAAAGGAGAUAACUUACAACAUAAACAUUUUGAUAAGCAGCAACACACAUAAAAUAGCUUCACUCACUAGCAACAGAGCAACUUCUUCAACACAUUAAUAAAUCCAUUUUCAUUUUUAAACAACAAAAUAAUGCCCAGUUUCUCCAGCACAAAUAGGGUAAGCAGUAAUAGAAAAACAUGAUACAUAGGAAUUACCGGCCUCAAGAAAUCUCCAAGCUUUCUGUCCUCUGCUUCAAUUGCUCAAUCAAGAAUGCCCCAGACGUUGCGCUAGCGUGGUGGUGGAGCGUCGCGAAGCGUGUGGCGGCGGUGUCGGCGAAGGCAGGUCAUGAAGAUAGUUGGUGUCGCGCAGCGAAGGCAGUGCAGCUGGUGUCAUGCGGCGAAGGCAAAUCGCGUGGUGGUGGAGUUGGGGUCGCGCGGCAGUGGCGGUGCGGUGCUGAGGCAUAAUAGUGGCGGUGGCGUUGUGCGACAGUGGCAGUGUGGAGGCAGAUUGCGUGGAGCUGGCGGUGUUGAGGCAGAUCGCGUGGAGGCAGAUGCCGCGGUGGUGGAGUUGCUGUCGCGAUCAACGCCUGUGAAAGGGAAUGAAAGUGAAGGAGAUACCUACAAAAGAAAGAACGAGUGAAAUUUUUUUUUUUGUUCAAGGGUUUCAAACCCACAUAAACCCGACUCUCACACGGGUUCAGUAAGUUUAUGCGGGUUUGACUGCAUUACAAAUUGGUAUGACCACAACAACAGUACAAUGAUUGGUAAUUACCAAACAUGCUAUUUAUGUUGGUAUUAAAUUAAUUUAAUACAAUGAGGAGUGGUAAUAUCAUACAAUGAGGACUGUUAAAUAUGGUGUGUUUAAUAUGUUGUAUUGUAUUAUAUUAUUUUAAUACAAAUAUAUUAUAUUAUCUUGUAUUAUAAUAUAAAAUAAUGAAAAAUAUCGAAUUUCAAUAUAUAAAAAAAAAAUAAAUAUAUUUUGUUAUAUUCGAUCUGCUGUACGGCCAAGGCGGAUGUACGGUACAGCAGAUAAGAAUUUAAAUACAUACACUUAUAAUACAACUUAGUUUUUCCACAUUGUCGAGGGAUCAAAACAACCCAUCAUUGGAGUCCAAUAAGUUAUGUGGCGACACAAAAAAGUAAUUCUAUAUUUUUUACGUCAUAAAUAUGUAAAAAAAAUUGUAUUAUAUCUUAUUAUUAUUAGUUUUUUUUCUUCAGUUUUGACAAGUAUAGUUUUCUUGUUGAGUGGCUCAACAAGGCUGGUUACAAUUUCGAAAUAAUGUUCCAUCUGUAUCUGUUUUCCUUUUGUUUUUGAUUUUGUAGUAUAGUUAAUUUGUACGAAUUUGUUGCCUGGUUGGUUUUUAUGCUGAAAAGUCAGUUCAUUGGAAAUGACAGAAAAUUGUUUUUCUUUUUCAUUUUUACAGAAAGAGAUUUGCAACGUUAUAAAAGUAAGAGAUCCUAAGAGAUCCCUGAAUCAUAUUAAAUAUUAAACUUAAGAUACAGUCAAGGCUUUUAUUAUGUUACUAAUCAUGUAACGAAUAUAAUUAUGUAGCAGUCGUUAAAUACAAAUUUAACAGUUAUAAAAAUAACAUGAUUUUAUUAUCUUAUAUUUCUAUAAUCGUUGAAUUUUUAUCUGCUGUACCGUACAUCCGCCUUGGCCGUACAGCAGUAUUGAAUUUUAAAAAUUUAAUAUUAUUUUUUUAAUAUAAAUAUUAAAAAAUAUCAUAAUUCUUCAUAGAAAUCGAAGUUCAUGGCAUUAAAUUUUUAACGCCGCAUACAUAAUAAAAAAUUUGAUUCUCUAGUGCCAAUAUAAUAGAAUACAUAAAAACGAGACUGAGAAACUACGAAUAAAGCUCAUCAUCAAGGACUCCACAACAUUAUAAGAAGUACUAUGUAACAUUUGCCAAAUUACAACACCACAUCAAGACAUAUCACAAUGUAAAAUUUUUCCUAGAGAUUUGGUAAUUGAAAAACACAAUUCAAGUUGAAAACUGAUAGUCGACUUGAAAAGUUUUAACAUAUCCCAUAAAAGAAAUGUGCCAUGCCAAAAAUCCUAACCCUUGGCUCUUUGACGAUAAGAAAAUAUUGAAAAUUCCAAAGUACAGUGCAAUGGGAGAAAGAAUGCCUAUAAAGCUAGUAAAGAUAUUCUUAAACUACUAUUGGGAUGUUGGGCUGGUUGGUAGCAAAACCCAAACCCUGCUGCUGAUUUCCGAUACCACCAUCUUGGAUAAGCCGCUCUCCCUCCUCUUCCUAACUCCUAAGCCCAAUAUCUUUCCAAAACCUUCACAACCCACUCAUAAAUCUCAUUGUUGUCGUGGAUAUGCAAAUUCUCAAUCUUUUCUACUCCAUCACACUCAUCAAUCAUUUGGGUAUAAACAUUAACCCAAUUAUCCAUUCCUAUUUCCUUGUUAACCUCACCCACCUUGAAAAUGUUCUCAAGACCCUAUAGACAAACUGUGACGAUCCUUUGGUCCAGACAAACCAGAAGAUCACAGAGCGGUUUGAUGCAACCUUGGCUCACCAGGAAUCUGCAGGACCAUGGUACCAUAAGUGAUUCUAUCACAUGAACAUCAUUAGAUUAAAAAAAGAAAAAAAAAAGAAACAUCUAUCGUAUGAACAUUGCUGAGUGAAUAAAAGAAACAUACUGAAUAUGUUCAUGAGAUCCUCCAUAUGUGGCAUUUAAGACAGGCCAUGCAGCCUCCUUGAUUUCAAGUUCUGCAUGUUGAAGAAGAGGUGCACAAAAGGAAGGAUAAGGAAGGAUGAUAUUGGCCUCCAUAACAGCCUGUUGAACAAAAAUUCGACAAAUUAUAAUUAUGAGUAUAUUUAAGUAGCAAUUUUGUCAGAAUUAACUAGACUUGACUAUUGAGGAAGUCACAUUCAAAAAUAGAAAAGACGAGCAAGCAAUUGUAUUCAUGCUAUCGGGACCAAAAUACUAUGAUGCAAGCAAGAAAGAAAAACAUACAUACAUAUAAAACACUAUCUUUGAGUUGGGUAUUUUCUUUCAAUUUUGAUAAUGGCAACUUUGGAUUCUUCUGCUGAAUUACCACCACCACCACACCAUUGUAGUUUCACAUACUAAGAAAAGGCAGGUUCAGCUCCCGUGCAUGCCCAUAAGAAUAUGAUGUAUUAAUUAGAAGUAAAAUUAAUCUGUUCAAUUAAGUUCUCUCAUAUAUUUGUGUGCGUGUGUGUGUUAAUUAGUUUGCUUUCAAAUCUUUUCUCCCUUCUUAAUGAUAUAUAUUUUAAGCAUGAUAUCAACCACGAUGAAUUUAUUAGCCGAUUUUUAAUUAUACAUUCAGCAUGAUAUCACAAACCAAGAGCUUAAGUUAGCCUAAUUCUUCAUAAAUCUAAUAAUUGCAAUCAAUAAUAAUGCUGAAAAUACGAGUUUGAAUUAAGCUAGCAACUGGUUCUUAAAUUAUGCAAUAUGUAAUCAUAGGUUUACUUAAAGAUUAAAGCAUUUCUGCAAUCCAUUGUGCAAAAAGAUUAAAAAAAAAAAAAAUAGUUGCCAAAUUUUAUCUAAAUAAAAAUUCCUUUAGUGGUUAGUACUUGUGAAUUAUAGAAAUUAUUAUUAGUACUUGCUCAGCGCUUUUUAGAUUUGUACAGGUAGAUUACGCCAUUUCAAACCCGACCAUCCAUUUAGACAUACAAAUCCCCCCAAUUCCCUGUCCUCCGCCUUUACGCGACUCUCCACUGUAUGUGCCAACUAAUUAAUUUUUUAAUUACUUGUUUAACUAAUUAAUUCAUUUUCUCAAAAGCAAGAUUAAUCUAUUUGUUCAAAUCUGAAGGAGAUUAAGUUAAUUGAUUUUAUUGUAUGUAAAAAUAUACAAAGAACUCAUGAAGCCAACUAGAAAAAAAAAAAAAGACAAAAAAAAAAUCAAACCCAGAAAUAAAAAGACAUGCUUCGACAGAAAAUUAAUGAAAAUUAUACUGAUUGUGGUUCAAUUUGAUCAAACCCAAAUAAUAACCGGUUUGAUUGAUGACUCAGCGGCAAAGUGCAGGCGCAUCAGUGGUUGCACAGAUGAGUGUUCUCGUGCGGCACGACAAAGCAAUUGUCGGCGAUUGUGAUUGGUGAUGACAUCGAGCGAUGGGGGUAAUGGCAUCGGUCGUGACUUUGUGAUGGAGAAACGAAUGUUAGAUUCGUUCGAAGAUUCGUGUUUUGAUUGAAUAACAAAGAGAGAUUUUAUGAGUUUUAAUUAUCUAAUACGAUACCGCAUAAACCCGACUCGUACGUGGGUUUAUUUUAUGCGGGUUUCGGUGUACUAAAGCAGUAAAUUUAUGUGGUGCAAUUCAAACUGAUUUCACCGCCAAAAGAUCGUGUAAAUUUAAUAUUAUACAGGGUUUUAAUACUAUGUAAUCCAAUACACCAAACAUGCCCUUAAAAACGGAUAGCAAUCCGGGGCCUUUAAAAACGGAAAAUACAAGCAGAGAAAAAGAAAAGCCAAUUGUUCAAAAGUGCCUAAUAUGCCCACGGAAAAUUUUCGUCACGACCCACAGUUACUCGAAUAGGUAAUAAGACAGGAAUGCCUUUGUUUGUUCGAAUAUAGAAGCACAAUGGCUCAGAAAGGAUCCCUCCAAUCUCCUUGGCACUGUCAGCUGGGUGCGGAGUAGCUUGGUGGCAGCAACCAUGUUUGAGAGGGCUGGCUUCACCUCAGUGUACUUGCGAGUCUUGAGACCACAGUCAGGGUUAACCCACAAAAUGUUGGUUUCUAGCACAGUACGCAUCUCGUAGAUUCUGUCAACAAUUUCUUCGGUUGAUGGUAUUCUUGGAGAGUGGAUGUCAUAGACGCCAGGGCCAAUUGCAGCAUCAUACUGGACUCCCUCACGGAAGACUGACAGGAGAUUCUCAUUAGAACGAGAGUUCUCAAUGGUGAUCACAUCAGCAUCCAUGUCGAUAAUUGAGUGGAUAAUGUCGUUGAAGUUGGAGUAGCACAUGUGGGUGUGGAUCUGUCAAUCAAUAAACAAUAGAAUGAGAUACAAAAUCAACAGCUAAAUUAAAGAGAUGAGAUUGGAGAUUAAAAGGGUAACUGACCUGGGUAGUGUCCUGGAUGCCACAGUUGGUGAUUCUGAAGGAGUGGACUGCCCAGUCCAAGUAGAAAGCAUGCUCAGAUUUCCUGAGAGGCAAUCCUUCCCUCAAGGCAGCCUCAUCAAUUUGAAUAACGUUAAUGCCUGCCUUCUCAAGAUCCUCGACUUCGUCCUUGAUGGCCAAAGCAAUCUGGUAGCAGGUUUCAUGUCUGCAAAAUUGGCAGCGAUUGAUGUUAAACAAUGUUUCCAUUCCAAAAGGUUAACCAAUAGUGAACCAGUUCUCAUUUAUAUACCUGGGCUGGUCAUUUCUGACAAAGGACCAGUUGAGAAUGGUGACAGGGCCAGUAAGCAUUCCCUUCAUUGGGCGAGCAGUCAUGCUCUGAGCCCAGGAGGACCAGAAGACGGUCAUAGCCUUGGGACGGCUCACAUCACCAUAGAUGAUGGGUGGCUUCACACAGCGAGAUCCAUAGGAUUGCACCCACCCAUUGGCAGUGAAGGCGAAACCUGAUAACUGCUCUCCAAAGUACUCAACCAUGUCGUUUCUCUACAAAAACAAAUGUCCGAAUUCAAUUUGAGAUCCAGCAUACUUCGUAUGCAAUUAGAAAUGCAGAAACAAAAAUGUAUAAAAUUUUAUGUAAUUCAAAACCAGGAGACAUUGCUUUGCUUCCAUUGGGCAUUGCGAGACUCACCUCAGGCUCUCCAUGGACAAGGACAUCAAUAUCAAGCUCUUCUUGGAGUUUGACAACCUUGUUGAUUUCCUCCUUGAUGGAAGCAACAUAUUCUUCCUCAGAAAUCCUAAAAAGGACAAAUAGUCACGGCACAGUUAAUACAGUAGUUGCAGUAAUUUCACACAUGGCAUUGAAUGAAGAAACACCUCAGAUUGACUCACUUCUUAGCCUUGUAUUCACGGCGGACUCUCCUAAGUUCAAUGGUUUGUGGGAAGGAUCCAAUUGUGGUGGUUGGGAGGAUUGGAAGAUUGAGCUUCUUCUGUUGAGCAUCUAAUCUAGCACUAACGUUUGUAGCACGUCUGUGGUCUGAUCCCCUCAAAGCAGCAGCCUAAUAGACCAAGAGGAAGGAAUCACUGUUAGCAAAAAAGGAAAUUCUAAGGGACAGCCACAUCAUAAAAAUGGAAAACAAAUCAAUCAUGCCACUUACAGCCUUUUGAACUGCCUCAUUGGUCACUCUCGGGGAGGACUUUCUUGAAGCCUGAGCUGCAGCAUUGGCAGAGAAGAAUCCCUGGAAACAAAUGAUAAGGAGAACCAAAGUUAGUCUCAUUCAUAUCAUUUUAAAAAGAAGAUACAUAUGCAAUUAGUGGGCUGAUUGUGAGAGAAAAAGUCCCCAAAACUUUAAUCAAACACCAAAUGCCCAAGUUGCCAAAUGAUGUUUAAUUCGGAAAAAUAUAUUUAAAAACAUUCAAAUAUAAUUUCCCCUUCUAAAUUUUCAUUUUCAACAACAUAUUUUACAAGCCAAGCUCAACGUCAGGCCAAGAUUUUGUGCUCCUAUAAUUAUAUUUUACCAUAAAACUAGGUCCUUGAAAGGCUAAGAUUUUCUGACUCUUGUGACUAGUCAAAGCCUAAGAUUCUUUCAAUUCAUCCGUAGUAAAAGUAUACCUCAUCCUUUUGGCCAGCCAAAGCCUUGGCCAAUGCAUUGACUUCAACAACUUUCUGGGCAGCAAAUGCCAGCCAUGACUUGAUUUCGUCGUCGAGUUUGUUCUCAUUAACAAGAUCAACAGCAGUGUGAAGAAGUGAGCAGGAGGUGGAGACCACAAGCUUGUCUGCAAAGAAAAGUAAUAAAUUAUACAACAAAUCCCAUAAUAGAAUAAGAAAUAUUUAUCACAAAGAAAAAUGCAAGCAAAGGAUGUAUACCUUUGCCAACAACACCCUCAAGCCCCCGGAGAACACUAAGAGAAGCAGCAAGAUCAUUGGCCCAAAUGUUCCUUCCAUCAACCACUCCAGCAAAGAGGUACUUGCCAGCAGGGAAUCCACUCUUGAUCAAUUCAAGGGUCUUGGUUCCACGAACCAAAUCAAAUCCAUAAGCGGUGACACCCUUCAAAGAAGUGAGGGUCUGGAAUGCCUCAGCUGGAACAUCAGCAAAGUAGGUCUCAACAAGAACAUUCAAGCCAGACAGAGUUGACUCUAGUUCCGCGUAAGCCUCACUGAAUGCUUGCAAUUUGUGUGAGUCAAGAUCCGUAACAAGCAAUGGCUCAUCAAACUGAAUCCAGGAAGCACCAGCAGCCUUAAGCUCAGAAACAACUUCCCUGCAGAAGUGUUAAUUGGUACGACACGGAUUAAUGAUGCCACACGAUACACACACACACACACACACACACACACACACACACACACACACACACACACACACACACACACACACACACACACACACACACACACACACACACACACACACACACACACACACACAGACAGAGUUAUUUAGCACAUACACGUUUAUAAAUCUGUAAAUAGGUGAUAAUUCUUACUUGUAGAUCGGAAGGAUUUUGGGAAGAAGAGAGAGAACAGAAAAGGUCUUCUCAACCCCCCAGGCAGGCUUAGACAGCAACAAGUAUGACACAGGGCCAAUAAGCACUGGGACAGUUUCAACUCCAUGCUGCAGCAUUAGACAAGUGGUAGAUAUUAGCAUCUCACAAACUUGAUCUGACUGAUAGAAAGUUACAAGCAAGUUAAGAAUAUGUUUGAUGAAAUUUCAAUGAAAAAUCUUCAGGGUCCACAACAUGUUGACUAUACCCUUUUUAAGUAAUUUAUCUUAAGACUAUUUUGCAAACAGUAUUGCUUCCCUUUACAGAUCAAAUAAAUCAUACAACAUCUGAACGCAUUUCCUGAGCCAAAUAUAAGUUCAAAGCUCUAUAAUAAAUGUCAAUGACUCUAUAGUAAAUUCCAUCACAUUCUGAGCUAUGGAUGAGCAUAUCAUAUGCCAAUUUCAAGUUGAACGUAACCCAAUUUCAACAUAUUGUAGAUUCAAGUAUCAAACGAAAAAAAAAAUAUUGUAAAUAUAGACAGAACUGAGAACAAACACUCACCCCCUUAGCCUCCUUGUACUCAGUCACAGCCUUGUGGGAAGCGUAGGAGAACUUAACAUCGGGUCCCAAUUCAGGAACAAUGAAAUGACUGCAUCAACACGAAGCCAAACACACGUCAGCAUUCAGUACAAAACCAUUACACCAUAACUAACUUGAAAUGCCGCUCUUCCAAGUAGUGAAUACUUACUAGUUGGUGUCGAACCACUUGGUCAUUUCCAUUGCGAGAACAGAGGCGUUUCCUCUGGCCAUGGAGAAGUAAACAUCGAAUCCAAUCUCGCCGCCGUUCCAGUUAAACCUCGGGGGCACGGCACCGAGCAUUGCGGUGGUGUCGAGCACUUGGUCGUAGUAGGAGAAAGUGUUGCUGGGAAUGUAUUUGAUCCCGGCCUCGGACAUCUGUUUCCAGAUGGAGGAUCUGAGAUCAGCGGACACCUUUUGCAAAUCCUCGGCGCUGCUCUUGCCAUCCCAGAAGGAUUCCAACGCGAACUUGAGCUCCCUCUUGGGGCCCAUGCGUGGGUAACCAACGAUGUGAGAUGCCAUUUUACUGUCAUAAUCACGUCAUCAAUGAAUCGAAAAUCAGUCCCUUCCAUUAAAUCAAGAAAUUAUUAAUUCAAAUGAAUGGAUCACAUUGUAUAUAUAUGGGAUAAAUAUAAUUAUGAACAAAAGCGUCUAAUCAAUCACAAAAAGCAAGCGACUGCAUCAAAUUUAGGGAUCCGACCCGACCCGACCCGAUCUGUAAAUUCCGGUUUCAAUCGGAUUAAGAUGAAACCUCUAACCCGAUAUAGUUGGAUUUUGGCCAACUCGAUCGGAUCAGAUCGGAUCGGAUUAAACUUAGUCCAAUCCGAAAAAUUCAAAAAAUCAAAACUACAAUAAGUAUAAAUCUAAAUUUUCAAUUCAAUUUGAUCUAAUCUGAAUAUAUUCGAAUCGGAUCAAAUACUAUGCUCUGCUUAAACUUGGAUUAUAUUUUUUUCAAUUUGAUUAACCUAAAAUUCGAUUGGAUAGAUCCAAAACUGAAUUUAUCUACCCCUCAGUCAUCAAUCAAUUACAAAACCUAAAAUCCGAUUGGAUAGAUCCGAAACUGAAUUUAUCCACCCUUAAGUCAUCAAUCAAUUACAAAGGCGACUGAUGUUUAUACAAUGGACAAUUAUUAAGUUACAGCUCUUGUAAUUUACAACUUAUACAAAAAUAUGUGAAAAAUUGUGAUAGGCAGUACAGUGUCAUGAUUUUAUACAAAAAUAUGUAAACAAUUGUGAUAGACGGUAGAACCUCAUGAUUUUAUAAAAAAUACGUAAAAAGUUGGGAUAAGUAAUGGAGCCCGCAUAAUUUUUUAUCAGCUGCAAGUUGCAAGUUACAGCAACUGUAACUUAGCGACCCCGACUUCAAUGUAAAAUGAGAAAGUACUCCUCCGCAUAGUACCUGAUGCUCAAAAGUCAAAUCACACGAAAUGCAAAUAGACUUAUCAGAGCAUAAAACCUUAUAUUACUUUUUGAAAAACGAUUUGAAACAAGGGCAAAAUUACAGUGUAACCGUACUUAGUCAUUGAAUUCAGCUCACAAUUAUCAUUAUAGUUAGAUCUAAUAACUAGAUCCAACUGUAUCCACAGUUAUAUUGUAGUUAGAUCUGAUAACUAAAUCCAGAUCCAGCUGUCCCCACAAUUGUCAUUAUAGUUAGAUCUAAUAAUUAGAUUCGGCUGAUUCAGCUGUGAUGUAGUACCCUGUAGUGCCAUAACUGGACAAAGAAACAAACUGAUAUAUUUUCUUUUUUGAAACAAACUGAUACUAAUCCAAGAGUUUCAGAUGAUCGGUUUUUUUUUUUUUUUCUAUAGUCACAUCAAUAAUUAAGUACUUUCAGUCAUUUUCGAAGGAUUAAAACGAAAACUCUAAAAAAAUUCUGAGAAUGAAGAAUCCGAAAAUAGAUUCAGAAAUAGUAACACAAGUAGAGGUCAGAUUGUUUUUUGGAAAAGAUUAAUUGCAGAUCUGAUGAACUCAAGUCUAGAUCUAGCAAAAUCACGGCAGCCAAACACUAGAUCUAAGACUAACAGUCACUCACCAGUCGAUCAGAAAGUGAAAUCAAGUUCAAAAUUCUUUUUUUUUAAUAGAUCCAAAAGCUAAUAUACAUAUAUAUAUGGCAAAAUAUAUAUACCGUACCCGAGAAGGACGAGCAGAGAAAUUAAGCUUUUUUCGAGAGAACGAGAAAGAAGAGAGACGAGACUGUUAGAAAUUGCUGUCAGUUUAAUUUUUAUUUAUAGCCAAAAACCUAACCUUGUUUAGUGGUUACUGGUUACCGUCUUCGGCGGUGUUGAUCUGAGAUUUAUCAUUUUAAUUUCUUUCUCUUACUUAUUUAUUUAAUUUGGGUCCAACUACGGUGAAACUGUAGUACCGUGCUACAGUUAUUUUCAACCGUUUGAUUCACUUGGAUGGUGGGAUCCAAUAAAAUCCAAUAACUGGGUGCAACCGUAGCACGGUGCCGCAGUUGCACCACAGUUUUUCCCAUUUAUUUAUUAUGCUUUCAGUGCAGUUGGCAAAAACAUGGAGCUUACGCGCGCUUUUCUGAUGUGGCGCGUGAAUUGGAAAUGUGGUAGAUCUUUGUGGAUCCGCCGGUGCAGUGAAGAGUGAAGGAAAAAAGAGAAAAGUUAUCAUGCCAGAUCAUUUGAAGAGAGCCGCAAUUAGUAAUUACACCACAAUAUAUUUCUGAUUAUUUGCUUACUUUGAUGAUGUUUUUACUGAUUAGUAAUUGGAAUAUGUUAGAAUCUAAAUAUAGUAGAAUCAUAAUAGAGUUGAAUCAAAAUAGACUAUAAUUAGAAUGGAUAAUGGGAAUUAGAAGAAUUAUUUGCUUUAGUUGUGAGAAUCCAAAUUGGAAUGAACUAUAUUGUCGUUGAUAUGUUUACUUUAUCAUAGAAUAUGAAUGAAUUAUUACAAGUUACUAAACAGACCUUAAGUUGAUUAUUGUCAUUAUUUAUUUAUUUAUUAUUAUUAUUAUUAUUAUCAUCAUCAUCAUCAUCAAAAUUAUUAAUCUUAUUAUUAAUGUUAAUUAUAAUAAUUAAUAAUUAUAAUAGUAUUAUAAUAAUAAUAAUAAUAAAAGCAAUCAUAAAAUGAGAAUUUCAAGAUUUAAGUAGAGAUAAUAUAAUUAUUUUAGAAAAUGAGAAUUUCCAUGAGAAUGUGAACUCUAUUAAUCAUUCCCAAUUUGAAGUGGGGCCUGCCAUUUUGAUUCAAUCUCUCAUUUAAGCAAGUAAAUACGACAUUUAUUCUCAUUCCCUCAUUCCCACUCUCAGGUAGCGUUUGUUUUUUAACUUAAUGACUUAAAGUGACUUAACUUAAUUAAUUAAGUUAAUUAGAGGUGUUUAUUUUUAUAACUUAAUGAGACUUUUUAGAUAAUUUUGACUUAAUAAAAUGAGCCAAUUUUUUUUGGCUUUUUACUUAAUGGAGAAAUUUGAAUUUAGUCAAUUACUUACUAAUGUCAAAAAUAUCUAUGUUUUAUAAUUUAUUUUUCAUGUCUAUCCCAAAACUCACCCAUAGACAUUUACCCCACAUAAAAAUAUCCCUAUUUUUUCUUUCUUAUAUUAUAUACGAUAAAAUUUGAAAUUUAUGGUAUUUUAUAUAUUAAAAUUCUAAAAUAAUUAUGUAUUCACUUGAAUAUAGUUUUACUUAUAACUGUUAAAAUAUUGUGGUAUUUAAUAUAUUAUUUAUUUGACAUUAAAAUUUAAUAAGGAUACAAAUGUAAAAGUACAUAUUUUCAGUUUUUUCAGUUAAAAAAAAAGCAACUUAAUACUUAUUUUUCGAGAUUCAGACGAAAAAAUAAACAUAUUAUUCAUAUUCAGACAUUUAGAUAUAUUCAGAAUUCAAACUAAUUCAGGUCUAUUCAGAUUUUAGACAAAAAAAACAAACGCCACCUCAAUCAAUAAACACACCAUAAAUGUAGAGUUGUUACUAUUAGAAUACAUUAUAAUUCAUCACAAUUAUGAUAGGUAUAUACGUGUGUAAUAAUUUAUAUAAGAUGCUAAAUUUUGAAAAUAAUAAAAAAUCAUUUAUACAUAUUUAAAAAAAUCAUUAAUACAUUAAAAUGUGCAUCACAUAUACAUUUACAUAAUAGCAAUGACCAUAGUAUAAAAAAAACUCCUAAAAGAGAACGACUUCGUUAUUUAUGUUAUUUUAUAUAUUUUUAAUUGAUUAUUAAAAGGAUCAAUUGUUAAUUAUUAUUCUCCAAACAUAAUCACCGUUAAACAUUUAUUCAAUUUAACAAUAGGUAGAUGUUAAAUAAUAUUGGAAUAUUUAAUGAACAAUAUAAUCACUAUUGCAGUUGUUUUUUUUUUUUAGUAAUGGAUUAUUCGAAACUCAAAUUCAUUUUUUAGCCCCCUUACCUCUCUUAAAAUUCAAAUUUAAGUGACUAAACAAAUAAAACUGCUUAAAAUCUAUACGACUACAUCUUUGGGGACCAAUUAAUAUGGAUGUUUAAAUCUUGAUUUAUUAUUAAAUCUUUGAGUUUCAACCACUAAUAACAUCAUCAUCGAUUAAUGACAAAUAAAAUAAUACAUCAUCAAAACCAUUAAACACGUCCAUCAAUAUCAAAAACAAGUAAAAAGUUUAGCAUGUAUUUCAAAUAUACUUUUCAUCCCAAAAGUUGUAGAGAAAGUCUCGAUAUCAAUGUCACUAUGAGACGUAAUUUUAUAUUUAAAGUCAGCGCAACUUAAAAAUUACUAUGAAUGAAUAAUACACCAUAAAAAAAUUAUUUAUAAGUAUUUUCAUCAUGUAUUUUUAUUUAACAAUGGUGACAUUUAUUUUUUAACUUAAUGACUUAAAGUGGCUUAACUUAAUUAAUUAAGUUAAUUUUAGGUGUUUGUUUUUAUAACUUAAUAGGACAUUUUAGAUAAUUUUGACUUAAUAAAAUAGGCCAAUUUUUUUUAACUUUUUACUUAAUAGAGAAAUUUGAAUUAAGUCAGUUACUUUCUAAUGUAAAAAAAUAUUCCUACUUUAUAAUUUAUUUUUCAUGCAUAUUCAAAAACUCACCCAUAGAUAUUUACCCCACAUAAUCUCAUCUUUAUUUUCUUCCAGCCGUCAUGGAAUCCCUCCUCACUUUGCUUCUCUCCUCUAGUUCUUGAAUCUCCCUUUAAUUUCUCGCUAGGCAAAGCACUUGAAUUGGGCUUUUUUUUUUUCCUUUUCAAUUACGUUUUCCAACAUUCACUUAUAUAAUAAUCAACUAGUUGCUACUCUUUUUAGUGAUAAAAUUUGAAAUAUGGUAUUUUAUAUAUUAAAUUUUCAAAAUUAUGUAUUCACUUAAAUGUAGUUUUACUUAUAAAUAUUAAAAUAUUAUGUUAUUUAAUAUAUUAUUUAUUUGACAUUCAAAUUUAAUAAGGAUAUAAAUGUAAAAGUACAUAUUUUUAAUUUUUUAAGUUGAAAAAAUAACUUAAUAUUUAUUUUCAGAUAUUCAAAUAAAAAAUAUAUUAUUUAAAUUCAAAAAUUUAAAUCUAUUCAAAAUUUAAAGUAAUUCAGGUCUAUGCAUAUUUCAAUCAUAAAAACAAAUGCCACAUGAGUCAUUCAAUUUCUAAUUAAGAGGAUAAAAAAUAGAUUUGGACUAUCCUAAGACAAAAACAAAAAAAAAAACAAAAAUAAGAUUUCCUAAUAAGUGUACUAACGUGGUCACGCGCCUUGAGAAACGCUUGGACCUAACACACUAUUUUAAUCCGAUAUGCAAAAAAAGAAAAAAAAAAAAAAGGAAAAAUUAUGAGAUGUAUAAGUUUCUAGAGACGUGUUAAAUUUUGAUGAAACAAUGAAGAAAGUCGGUGGCCGAAGUUGGUAUGGGGCAAUGCGAAUGGUGGUUGGCCCACGUUGCCCUGUAAUUGGAGUUGUUAUAAUUUUUCUUAUAAUUAAUAGGACUUGACACAGACUGCAGCAUCAGCCGUUGGAUGUGGAGGGAGAAACUAAACAAUAGAAAACCGUAUGGUGGGAUGACGGUAGAUGUUUGUUACAGAAACUGUACCAUAGACAGGUCCUAAUUAAUAAGCUCUACGUUUUGAAACAAUAAAUAAACUCCAGAUGACCAAAAUAUCAUUUCAUACUGCUACCUAGACAUCUUGGCGAGGGUGGGUAAUGUGGGGCCCGGAGCUUGUUUGAUCGUCAAUUAUUCUCUGGUUUGGUGAAACGAAUGGACGGACGAUGGUGAUGGCUUUUAGGAGAUUAGUAUUAUUAUUAUUAUUAUUAUUAUUACAUUGAGAUCGUAAAACAAAAAAUUCAAUUAAUAAUAUAAAAUAUUUAUUUAAUUUAUUAAUUAUUAUAUAUACACAAUAAAAAAAUUUAUAUACAUAUUUAUAAAUGUGUAAAUAAAUUUCAUUCAAUAUUAUAUCCAAUUAAUCAUUUAUAUUUUUCUGCUGUACCGUACAUCCGCCUUGGCCGUACAGCAGUAAAGCUGCUGAUGCUUUAUCGCGAAUUCAUGAGGAAAAUGUGAUUGAAGAACCCAAACCAACAACUCUUUGUUUGUCGUUAGACAUUUACCCCACAUAAAAAUAUCCCUAUUUUUUCUUUCUUAUAUUAUAUACGAUAAAAUUUGAAAUUUAUGGUAUUUUAUAUAUUAAAAUUCUAAAAUAAUUAUGUAUUCACUUGAAUAUAGUUUUACUUAUAACUGUUAAAAUAUUGUGGUAUUUAAUAUAUUAUUUAUUUGACAUUAAAAUUUAAUAAGGAUACAAAUGUAAAAGUACAUAUUUUCAGUUUUUUCAGUUAAAAAAAAAGCAACUUAAUACUUAUUUUUCGAGAUUCAGACGAAAAAAUAAACAUAUUAUUCAUAUUCAGACAUUUAGAUAUAUUCAGAAUUCAAACUAAUUCAGGUCUAUUCAGAUUUUAGACAAAAAAAACAAACGCCACCUCAAUCAAUAAACACACCAUAAAUGUAGAGUUGUUACUAUUAGAAUACAUUAUAAUUCAUCACAAUUAUGAUAGGUAUAUACGUGUGUAAUAAUUUAUAUAAGAUGCUAAAUUUUGAAAAUAAUAAAAAAUCAUUUAUACAUAUUUAAAAAAAUCAUUAAUACAUUAAAAUGUGCAUCACAUAUACAUUUACAUAAUAGCAAUGACCAUAGUAUAAAAAAAACUCCUAAAAGAGAACGACUUCGUUAUUUAUGUUAUUUUAUAUAUUUUUAAUUGAUUAUUAAAAGGAUCAAUUGUUAAUUAUUAUUCUCCAAACAUAAUCACCGUUAAACAUUUAUUCAAUUUAACAAUAGGUAGAUGUUAAAUAAUAUUGGAAUAUUUAAUGAACAAUAUAAUCACUAUUGCAGUUGUUUUUUUUUUUUAGUAAUGGAUUAUUCGAAACUCAAAUUCAUUUUUUAGCCCCCUUACCUCUCUUAAAAUUCAAAUUUAAGUGACUAAACAAAUAAAACUGCUUAAAAUCUAUACGACUACAUCUUUGGGGACCAAUUAAUAUGGAUGUUUAAAUCUUGAUUUAUUAUUAAAUCUUUGAGUUUCAACCACUAAUAACAUCAUCAUCGAUUAAUGACAAAUAAAAUAAUACAUCAUCAAAACCAUUAAACACGUCCAUCAAUAUCAAAAACAAGUAAAAAGUUUAGCAUGUAUUUCAAAUAUACUUUUCAUCCCAAAAGUUGUAGAGAAAGUCUCGAUAUCAAUGUCACUAUGAGACGUAAUUUUAUAUUUAAAGUCAGCGCAACUUAAAAAUUACUAUGAAUGAAUAAUACACCAUAAAAAAAUUAUUUAUAAGUAUUUUCAUCAUGUAUUUUUAUUUAACAAUGGUGACAUUUAUUUUUUAACUUAAUGACUUAAAGUGGCUUAACUUAAUUAAUUAAGUUAAUUUUAGGUGUUUGUUUUUAUAACUUAAUAGGACAUUUUAGAUAAUUUUGACUUAAUAAAAUAGGCCAAUUUUUUUUAACUUUUUACUUAAUAGAGAAAUUUGAAUUAAGUCAGUUACUUUCUAAUGUAAAAAAAUAUUCCUACUUUAUAAUUUAUUUUUCAUGCAUAUUCAAAAACUCACCCAUAGAUAUUUACCCCACAUAAUCUCAUCUUUAUUUUCUUCCAGCCGUCAUGGAAUCCCUCCUCACUUUGCUUCUCUCCUCUAGUUCUUGAAUCUCCCUUUAAUUUCUCGCUAGGCAAAGCACUUGAAUUGGGCUUUUUUUUUUUUCCUUUUCAAUUACGUUUUCCAACAUUCACUUAUAUAAUAAUCAACUAGUUGCUACUCUUUUUAGUGAUAAAAUUUGAAAUAUGGUAUUUUAUAUAUUAAAUUUUCAAAAUUAUGUAUUCACUUAAAUGUAGUUUUACUUAUAAAUAUUAAAAUAUUAUGUUAUUUAAUAUAUUAUUUAUUUGACAUUCAAAUUUAAUAAGGAUAUAAAUGUAAAAGUACAUAUUUUUAAUUUUUUAAGUUGAAAAAAUAACUUAAUAUUUAUUUUCAGAUAUUCAAAUAAAAAAUAUAUUAUUUAAAUUCAAAAAUUUAAAUCUAUUCAAAAUUUAAAGUAAUUCAGGUCUAUGCAUAUUUCAAUCAUAAAAACAAAUGCCACAUGAGUCAUUCAAUUUCUAAUUAAGAGGAUAAAAAAUAGAUUUGGACUAUCCUAAGACAAAAACAAAAAAAAAAACAAAAAUAAGAUUUCCUAAUAAGUGUACUAACGUGGUCACGCGCCUUGAGAAACGCUUGGACCUAACACACUAUUUUAAUCCGAUAUGCAAAAAAAGAAAAAAAAAAAAAAGGAAAAAUUAUGAGAUGUAUAAGUUUCUAGAGACGUGUUAAAUUUUGAUGAAACAAUGAAGAAAGUCGGUGGCCGAAGUUGGUAUGGGGCAAUGCGAAUGGUGGUUGGCCCACGUUGCCCUGUAAUUGGAGUUGUUAUAAUUUUUCUUAUAAUUAAUAGGACUUGACACAGACUGCAGCAUCAGCCGUUGGAUGUGGAGGGAGAAACUAAACAAUAGAAAACCGUAUGGUGGGAUGACGGUAGAUGUUUGUUACAGAAACUGUACCAUAGACAGGUCCUAAUUAAUAAGCUCUACGUUUUGAAACAAUAAAUAAACUCCAGAUGACCAAAAUAUCAUUUCAUACUGCUACCUAGACAUCUUGGCGAGGGUGGGUAAUGUGGGGCCCGGAGCUUGUUUGAUCGUCAAUUAUUCUCUGGUUUGGUGAAACGAAUGGACGGACGAUGGUGAUGGCUUUUAGGAGAUUAGUAUUAUUAUUAUUAUUAUUAUUAUUACAUUGAGAUCGUAAAACAAAAAAUUCAAUUAAUAAUAUAAAAUAUUUAUUUAAUUUAUUAAUUAUUAUAUAUACACAAUAAAAAAAUUUAUAUACAUAUUUAUAAAUGUGUAAAUAAAUUUCAUUCAAUAUUAUAUCCAAUUAAUCAUUUAUAUUUUUACAGCGGUUUAAUAAUAAUAUUUACUAAAUACAUAUGAUUAUUUUUAAAAUUCACAGUAUUUUUAAAAAUAAAUUUUAUAAAAUUUUUAACUAAUUUUCUUUACAACUAACUAUUGAACGGUUUAACUAAUAGUAAUUAUUUUUAAAAUUAUAGUAUUAUCAAAUUAGUCCUAUGUCAAAUUUGUUAUUGCUGUUUUUUUUUUAAUUAAAAAAUUACAUAGUGCAUACGUGCAUAAUAUGCCCAACUCAAAAAUUCACACAAAAUAUACUAUUUAACUUUAAGGCUUUAAUUGAAAAAAAAAAUUAAGAUUAAGAUGAAUAAAUACUAGAACAUAACAAAUAGAUAAACUCUCCCAUUCUUUAAAAAGAUUAAUUUUAUUUUAAACUUACACUUCGAAUUCAAAGUAGACAUUGAUUGAUAAAAUUAUACAAACGGAUCAAUAUUCCUACAUUUUCUUUUUAAUUUCAAAACCAACAGAUAUUGUUUGUUCAUUAUAUGACCUCCAAACAAAUAAUUUCAUUAAUAAAAUAAUAAUGAAAAGUGUCGUGAUGGGUAUAGAGUAAUUAGGUGGCUAAGUUUCUACUUUUCAUUCUAACUCUUGAGGUUGGUAGGCGCGUGGGUGGUCCACAAAACCCGUGGACGGUAGCAUUCAAACAAAGACUGGAGGCACCAGAAAAAUGUCCAAAAAGUGUGAAACCGUGACGUGUUCAACAUGUUAAUAAAUUUAGGCAAAUGUUAAAGUUACGGAGCUGGCUACGUUACAGAAACUGUACGUAACAGCCAUGCAUUUUUUAUUCGUUGGAUCUAGAGACUGAAAUUGGAUGGUUGGGAUUAAAGGCCAGAAUAGAAAUUAAUCACGGGCAACCGUUUUUAACAUUUAGAAGGGUUUAUUUUCAUGCACACCCAAAUAUUUUGACAAAUAUCAAUAUGCACCCAGUAACUUUUUAUGUAAAACCACAUAACCGACCCGUUAACUUUUCUACUAUUGAAUUAAAAAACUAUCAUGCCUCAAUUGAAUUAAAUUGAUCAGGUAAAAUAUCUUUUAUAACUUGUCAAUUUUUACAGUGAAAUAUACGAGUAUUUAGUAAAAUCAAAUUUAUUUUUUAUUCAGUAAUCAAAUUUUUUUAUUUAGUGAAAUCAAAAUUAUUUUUCUUUAGUUGUAAGAUUUUUUUAACAAAAAAAUUCUAAAAUCAGAUUUAACUCAUUUACUAUUUUAAAAAAUGAACUUUUUACUAACCAAACUAGAGUUUAUCUUUAGUCAACAUAUUUUUUUCUCUAAAAUAACCUUUGAUAGAAUUACUUAUAUAAACAUGUCAGUAUCAAAAUUACUUCAUAUUUUACCAUCCAUCAAUUUAAACUAGUGUGAAAUUUUUUUAGUUUGAUAUUGAAAAUAUGAUAGUUGAUGAGAGAAAUCUAAUUCAAAUUUACAGAUAGAAUAGUUUCUUAUAAUUGCGUACAUGGUAUAUCAAAAAUAUUUUUUUGUGAGUUUUUAAAAAAAUUGUGUCACAAGAUGAAAUUAUCUCUUGAUUUUUCAAUUCCUGGAAUUUAUGUAAAACAAUAAACACAAGUAAAUCUUUUGGUUUGUGACUUCUUGAAGGAAUGUUUGGGAACGCACAAGUUCCUCUCUCCUUCAAAAAGAAUGAUAAGUGCAAAUACCAACCUAGAAAAUUGAUUUAUAAUUCAAAGAAGAUUUGAUUGAAGAUGAUUAAUUGAAAUUUAUCUUUGCAUGAUGUCAAACAUUUUUCAAAAUGACUAAGUCAAGUCUCUUUGUUAAUUCAAAUCAAGAAAAAUUAGAAAAAUAUUAAUGCAUAGAAAUUCUACUAAGAGUUAUUUAUGAAAUUCUCAAACGAAUAGAAAUUAAAUUAACAUUUUUAAAUUUUAGUUAUGGGUUUAUUUUAAAAAUGGGUUUAGAAAGAAAUUUGAGGGGUUUAAAGAACCCCGCCCUUUCUUUAAUUAUUCGGUGAAUUUGAAAUAUAUUAAUAAGGUAUAAGAAUAUGUUAUUCUAAUCUUCUUAUGCAAAAUCUAUGCAAUUAAAAAAAAAUUCACCAAACGGUAUUUGUCUUUUUAUUGACAUUUAAUAAUAUUGAUGGCAAAUAUAUACAAUUAUCAAUCAAUUGUUAUCAACUAUUCAAGAUAACUGAAAAACUAAUUGCGUGAAGUUGGAGUAAUGAUUGUUUGAAUUGCCAAGAGUUUUUUUUUAAUAGAAACUAUUGCAAUUCAUAUCAUUAAAAAACUUAAAGACUACAAGUCGAAUAAAAAAUCUUUCCUUAUAAAAGAAUUUGACCAACUCAAAGUACAGUGUUAAAUCCUUGAGAUACAAUGAACCUAAAAAUCCUACUUUGACACACCACAAAUAAUGAAUCUAACUUAACAAUCAAUGGAGAUAAAUCAAUUUUACUAGCAAAAUAUAAGCCAAAACACAAGGCAACGUCUUCACCAAAAUCAAUAUCAUUCAAAUAAUUCCCCUUGUGAACGCCUGAAGCUAUCAUAAAAACAACAAAAAAUAAAAAAAUAAAAACAAGUAGACAAGCAAAAAAAUUCCCCAAUAACAAGUUACCCUACAAAACUUUUCCUUGUAGAACAUACACAGAAACCGCAGCUAUAGGGCUAUCGAAAGUAGGGAUGGCAAUGGGGAGGGGAGGGGAGGGGACCAAUCUCCCCAUACCCAUCCCCGAUAUUUUGCGUAUGUCCCCGUCCCCGUCAGAAUUGCUUGAGAGAAUCUCCAUCCCCUCCCCGAAUAAUAACAGGGGAUCCCCGAGGGUCCCCGGUCUUUGGAAAAGCUAGGAAAGAAAAGGGACGUGAAAAACAAAGGGGGUAGAUUUUUUGAAGGGGAAAGAAAAAGAAACCCUAGAUCUAAAUUUUUCUCUUCUCUCUAUGAAGAACUAAACCUAUUAUUCUGGUUGAAGAUUAAUAAAGCUUUGGUUCAUCAUUACUGUGAGAUCUUUCUUAUGCUUUAAUUGUUUUAUUGCUUUUUGGGUAUUUGUUUAUUCUCUAAAUUAUUGUCAUGAUUAUAUUUGUUAAUUAGAUAAUUGGCCACUAUUUAAUUAUCAACUUAAUCUAUUGUCAAUUAAAAGAUUCAUCGUAUGAAGAUUUUAAUAUUUGUGACAAAUAGCAUAGCAGUGCGUUGUGUUAUGAGAAUAAACAAUCUAAUUUAAAUGAACCAUCGUAUGCGUUUGUUGAUUAGGAUUUGGGUCUCUCUGAUUUUUCAGGUUGUCAAUUAAUUAAAUCCUAUGAUUGUAUCUAGGGUUAUCUAUUAAUUAGGGAAAUAACCAAUGGUCGUACCUUAGUUAUCGACUAGUUAAAGAGAGAUUGGCUAUUAAAGGGUCUCAGUAGCUAGGGAUGGCAAAAAUCCCCACGGGGACGGGCACCCUCGGGGAUUUUCCCCAUUCGGGGAGGGUACGGGGAUAAUUUUAUACCCAAUUUUUUUUUCGGGGAGGGGACGGGGAAAAUUUUUUACCCAAUUUUUUAUUCGGGGAGGGGACGGGGAUGAGGUGGAAUCCCCAUCCCCUACCCAUUUCCCCAUUUUAAUUUUUAUUUUUUAUUUUUAAAAUUACUAAUAAAUAUAUAACAAAAUUAUAAAUAUUGGCAAGAUAUGAGUGGAAUUUUGGGUGUGACAUGUAUAUUUGAUCCAAGGUAUAAAAAGAAGUUCAUUGAAUAAUACUUUUCUUUUUAUUUUUAAAAUUACUAAUAAAUAAAUAACAAAAUUAUAAAUAUUGUUAAAAAUAAUAAAUAUCAAAAUAGUUGUAUGUUGGGAAAGUGGUCACCCCUUACCAGGAAUUAGUGGAAGAGUAUCAAUUGAAGUUUUCACCAAUUGUUUAUUGCUUUGAUUAUACUGGUUGUAGUUCUUCUAUUAGAUCUACAGGGGAUUCUUAUAAGAAAGCAACCAAAUGGAUGACAUGUUUUGAUGAUUAUGUAAACAAUGGAGAUUGUGCAGUUGUUGCAGAUGAAUUAGAUUCAUAUUUGGAUGAAAAAGUUAUACCCCGGAUGGAAGAUUUUAAUAUUUUGAGUUGGUGGAAGACAAAUGCUAAUAGGUAUCCUACAUUAGCUCGAAUUGCUACAGGACGAGCAGGAGGUAAAUAGUUUUAUUAAAAAUAUUAAUUAAGUAUCUACAUUUAUUUCAUUUAUUUUAUUGCCGAUGUAAAAAAUAUUUUUUUUUUCUUUUUAUUGUAGGAUUAUGAAGAUUGAGACAUUGAUAAAGAUAAUUAUUUUAAUAAUUUAUAUUUUGAAUGUGACUUUGUAAUGGAUCAAUAUUAAUGUAAGAUAUAUUUUAAACUUUAUUUUUAUCUGAAUUUUUUAUUUUAAUAUGAUUAAUUUAAAAUCAAAAAUAAAAAAAUGUAUUAGACUAUUAAUUAUUCGGAGACCGGGGACCCUCGGGGAUCCCCUGUUAUUAUUCGGGGAGGGGAUGGGGAUUCUCUCAAGCAAUUCUAACGGGGACGGGGAGGGGACGGGGACAUACGCAAAAUAUCGGGGAUGGGUAUGGGGAGAUUAGUCCCCUCCCCUCUCCUCCCCAUUGCCAUCCCUAGAUUUUUGCCAUCCCUAUCGAAACCUCUACCCACCACUAUUAGAGUUAAAAAAAUCUCUGAUAUGAGUGUAUUCUUCUAAUUUGAACUCUAACGUGAUUUUUUGAGAGAUUCAUUGGAAAAAAACCUUAAGGAGUUAAAGAAGAAAUUUAAAAAAAAAAUCAUAAAAAGAGGAAUGAAAAGAAAAAGAUGCUUUACCAAGAGUUGAUUGACAGUAAUUGGUAAAUUUGAGCAUGCAAUAAAAUUUACCCAUAUAUUCAUAUGACAUAAAAUAUAAUUUUAUUCAUUAAUUACACUACUAAUUUGUCUAAAUUUUAGUUUUUAAAAAAAUAAAUUUCUAUAUAUUUACAUAAAUCUUAGUUUUUAUAAAAAUAAAUUGAAAAAUAAAUUUAUGUUUUUAUAAAAAUAAAUUUAUGUUUAUUUUUUUACAUUGACCUGAAGAAAAGACUAGUACUACUAAGCUGCUGUACGGCCAAGGCGGAUGUACGGUACAGCAGCAAUUUGACUGUUUGGGGGUGGGGUUGAUGGCUUACAUCAAAGUUAGUGUGUGCUAAGGAUUAACAAUAAUAAUGGGGUAAAUAUGAAAUUAAUCCUUGCCCAAGCAUUAGAAGUUCGUCGGUUUUCUUUUAACCGGAUAAUUACCGGUGAAUAUGUCACGCGUUCCUACACGUGGCAGCAUCUAAUUUAUUCGCUUGUCAUUUCAGUUUCUGUUAGUUACAGUUUCUGUAACGUAGCUAGCUCCGUCAGGUACAGGCAUGUUGUAACUUACGUUUCUCGUAAAAAUCAUAUAAGUUCUAUUUCUACCGCUAGGGUGAGCAUGGGUUGAUUUGGAUUAAAUUUUAAGUUAAUUUAAAUUAAAUUAUAAAAAUUUGGGUGUAAUCUAAAUUAAUUUAAAUAUUUUUAACAUAACUCAUGGGUUGGUUAAAUCAAACUAUAAAAAUUUGGUCCAACUCAAAUUAACUCAAAUAUUUUCAACACAACCCAAAGCAACUCAGUUGGAUUUUAUUAAAAUUAUAAUAAUUAUUAAUUGUUUUUAAACCAACCAUUUUGAGUUUGGUUUGGAUUUUAUUAUCAAAAUAUAUUUUUUAUUUUGAGAAAUUUAAUUUUAUCAAAAUUAUAAUAAUUAUUAAUUGUUAUUACUUAUUAAAUUGAUAAUAACAUAUAAAAAUUAUAAUUCAUAAAAAUUAUAAAUAACAAAUUUUACAAUAACUUAAUCCUUAAAUUAAAGAAUACUAGAAAAUUAAAAUAAAGUUUAAUCACAAAAAUCAUUAUUUAUCAAUAAAUAAGAAAAUUCUAAUAAAAAACUUCUACAAGCACGAUAUCGACAAGUAAAUUCAAAGAAAGAAAGAAAGAAAGAAAAGACUAGUACUACUAAGUAUUAACCCUAUUACAACACAAACUCUAACAAUGUCCAUACAAAUAAAAAAAAAUAAGACAUUCUAACUCAAGUGUCAAAGCAAUCCAUCAUAAUCAUUUCCAUCCGUAGUACUUUAAUCGAGAGAUUCCACGAUUAACUGACAAAAUGUAUGACAAUGAUAAUUUACAUUGAUUAUGACAUAAUAGAGAUGGAUUUGUCAAAGCCAAAUCAUUUGCUGGAAAGGAAUUUAGUUGAAGUAGGAACCAAAAUUCAACUUAGAUGGAUCUAUAAAAUUGGUCAUUCAAUACAUAAGUACUUUAUCAACAGAUUCAACACAUUAUAAAUUUAUGGAUUCAACUAAGUUACAACCAGCUGCAACUUAUUCCUCUCACAUAAACAAUAAUACAGCGGUAGGCUAUAUUAUUUACAAAAAGUACUUAUGUAUUGAAUGACCAAUUUUAUUACCUGCAAAAUUAAUUAAUCUUUCACUCUAUCAUCUAACUAAUGGAAGGCAAUCUUAUUUUAGGUUGUAAUGAUUAGAAACUAGCAGGAAGUGGGGGCGAUGCUCCAUAUUAAUUUGGAUAAAUCCCUUUCUAGUGAAGAAGUUAAAAUUAUAAAAUAGAGAUCAAGAUAGAAAUUUAAAGGCCCCGAUUGUUUUUUACAGACUUAAAAAUGAUAUUGAAAAAUUAAAAGCUAAUUUUAGUAUUUAAAAAUUACUUUAAGAAAAAUCACCCUAUCUUCCUGUAAAUUUUGAAAAGCAUGAAAAGAGCAGUUUUUCAAAAAUUGAUUUCGAAAAUUAGUUUCAUACUUAAUACAAUUCCAUAUAUCCUAACAUUUAUUAUAAAAAUUCAAAUUAUCCUUAUUAAAUUAGGAAAUAAAGUCAGUACAUUUAAAUAAGAGUGAUGAUAUAGACACAAACUCUUGUACCAACUGACGUAGCAUUAAUUUAUUAGUUGAAUGAAAAUAUAAAAUAAUAUAAAUAAAUCAUGUGGGCCAAGAAAUAUUUAAUUUAACCAAUUUUAUCAUGUCACAUUAUAAGCAACUUAUAAACUCAUUGGAUUCGACUCUUUACUAAAAUAAAAAUAAAUUAAUAUAUAUAUAUAUAUAUAUAUAUAUUUACAUACAUAAAAUGUGAUUAUAUACACAUAUUUAUAAUUGAAUAUGUACAUAAAUUCUGUAGAUUUAUGUCUAUCUAUACAUUUGCAUUCUUACCACAUUUUAAAAGUGUGAUUUACCAAAUACAUGGGACUUAUUUGAAAUUUAUAGCACUUUUAUAAAUAAAAUUUAUCAAACGUUAAACAGAUUCUCUAUUUUCGCGUAUAUAUCCUCAUGUAAAUUAUAAAAAUUCAAAAUUAUCUUUAUUCAAUUAGGAAAUUAAAUCAUUAUUUUUAAAGAGAUUCUUAUUAUUACUAAUUAGAUUCAAAUAACCAAAAAAAUACAAUCAAUAAAAUAAAAAUAUUUAUUUUAGUUAUCAUUUAUUAUAUACACAUAUUUAUAAAUGCAUGUGUAAAUAAAAUUUUAUAGAUUUAUGUCUAUUUAAGUUAUUUGCAUUCUUACAACAUUUAAAAAAUGAGAUUUACUAAACACAUGUGAUUGUUUUUAAAAAAGUUACAACACUUUUAAAAAUAAAAUUUAACAAAUGUUUAAUUGACUCUCUCCAAAGGUAAUUGUUUUUACAGUAUAGCUAAAGUAAUUUAUAAAUUUAUGAUAAGUAUUUGUGAAUAUUGGUCUAUGUAAAGAAGUAAAAACAACAUAUAUAUUAAGCAGCAUGAUAUUAAAACUCUUAGUAAAAUACAUAUACUAAUAAAAGAAAGACAACAAUGCAAUAAAUAAGCUUAUAAUAUAAAUUAUUAAAAUUGUAUAUUAAAAAAUUAUGCAUGAAAUUCUUUUUCUAUUUUGGUGAUAGAGAAUGCGAUAUAAUUGAAUUAUUUGAUUUAAUAAAAAAAAAAUAUGACUGUGAAGGAAAUUAACAAUUGAAUUGUGGAAUGUUAUUAAUUGUUAUUGUAUCAUUUUGCAACGUUCUAAUAAUAUGGACAAUGUUACAGUAUAUUGAUGGGCGGUAAUAUUUUCACCUCUUAAAUUGUGUAAAGUCAGCUCCAUUUAAAAAAAUUAUAUAUAAAAAGCCCAUUAGUUUUAAUAGUUUCAAAUUAAGAUUAAAUGCAAAUAAUUAACCAAUUAAAUCCUUAUUAAUAAGAUCAUUGAGCUUUAAUUAAACUAAUAAAAUGCAUUUGAUAAAUGAAAUUUACGAUAUUUAAUUACAUGAAAUUUAUUGACUACAUGAAUAAUAUAAUUGUUCAGCUGUUUAAACUUUUUCCCUAUUUAAAUUUUAAAAAACAAUGUGAAAUUUUGUAAAUAGUUCUUUGAAAUGGGGUGGAUUUACACCAUUUGUGCAGUGCAAAUAUCCUAAUUCUAACAUUUUUUUUAAAAAAAAAGACCAAAUCAUAACAUUUUUUGUAUACUAAGUUAAAGUAGUACUAACAUUAUAGCCCCCUAAUGAUUUCAAUUCAUUCAAUGAAUAUAUAAUUUAAGCAUGUUAUAAACUAAGUCUCUAAAUCGAAUUAAAAAAAGAAAAAAGAGCUUAAUUGCUGACAUAGUUGAAAAUAAAAUAAAAAAUUUUAUUAUUAGAUGAAAAAUUAUGAAACUUAAGGGGUAUAAGCGAGUCGGCAGCUGCUCACCAGGGCAUAUGUAAUAUUUGUUAAUACAUUUCAAAAUUUUAGGUUUUUUAAUAAUAUUUUCAAUACAUUUUCUAGAAGGUUUAGAAAAAAAAAAUGACUCAAUACUUUAAUCGAGCUAUGAAUAAACUCAUGUGUUAAAAAAUUUCAUAUUUACACCCAAUAAGAUUAAUUAAUGGGUGAUACAAAUUUAAGAUAGUUAAUAAUAAUAUAUAUCAUCUUAAGUUAACUUCAACUCAUUAACCUUGUAUAAGGUUUGAUGGGUCGUGCCGCAAAUUAUCACCUCUAAUCCUUUUUGCAACAGGCAUGAUGAAUGCUAACAAAAUGAAACUUCUAUAUAUUUAGUUGUUAUUCUUUUUAAUGAAAUAAUAAGGAGCUUUGCUGCAAAUUUCCAUCCAGCAUGGCAUGGACGCACGUGAAAUUUGCUAGUAUGGUCCUGGACAUGCGUGGCUGAGAUGCUUCUAAAGGCAAAGAAUUCCAAGUUCAUACCAAAUAUAACUUUCUGAUAUUUUUGUGGUAUCAAGUUUGUUUUUCACAAACUAAGGUGUCGGCGUAAAGUUGUUGUCCAUGCAAUGAAGUUUUAUACAUAAAUAUAUUAACCUAAAUUGUUACUAAAGUUCCAUAAUUAGCAGUUCCUGAGAGUUUUUACUAUAUAUUUUUUUGUUUUAAUUCAACAUAUGUUUAUUUAAUACGAUUUUAUUAAAUAAAUGUGCAUAUUUACCAUAUUUGUCUACGAUCAAUUAGUUGGAAAAAAAAAAGAAAAUUAAUAAAUUUAUUUAUUUGAUUGUUAAUGGUUUAGGCAUUUGAAUUCCCACAAAGUCAGGGUGUCAGCUCUGGACUUCUGGUGAUGUAUUUUUCUAAUAAAGAAAUAAAAUAUUGUUGUCAUUUUUUUAAUAUUCUAAUUUACCAAGCCUACCAACCAAUUAAUUUUUCUAAUUAGAUCAUUAAUUCAUUACACGUGCAUUCGCUGGCCCAGUGCUCCAAUCCCAUGCAUGCUGCACAACUCAAUGUGUUUUAAUAAGAAAAGGUUUGGUUAGCCUGUGCUGAUGCCAGAAGCCCCUUAAGGAGUUCAGGUAAACGUAAAUAUGUCCAGAUUUAGAUUUGAAUAUGUAAACGUAAAUAGGUCCAGAUUCAGAUUCGUUGCGCUAGAGAGGGGCACGCACGAUCGGGCUGCUGUCAGGUGGUACGUUGGCGUGGCAAUUCUCAACACGCGCUUCUCCUGGUGCAUACUUACGGCAAGUUGACACGUGACCCGUGUGGAUUGAGUGGACAGAGUCACGGGCACUGAUUUUUGUCAUCCAUAACGACUAACGUCGGAGACUUCGAGAAGAAAGAAAUUGUUGUCGUUUCUAAGGGGAAAAAAAUAUUUAAUUUGUUGAAGACAAAUUAACGUCGGAGAUUUUUUUUAUUUUUUAUUUUUAAUUUUGCAAUCUAAACCAGUCUAAUCAAAAUGUCAAUUUGACAAAAGUUGGACUGAUUUAGAUUAGUUCUAUUAGUUUGAUUGGAUUAAAUUGAAUUAGAUCUUGAACAUCCUAACACUUUUCAUGAAUGUUUUCCUUUUUUUUUGAAAAAAAUUAAUAAGGAGAAUUCCCAUGAAUGUUAAUUUUAUUGAUAAACUUGGCAAUUUUAAGAAAUGUUUUGACGCACGAAUAAUGCAAUUCAUCAACCCACAUAGAUAUGGAUAUAGGAAGCAGAGACCAGAUCGAUCUUGACAUAACGAAAACUUGUAUGUGUAUAUGUAUGUUACAGACCAGAUCGAUCUGUAGCAUAGACUUCUCCUAUAUGUAGGUUAUAUUCAAAUUACAAAAUGAACACAUGUUAAGGAUCUACAACUUCUUCUUUAAUCUAAUAAGCUCCCUCAACUUUAUUCCAAAACAAAAAAGAAUCAAAUUUUUGUUGGAAAUAUUUAUGAAUGAAGAAGCAAAAAGCGCUUGUAUCAAGGAUCUAAUUAAAGAACUGCCAGAGGCAUAGAUCUAUCAAAGCUCCCUCGCAUGACUCUUGGUCUCGGUGGCUUCUUCUUCUUCAUUCCGAAUUUUCCCUCCAUCUGAUCUCUUCCAACCUUUCCAUUUCCAAAUUGAAUUGAAACUUGCCUCAUAUUCGUUUGUUGAAUCCCAUCUUUUGUUGCACCACCAUGCAUCAAAAUCCUUGAAAUCCCAGCAUAAUGCAAGGACUCAGCUAUUUGCAAUGGGGUCACGUUCUUACUUGUCCUUGCCUCAACAUCAGCUCCCUUCUUCACAAGCAAUUCAGUCACAUCUGUGUGGCCAGAUUCCACCGCACAAUGCAAAGCUGUGUACCCAUCUUCAUCUUUAGCAUCAACAUCAAUCCCUUUAUCAAUCAGAAUCCUCACAACCUCAAUCUUUCCCUUAAACGAAGCCCUAUGCAAAGCAGUCCAUCCAUGUAGGUCUUUCCCAUUGAUCGCGGCGCCUGCUUCGAUCAACCUCUGCAUUGUCCUCACUUCCCCUUUCCUAGCGGCAAUACACAGGCUGUCACCAAGCUUCAACGCGUCAAAGAGACGGGAGUGACCGCACUCAGCAGCAACAUCAUAAGCGGUCUUUCCGCUCUUGUUUCUAAUAUAUUUAUUAGCACCCUUCUGCAAUAACAGCUUCACCAUUUGCUCAUAUCCCAAGCUUGCGGCGAUAUGCAAAGGCGUGUCACCGUCUCUAGCGUUGCGUAUAUCAGGCCUUGCUCCGUUUGCUAACAGAAGUCUCGCGCAAUCUCUUCUUCUGUCUUCAACCGCGAGAUGCAGAGCUGUGUUACCAUCUUUUGUUAAAGCAUUGACAUUAGCACCUUUGAUUAAGAGAAGCUUUAGUACUUCCAAAUGGCCGCCUCGUAAGGCCAAGUGUAUGGGCCCCCAUGUUGAUGUUCCUGAUCUUUCUGUGCUGGCUUUCCUCGCCAACAAGAGCUCAACAAUAAGUGCUUCCCCUGCAGCCGCCGCGGCUUCAAGUGGAGUACUGCAGCCACACCUGCCUUGAGACUCAACAUCCGGCCCAAACUCAAGCAAAAGUUGAACAAUAUCAGGCCUCCUUUGAGCUAUAGCAAUAUGAAGCAACGUUUGUCCCUGCGCAUCGGCAGAAUCAGCCGGGUUCCAAGCCGGGUCACUCCGCUCAAGAACCUCUCUUAAAUCAUCCAUUUCACCAUCCUUAACAAGCAGAACCAAAACAGGAGACCCAACGAACAUGAUCUUGAUUCCGCUGUCGAUGAACACUUGCUUCUUCCUCGUUGUGAACCAGUCACUGGGGACGGAAUCAAGCGUCGACGUUGCAUCUUUAAUUCCAGCUCCAGGAACAACAACGCUGUGCAAGAGGAAGGAAUCAUCACAGUGAGGGAAAGAAUCAGGAAGAACCGAUCCUGGAGGGAGAUGAUACGCAAUCUCUACGCUUAGUGUUGCGAGUGGUGAUAUGAUUCCUGAUUGCGGCUUCACAGUAUAACGAGCCUUGUUUGUAGGCUGAAUCCUGAAAGCAACAGGCAUCGUGUGCAUGACAUUGCGGAGAGUCAGCUCCCCGGAACAUUUCUGCCCUGGUUCAAUUCUGAUAGCUACAAGGUUCGACGGCUCCAAGCUUACAAGCCUAUCCAUUGAUUAAUUUUCUCUCCGUUUCCCAAGGACUGCUGAAAGGGGUUCUUUGAACUUUUUGAUUCAGGCUUAUUUUCUUCACUUUUGGUGGCAUGGGGAGGAAUUAGAGGAGUAACUGUAAGAGCUGCAAGUGUUGGUGUAAUCAACUGUAAUAUAAGGAGAAGAGAGGGCCGGCUCUAAUGGGAGACUGCCACGUGGUGGUGUUAAAAACAAUGAGACUUGUUCUGUUCGGCGUCCGGAGUGUAUAUACAGUUGUGUUAGUGGUGAAAGUUAAAGAAAUCCUGAAGUUAUUUUCGGAGUGGCUUCUGCAAAGUCACUUUCAGGAUUGUAUUGUAUCAUUAAAAAACAAAGCCAGUUUUUGUUGUUCUAGUAAAAGGCGAAUCAUUGGACAAACUCGUAAGAAUAUGUUGCCAAAUGUAUAAAAUAUGAAAUUCAAACAAUGAUUACAAUGUGAAAUUGGACAAUGGACAUGGCCUGUGUGAAUUGUUUUGUGGGCUUACUAAUUAAAUUAAUUCACUAAAAAUAAUGUCACUUUUGUGUCUGUGAAGAAGCCGAAAUGGCACAGUCAUUUACGUGGCCAACUACGGUGACUACUUCGUCAGUAGCUGCUCGAGCACUUGGUCAGCACAAGUUGCUUUCUUUCUUGGCGGGAUUAGUUUUUCUUCAUUGCUUUAAGUGGUGCAUUUCUGCAGUUUCAUUUUGCUUUGCUUAUGCCAUUGGAUUUGUGCCCCAUAAAUAAAUAUAUAAUUAAGCGGAAAAGUAUCAAAUUUUGAAAAAGCUUAGGUUUUGUGUGUGUGUGUGUGUGUGUGUGUGUGUGUGUUUUAAGCCGAAUUACUCGGCUAAAAAUUAAUCCGAUUAUUAUUGUUUUGGUGCUUAAGAUGUGACUCUAACCUAAAGCUCAUUUGAACUCUCUUGAUGCUCAUAUGGUAUUUUUUGUGUUGUGUCGUGCUGGCCCUUACACAUCUCGGCUCAUAUUUUUCAUGUUACUAAGUUCUAAUAUGUACAAAAGAAAUAGAGCAAUGUCCGGUGGUAGAUCCAAACACUCAAUUUGGGGUGCUUAUUUUUCAGUCUCAAAUUCGAUUAUUUUCUUUUAAAAUAUUAAAAUAAUAGUAAUAAAAUACUUAUUUUAAAUACUGAGCUCAUUACAACCACAUAUGUAAAAGUAUCAUUUAUAUUUUUUUUCUAAAUAAUCUUCACAAAAUAUUUUAAAAAAUAAAAUUAUGUGACUAUGGGGAUUUGAACCAAGUCUCUCAAACUACUAAAUAACACUUUUACCACUAAAUUACAAAUCUUUUAACAUAUUAAAAGUGCAUCCAAAUUAUUAUUAUUAUUUAAUUAUUUCAUAAGAGAUUUGGGGCACAUUUAAAAGAAAAAAAAUUAAUGGUGCAUAAAGGACUAAAGCCUCUCUUGAGUCCUUGACCUUAACUAGGUCCACCCAUGGUAAUGUCAGUGAUACCCAACUUGAAAAAUAUACAAGAAACUUGGAAAUUUAAAUUAAUGAAUAAAUAAAUAAAUAAAAGGAAACUUAGUGAUUGUAGCUGUUGUAUUGUAUUGUGGAUCAAAGAAUUACAAGUUCUUGGUUUCUCGGUAUUGGCUAAUUUUGAAGUUAAAUGAAGUUCGAAAAUAUUUACAAGCAAUAAAAUUAUCAACUGAAUGAGACAAGGAAAGAGUAUAAAGACCUUAGCAAAUUAGCAAUCCUUCUUUAAUUUAGUAACAGUGACGCUUAUAAAGUUAGAAGACGUAUCAAAUCUAAUUUAGAUUUUGCCCCAUAAAACUAACUUAACUUAUAGUGCGUCUUUGUUUAAUUAGUAAAUAUUCCACAAAAACUGAUCAGCACUUUAUAGGAAAUUCCAAACACGUUUAUAUUCACAAGGAAUAUGUCAAGGAGAAAUGAGAAUAAAAAAAUGUAAAAACUAAUAAAGCUUCAUUAAUUAGAAUUUAUAACCAUAUGUGCUCCUAUACUACUUUUAUUAUUAAGAAUUUGAAGUAGAAGGUAGUUGAUUAUCAUGAAAUUACAAAAUUGUAAACGGAUUUGUUCUUUUGGAAAAAGAAAAAAAAAAAAAAAGGAAGGAUAGUUGAUUACUUGAUUAGUGAGAAAUCAUACGUAUAAAGGACAAAUUGAAAAAUGGGACCUGAAUUGCAACAAAGCUUCAUUGGAAUUAACUGCCGAUAAAAUUAAAUUAGUAUCACCCUACCCUUUCAUCUUAAUAUAUUCGAAAUUUCACCGAUCAAAGUUUCUAGCUUCGAUUUUUACGAUCUCUCAUCCUAAUAACACCAAAAGCAUAUUCAUUCGUUUGUAAGAUUAUGUAACAAAAUAUAGUAAAUAGCCUAUAAUUUUUUUGUUUUACUACUAACCUGUUAUCAUUCUUUUCUAAUAAUACAUGUUAAAAUAUUCACAGAAAAAAUUUAUCCCUAUUACACCCAACCACCUUUUUUUGUGUUUUUUUUGUUCAAAUUUUAGCAUUAAAGGGACAAUAAUGUCCUAUGAAAUAUGCAGAAAGACAGUUAAUAAUAUUCAAAAAUGUAAGUGGAGGUAUCUUACGCCACACACACAAAUUACACGACUCUCAUUAAUGUGUUGUUGUUGUUAUGUGUGGCGUAAGUUACAGUUGAAUGUCAUAUUCAAAAAAGUAAGUGGAGGUAUCAAUCUCCCUAAAUAAAUAAUUUAUGGAAGGUUGUUAGCUGUUGUACUUUUAGUUAAUUUUAAAAUCACAAUAAUAUGGUUAAUGUUAAGUUACAUGCAUGUAACUUAGGAGGAUCCCAAUAAUAUACCAUAUUUUAUUAAUAUGUACAGUAUUUAUAAUAUUUAAAAAUUAAGGAAUUAAUGUACGCAUGUAAAAGCUGCAUUGGAGCCAGUUGGAAAUCUUACUGUCUUGAUAUAUGCAACGAUUGUAGCAGCUAAAAAGGCAUGAUAUUUACUUAAUAUUAUUUCAAACAAUAAUUAUUUAUUUAAAGCAAAUAAUAAUAAUGAGGGCAGAAGGACUAUUCUAGGAUCAAUAUGGUGACAGUAUAAAUAAAUAAUAUUAAUUAUUAAUGCAUUGAUGAGUAUUGUUAAAAUGACAUAAUAGGUUUGUUUCAUUGAAUUGAACCUUUUCUCUUAAAAUAGCUAUAAUUUGUUCUCUCUCUCUCUGUGUUUUUGUUUUUGUUUUUCACUUUAGUUUUACUUCUCUUAAAAAACCAAAAAAAAAAAAACAAAAUUAAUGGAAACUGAUGAUGGGAAGACGGACAAUUUUCUAUAUUGUUAAAUAGAAAUGGGCACAAAUGUGAGUUUUUUGGGGCAAAAAAAUAUAGUCAAUGUACGUAGCGUUUGUCUAUUUGAAAACCCGUCAAUAUAAAAACAGGACGUAAAGCUUUCAGACAAAGUACUCUUAUGGCCGUACUUUCCAUAAACCAAAUCAAAAGAAGGAAAAUAUUUGUGUCUGGCUUCGAUGCGACUGUUAACAUUCACAAAUAAACACCUUUGCAUGGUCAGAAAAAUUAACAAGAAAUUAGAAGGCGAUGUUGCGUUCUACUUAGUUCUCUAGGAUUUGUGUCAUUUGUUUAUGCUACGGUUCGUUCCCAUUUGCAUUGCGUGGAAUAAUUGGCCGAAUAUUAUUAAUCUCAAUCUUAAUCUCUCAACUCUUGUCCCUUUAAUUUUUGUUUGUAUCUUUUUCUUUUUUUUUUUAAAUAUCACAUACAAUGCUUUUAAUAAAUAACUUCAUAGAAAUAUUUAAUAAAAUCCAACAUAUAUAAGUUCAAGAAACUCAAAAAAUAAAAGAAAAUAAACUCACGUUGUCACUGGAGAGACUCAAACAUGCUACCUUAAAAUUAAGUAGAGGGUGCAACUACUUGCACUUUAAAAAAAGAAAAGAAAAAAAAAGGGGCUUUGAACGCUCGUGAUAAUUUGCAAGUUAUGGAGGAUAAUCAUUGUACAAUGGGGAGAACUCUUAUGGAACAAUAUUCAAACUGAUAUUGAAAGCAUAUAAGAAUUUGGCUUGGGUGUUUUGGUGCCAUGAAUGAGUGCAGAAACAAAGAGGAAGCUUUGUCCCUUUAAUUUGAUCUGCUGUAUUAUAAUUAUUGAGAUUAAUCAAAUAAAUAACCGAAACAUGGUUACAGUUUUAUAGUGUAUUGCAAGUCUUUGGAGAUACUAUGUACCUCAAAAAAAAAUAUCGUAUAAAAGAGUGUUUUGUUUCACAGGGGUUCAAUGAGAUUUGAGAUGGCUGUAAUGAAAGUGAUGUAAAUUUUUUGGACUCUAAUGAGGUGUUUUUAGAUGGAGGGGGAUUUACAAGUAUUUUAUAGGGGUGAUAAAUGACUGUAUACCCACCAAAAAGGCCCAUUGUUCGAGUCCAUGAGCAUUACAGUUUUUUUUUUUUUUUUUUUUGAAAUUCAGAACAUGCAGUUUGUUUGAUUCAACUUCCGAAUUACAAAAUUAGAAUAAGAAAAAAAAAUGUGGAUGUUUUUUCUUUAAUUUACAUAAUAAUACAUGGUGUGGACGAUGUCUAUUGAGGGAUAAAAGAGGAAUGGGGGCACUGUGAAGUUUGUGUUUUUGUUUUUUUUAAAUUAUCAUAUUCAUACUGUCUAUAAAAAUAUGCAAGUUAAAAAAUUACUCAUGAUAUUGUUGUUUUUGUUUCAUAUAAUACUACUUAUGCACAUCGCCUCAUGCAAACAUUUCUUAGUUAUGCUUAAAAAAAUGAGAUUCUCACCAUGGGUCACUGUAAAAAUCCACAGAAGCCGUGGAUCACAGUAGGAAGCCCACUUGAACAGAAGAAGCUACCGAAAGCUUCGACAUUGUAUUUAUGAAAUGCUUAGUAAAUUUUGUUUUAUUUUGAAUUUAUAUUAUAAAUGGUGUGUUGCUAAAUUAAAAAAUAAAAAAGAAAUGCAAUGUGUCAAAAUACAAGAAUCUUACGGACAUUUUUGUCACAAUAUAUGUAAAUAAUUCAUAUCUUAUUCAUAUCCUAUGUAAGCUUCACUUGUUUAACACAAUGGUGGUUGAAUCUUCAAAAAUUCAUAAUCUUAAACAACCAAAUUUGGAAUUAAUUAAGCAAAUUGCCUCUAUAAAUUGAUUACAACAACCAACGACGUGUGAAGCCACAUGUCAAUUUCCCUAGACAGCCCAAAUAUUGAGGCGCUGUGAGGGAGCAAGGUGCAAUCGGAUGGGGGAAAGAGAGAGAGCCAAUGGUGAGAAUGGAUCGUGGUGAGGGAGAACCAACUGGUGGUGAGAUUUGUGGCUUCAAUGAGGUGAGUUUCGUGGCGCUGUGAGUGAAGUGAGAUUUGGCAUGAGUGUGAGGGAGAAUGCGUGUGUUGUGUGAGUGAGGUAAGCUGUGUCUGUUGUGUGCAUGGAGACUCUCACCACAAUUAGAAUUUAUAGUUAGCACAGAACGAAACACAAUAUUCUACGCUAACUGUGGAGUUAACCAUGGUGAGAAUAUCAUUAUUGUUUAUUAUAACACUUUUUUUUUUAAUUUGUUUUGACAAUAAAAUAAAGAACCUUGUAAGAAAACCUCAAUAACUCAAUUAAAAAACCAACUCAACCGAUGAUAGGUAAAUUGAGAAAUUUUCAACUAAAAAUUAUUAAGAUUGGUUUUAACUUCAAAUCAUAGUCACAUAGUUUUGUCCUUAUAAAGAUCAAAAUAAUGAAUUCUAACUCCGAAGUUUUUAGAUUUAUGUGACGAACUGACGAUAGUAUAUUGAAAUCGAUUGAAAUGAAAAAUUUAAUUAAAUGCAAUUCAAGAUGUAGUAUCAAAUUCAAACGAUUCGGAUUGUUUUAAAAAUUUCAAUGCUUUAAUCUAAAUCGAUUAAUCAAUUACACUCUUGCAAUUAUAUACCGUUAAAACUAAAAUAUGUAAAAUUUAGGGUGCAUUUAUUACCAUUUUCAAUUUGUUGUUUUUCGUUUUAUGAAAAGGAAAAUACAGAAAACUUGUUUGGUGAGCUCAUAUUGGUGGAAAACUGUACAGUGAUUAAAAACAAAAAAAAAUUCAUUUUUCAAUGUUUACAAAGGAAACAAGAAAACGCUAUUACACUGGGUUCUCUAUUUUAUUUCACUUUUACUCUCUGCCAAGGCCCUACCAUCUUAACUUUUAUAACAUGGUGUAAUAAAUUACGUGGGCCCAUUUAAUAAAGAAAUAAUCUAAUAAAUAAAUUAUUAUAACAAAUAUUUAAAAAUAAUAGCAUUCCAUACCUUACAGCUUAAUUACUUAAUAUAUUACCCAAAUUAUUUUAAAUAAAAAGUGAUAUCAUAUAAUUAUUAUACUAAAUUAUUACAUUGUUCGACCAAUAUGCAGUUAUUUAAAAAUUACUACAAACUUUCUUACAUAUAUUAAUGAAAAUAUAUCAAUAAUAAAGUUACAUCUUGACAGUUAAUAUAAAUAAAUAUAUGAUAAUUAUGAAAUAAUUAAAGAUUUUCUCAAUUAAUAUUAUCUUAUAACUACAAUUUAUUUACAUAAUUAAAAGUUUUUAAGAAAUUAUUAAAAUAUCUUCAAACCUAUAUGCAUUUAUAAUAAUAUAUAAUACAUCAUAAUAUAAUAACUAAAUAGAUAAAUUAUUUAUUAAUAUAAAAUAUAUGUUUAUAUUCAUUAUAUAAUAUUAUUCUUUCAUAGUAGUUUCAUUAAAUAAUUCUCUACUCUCUCUCUUUUUAUCUUUAUUUUUUCGGACAGACAAGUAACCAAACACCGCUUCACCUUUUUUUUAUUUUCAAAUACUAUUCUUAAAAUAAACUACCAAACAUAUUUUUAUUUUUAACAAAAACUAAUCAUUUUUAUUUUAUAAAACAAAUUGAAAAGUACUAUUUAAAAUAUAAUACCAAACUUACCCUUAAUAAUUUUAUAUUUGUCAAAAAGAUGAGAAGCUAAGUGGCACUAUCGUUUACCUAUUCAAACUAAACGUGGAGUCACAAUAUUGAAGACACUUUGGUGGCCACAACACUCUUUUCUUUAGUACGGAACAAUCUGGCUUACAUGACACUACAUAAAAAUAAAUAAUAAAAAAUCACCGAUUCCAACUGCCCCGGACAAAAAACAGGCCACACGUAAAAAGGCUUCUAUUUUUAUUUUUAUUUCUCCCCAUUUUAAAGAUGACGUCAUGGUGAUUAUGAAACCAGAAAAUAACAAAUUUUAGUUGUCUGAUUUUGUAGUUAUCCAGCGAAAACUAAAAAAACAGUGAACGCAGCAGCAGAUCUCCGUGUUUGUCGUCGUUCGAUGAGAGAUUCCGAUUCGUGAGCAUCGCAAGUGUUGAAAUGGAAUCAGACGAAAUGAGGAGUUAGCCUCUUAUUAUAUAAUAAUAAUAAUGAUAAUAAUAAUAAUAACUAAUCUCUUUUAUCAUAUAAUUGAUAAUGGAAAUUCACAUUGACAAAAGGCAAAUUACACACUGACUGGGCAGAAUAAAAAACAGUCUCUCUCAAAAGCAAUAAUUUAAACACUAACACCACCUUAAGGAGACACCCCAAAAAUAAAGCAGCAAGCUCUUACUGUGACCACACACACACACACACACCAAACUUUUAUUAUAGAAUAAAUCUAAGAUGAUGGAUGAUGGAUGCGUCACAUAAAAGUUAAUUAAUUUAAUCGCUGUCACUGCUGCUGCUGCUCUCGUGUCCGUCCUCGUGCUUCUUCUUCUUCUCCUUCUUUUUCUUCUUCUCUUCACCGUGGGCGGCGCCCUCGCCGCCGCCGACACCGGGGAUCUUCUGCUUGAUCUUGUCCACCAAGCCCUCCUUGUGUUCGCCCUCCUUGUGUUCCCCGCCGUGAUGCUGCUGCUGAUGGUGAACAUCAGUAGUGCCGACACCGGGGAUCUGCUGCUUGAUCUUGUCCACCAAGCCCUCCUUGUGUUCGCCGCCGUGAUACUGCUGCUGAUGGUGGACAUCAGUAGUGUGGUGGUCCCCACUAUGGUGCUCUCCCUUGUGCUUGUCCUCCUCCUUUUGCCCUCCUCCCAUGUGAAGGGCUUCUCCGAUCUUGUGAAUAACUCCUGACAUUUUCCCUUAAAAUGACUCUGUUCCUCUUCUUUUCUUUUCAAUGAAAAAUAGUUGUUUGCGAUCUUCUUCUGGUUGUUGUUGUUCUUGUUGGGUGAUCUUGGCUUGGUAUUUAUAGGCUCCAAAAGGAGGGACUAGAAUUAGGAUUAGAUUAUAGAUUAUUUUAAUACAUUUUAUGGCAAAUUCUGAUUUGGAAAGAUAAGAUUAUCCUUUUGGUUUUCCUUAUUUACCCUUUUGCACCCAUUACGUGUACGCGUCUUCGUGGGCUUUUUGGGUAUUUCAAUUAUAUCGCCAAUGCUAAAUCGACACGUUGCAUAUCAGCCGCGGUACUGCCGUAUGUAGUUGUCCAGAAAUCGAGUCGAUUCUCGAUCGUACAAUAAUUAAAUAAUAUUUCAUACGAAAUGAGUUUAGAUAUAUUUUGAAAAUUUAUUUUUAAUUUAAUUAUACGUGUUAUAUAUUUGUUAAUCGAAUAGAGGUCCCACGUAACAGAGUGUUUCUCUAAUCUUUCAUUGCUUUUAAUUAAUUUUACCCAAAUAAAAAAAAAAAGGAAAAUUUAGAGAGAGAGAGAGAGAUAGCGAAUUAGAAGUUGAUUGUAAUAUCGACACCUGUCAGACAAUCAAAUAUCGUUAGUUAAAAAUCAGUUGUCCAUAGUCAUGGUCAUAGAUGGCGAAAUUGAUACUUAUUUUAAAAAACAAAACAAAACAAAACGAAACGAAACUAAACUAACAGAUGUUGAAAUGCAGUUCCGUGUUAACAGUCUGUGAUGAAUCUUUAUCUUUGAGUAUACCAUUCAAGAAAUUAUCAUUCAAAAAUUUAUUUAAAGCAGCAGCAAAUCACCUUCUAAUUCCUGAAUCAAAUUAAUUCGAUUUUUUUCGAGUCGAUCAAUUCAUUAGAGAAUUAACGGGCUAAGUUAAAGUUUUGUUAGUUAUUUUUUUUUAUAUUCCUUUAGAUGAUAUGAUUGUCAUUGUCUUUCUUUCUCUGGGCAACAAUAAAUACAAGAUGUGCAAAAGCGUAGUGGAACAUAAUUCGAUUAUGGGUAAAGGGAUCAGUCCGCAUAAUGAGGAUAAAGUUUUUCUCUUUAAAAAAAUUUAACCCAAAGAAAAGGUCGUAGUUUGUAAUAGCCGACACGCAGAUAGAUCACAAAGCAUGGCGGUCCUGAUGGCAAUAACUAACUGAUAUCUUCUGCGAUGAGAGGAGAUCACGUGGUUCUGACACGUAUCGCCCCAUCAACUGAUGUUGUGGCUGCAAUCGCGGCCCAGUCUUUAGAGAGAAGAAAGAUCUGUUAUAACGGGACCUACUUUAGCAUCUAUUUACGACAAAGCCCCUAUUUACUCUACUUAGUAGUAAUAAUAGCAAGUGUCGGGCUUGGAUUCCGUGUUGCUUUAAAUAAAUAUCCGCGUAAAAAGAAAAUGCUUCUUUAAUCCCUUCCUUGUAAUUUUUCGACACGUGGAUGGUUGAAAUUAGCGUGCCGACAUCUUAGGAAUUUUAUCUUGGAGACGGGAACACUGCAGUAGGCAAUGCCAUUUUCUUCGGAUGGUGUGUGGUGACAACGCCUUGGAUUUUGACGUGCAAAGAAUUUAAAUUGAAAAAGAAAAAAAGAAAUUACCAGAAUAAGCAUAGAAGAGAUAUUUUUCUUUUUGUCCUUUUUGGAAUGGAAAAAGAGAUCAAGAGAUUGUUCCAGUAAGUAUUACACAUGUCACAGGCUUAUUCAUGCCCCAUUAUGGCAACUUUUAUGCCUCGCGGUGCCCUCGGUUCCAGCAUAAUAGCUAAGACUUCAAUUUUUCUAACAUAUUUUUGUUACAAAUAUGAACGGAGUAAAUGUAUAACUUUAAUCCUUUGAAUAAAGAAAUGGCGGUUCUCCUGCUCGUUAAUCUCACUUGAAUCCCACCCAGGCAAAAUUUCUUUAUUUUAUUUAACAACAAUUUAAAGAAAGAAACUUUUGCCAGGUUGAAUUUCAAGUGAGAUUCAUUCGUGGGAGAAGUGCCAUUUCUUUAUUCAAAAGAUUAUGGUAAUUACAACUUUCAAUUUCGACAUAAAUUAAAAUUAUAGGCUAUACAAUAAAAUUGCCCUAAAUUAGUCCUAAUCAAUUCAGAUUAUAAAUUUAGGUAUAUUUAUUAUUUUAAUAUAUUAAUGUUCUAUAUAUAUAUAUAUAUAUAUAUAUAUAUGUGUGUGUGUGUGUGUAUNNNNNNNNNNNNNNNNNNNNNNNNNNNNNNNNNNNNNNNNNNNNNNNNNNNNNNNNNNNNNNNNNNNNNNNNNNNNNNNNNNNNNNNNNNNNNNNNNNNNNNNNNNNNACAGCAGAAAAUAUUUGCUAUGGAUAAGGAGACAUGGUCCCACGUCCCACCGUCCCAAUGCAUAUUUUGUAUGUUUCCAUCUUUUCUGAAAUUUUAAUAAAUAAAGUUUUUUGACCACUUGGCCAAAGAACCUUACCCUUACACAACUUUGUGGUUGGAGUCCUGUGAUACAUGUAAGAACUUAUUUUUUUUCUUAAUUAUAAUAUUUUAGAAUAUAAUUAAGUGAAGUAGGUUUUUUUUUUAAAUAUGAGUAAAAUAGAUAUUUUUUAAAUAUUAAAGAGAGUAAAAUUUGAAUAAUAAUAUAUUAAAAUUAAUACAAACUAAUUUUAAUAAUUAUUUAAUUAUAAAUAUCAAUUAUAACAUCAUAUAAUAUCAAUUAUAAUAUCGUACAUCUCAAUUAAUUCAAUAAUAAUAAUAAUAAAUGUUUUUUGGGAUAAGUAAACAGUCGCAUGGCGACAAUAGUGGAUCUGGAUUAGAGUGAAGUGGUCCCAAGAGGCUGAGGCUGUGGCUGUGGAGUUCUAAAAGUCAAAAGCUCCACGCACUUUGUUUCAGUACCAUACACACUGAAAAAAUUUGCAUUUGCAAUGACGAAAACUUUUCACGAAAUCAAAACACCUCUAAACUAUUUUGUUAUCGAUAUUUAAUGGAGGGGUUUCCUACCUUUUUAACACUCGAUUCACGCCUUGACGCAUCUCACAGAAAACCUCAUGAUCCCAUUAAUCUUGCGUAACAUAUCUCAAAGCCAAUGCAAGUGAUCUUGUUGCCUACUUCCCUUUGACGAUUCAAAAUUGUUGAAAAUAAUUCUUUUUUUUUUUAACCUCAAGGAAGUGACAAAAUAUAAAAGAAUAUUUUCUACACAUUAAACAUCUAGAUUUUUUUUUCUUUUCUUUUUAGAGUACUUGCACAAACCGUUUCCAAGAGAGACCUUUUUUUUUUUUUUUUUUUUCCGGGCUUGGUUACUAAUUUGGUGUGAAUACUCUAUGGUGAAAAAGGAAUCACAAAGCUGUAAUCAAUUUUUUUGCAUCAUUUAGUUGUAACUUGAACAUUGGGAGGUUUAUAAAGAAUUAAAUUAAUUAUAAUGCCUCUACUAGGAAAAGUUCAGAGUAGCCCUUCACAACUUUUUAAAGGCUUAAUAAUUUUCGCUUUCUUCCUCUCAUAACAUAACAAAAAAUUAAGAGCUUUACUCGUACACGUCCUAUGGCUAUAUAGUAUUGGGUUCUCUACUUCAAUCGGCUAUCUCAAACCGAAGGUUAUUUGGACACACCAGCAGUCACGUUUGGAAACUCUCAAAUGCUUGGAUUGUAAUUCUUGUGGAUGAGAUCAUCUAAAUCUUGGGCCCAAGCCGGACAAUGGGUGGACAAAGAACCCUAAAAUACAGUAAAGCUUCUAACACCCCACUAAAACUCUUAAGAAAUCCUACCUUUUAUUUUUAUAUCUCUUUCUUUUAGAAAUUAUAGAGAAGACAUAGCAUUUUAAUUAUUUUCCCUGCCAUUGAAAAUAAAUUCUGUAAACAUAUUUUUUCAUAAUAAAAUUAUUGUUAUUAGAUAAUUUAUUUCUUCAUUGUUUCAAAAUUAUUAUAAUUUUAUCAACAAAAUUAGUUAUGUCAUAUAUUAGGAUUAAAAUUAAUUAGGAUCCAUAACUUGUAAAGACAUUUUAGUUUAAUUGAAUUCAUAUUUGUCAUUUUAUGUAAUUUUCAAUAAAAAUACGACUAUGAGUGCAAAAGUGGGAUGACAUAAUAUUAAAAGAGUGUGAAAUAAUCGGUAAUUGAAAUGGAUUGAAAUCAUAAUAGAGUAUGAAAAUCAGAAUAAAUUGUUUACUUUAGUUGUAGAAAUCAAAAUUAAAAUAAACCAUAUUAUCAUUGAUGUAUAUAUGUUUUCUUGUAAUCGAAAUGAAUUCUUAUAAGUUACUAUAAGACCCUUAUGGUGUGUUUACUAAUCAGAAAUCAGAAUGGAGUGGAAUUUGAAUAUAGAAUGGUAGGGGUAUUCGCGGAUCGGAUUUUACGGAUUGGACAUUAAUUCAUAUCCGAUCCAUAAUUUUACGGAUUAUAAAUUCUCAACACAAUCCAAAUCCAAUCUAUAUGUUUGCAGAUCGGAUGCGGAUUUGACUCAAUUCAUAUCCAAUCCACUAUUUGACGGAUUGAUUUUGGAAUUAAAAAUUUUUAAUUUUGUCCAAUCUAUGAGGUAAUUAAAUUUAAAAAUCUAAUAUAAAAAUAAUUUAUUAAAUAAAAAAUUAACGUAAAAAUAAUUUUACUACCAAUUAAAUUCAAAAUUGAACAAGAUUUAAAUAAAUUAAUUAUUUAAAUAAAACUAGAAUAAUUUAUUUAAAAUUUUUAAAUAUAACAUAUCGAAAAAAAAUUCAUUUGUUUAGAUUAAUAUAUGAAAAUUAACUAAAAUUAUGAAUUUAAAUGUUGAAAUUUGAGAGCUUGGAUGUAACAGGAAGAAAUUAAGAAACUUGAAGAACUUGAAAAGAAAGUAACAAAUUAAGCUUAACUACCUCUAAUGGUGAAGUGAAACAGUGAUGGUUUGUGCGUGCAAUGGGGUACAAAUUUGGCAUUAUAUGCCAAAAUAUUUUGUUUGGCUUUAGAAUUUUUAAUGUUUAGGAAGCUAUAUUUGUUUAUUUAAUUACUCAAAUAUUUAAUUAUUUUUUAUUUUAUGUUAUUAUUGAAUAAGAUAUAAUAUUGUGUUAAUUUAGCUAUACUUUAAUUAAUUAAUUAAUUUAUUAGUAAGUAGCAUUGCUACAUUUAUAAGUUUUAUUUUUUAUUAAAUAAAUACUUUUUUUUUUCAGAUUCACGAAUUUUUACGGAUUUACAGAAAUAAAUCCAUAUCUAAUCCAUCGACUGUGGUUUUUUAAAUUUUCAUUCCAAUCCGAUCUACCAAUCCACAAAUUAUAUUUUUACGGAUCGGACGAAUUGAGCGGAUCAAAUUGGGUUCUGAACACCCCUAGAGAAUGAGAAUCAAAAUAAAUUAUUUACUUUAGUUGUGUGAAUCGGAAUUGGAAUAAAUUGUACUGUCAUUGAUGUGUUUACUUUAUCUUGGAAUCAGAAUGAAUAAUUUCAAAUUACUAAACUGACCUUAAUUUUUUAUUGUAAUAAUAAUAGUAGUAGUAGUAGUAAUAGUAGUAAUUUUCUAUUAUUAUUAUUAUUUUCUCUCUCUUUUGUUUUUAUUUUUUUAUUUUUCUCUUCUUCUUCUCUUCCUCUUUUUUUAUUUUUCUCUAAUUCAUCGAUACUUCUUCUUCUUCUUUUUUCUUUCGUUUUUAUUUUUAAUUUUUCCCUUCUUUAUCGUUCCUUCUUCUCCGUCCAUUCUCUAUCUUCAAACUCUUUUUACUUUUUCUCUUAUUCUUCAUUACUUCUUCUCCCUUUUUUUUUUUUUUCUCUUCUUUAUUAAUUCUUCUUCUUCUGCGUCUAUUCUUCAUCUUCAAAUUAUCAAGUGAAAAAUACCCACGGUGCCUUACAAGAAGAAUUGGUUUUGUUUGCUUCAAUUAUUUUUUGUAUUUUGUACUUUUGAUUGUUUCAAAAGAGGAUAAACUUGUAAUAAUGCAAUUUAAGUAGGGAUGUUUUAGACAAUUUUGGGUAUGAGAGUCUAAUUCCCAACCCCCCACUCCCUCGUAGCAGACUCCCAUUCUUCAUUCCUAACUUGGUGUUGGACCUACUAAAAUAAAUCCCAUUCCCCUUCUUAUUUCAAGAAGCAAACACGAUUUUGAUUUCAAUUCCCCAAUCCGAAAGUAAACGCACAAAAAUUGUACCCAUAUGAGAUUGCUUAUCCUCGAGUUUUUAGAUUGAAAAAAAAAAAGGAAAAAAGAAUGGCCCCAUUAGGAAGGGAUUUUAAGUGUUAGAUAAAGCCGGUGUUAACCAUUAGAAGGUCUCCGACCUUCAACUGUAAUAUAUUAAACCCAGAUAAAUUUACAUAUAAAUCACACAAACCAACAUGCCAAUCAAAUAAAUUACAUCAACUAACAACAAUUGACACAUUAAUUUUCAUAAUACAGAGGAUGCAGAAAAUUAAAAUGUUUUAUCUUUUCUCCUUAUUUGUGAAUUGGAAAAUGAAAAUGUUAAACAUACAGAAGAGUGAAACAGGAUGGAUAUAUAUACACACACACACACACACAGCUUUGGAGUUCAAUGUCAUCGUAUUGCUCCAAGAAGAUUGGCGCCAUCAAGCUUUGCACCUUCCAGAUGCUGUUUAAUCAUCACCAUAACACCUUCAGUAGACAUUAAUACAUAAUAGAAACACAAAAUUCACAUGAUCUGAAUGUCUGGUCUAUUUUACUUACCGUAUCUCGAAGAUUUACGUGCCGUAAAUAAGCUCUUUGAAGGUUGGCACCCUUUAAAUUGGCAUUACGUAGCUUUGCACCCUGCCGCAUAAAUGUUCGAAGUUUCAACAAAUUAAAGUCUCCUGAGAAAUACAUGUCACGAAAAAGUAGGGCUGAAACUUGCAUCUAAUGUACAAGAUUCAAUCAGGGGUGCUUGUCCCACAGUGAAAGUGUAUGGGGGAAAGUGCACUUUCACAAACCAAAGGGGCAAGAUGUGAUUAUCACACGAUUACAAAAGGACUGUAGUCAAGAGAGAGAACUGAACAUGCAGCUUGUAUUGAGGCCAUGAAAAUUGAUGAAAAGCAGUAACAAGCAACCAUUUUGAAAACACUUCAUAUGGUCGAAUCAAUAAAUCAAAGCUAAAAUGAUGUUGACGAUCGAUAGCUUUUAGGUGAUAAGAGUCUUGGCACUACAGUUAAAAUUAUUAUCUAGGAGUGCACACAUUAAUAAAAAAAAACACAACCAAUAAGCAUGCACUCUUAAUCAGCAUAUAAAUUAACAAGUUAGUUGCACCUUAUGUUGUUCCACAAACAGAUUGCUCGAACAAUUCACAAUCUUACCUUCAAAUUAGCUCCUUCCAAAUUAGCUCCCUCUAGGUUGGCAUUAGUAAGAUCAGCAGUCUGAAAAGUCAAGAGGACAAACAGAUUGCAAUUUGAUUAAAAUCUCAAAGUAGCAACAUUCUGCAUGAAAGAAGAGCAGCACAAUUGGCAACAUACAUUUUAGAUUAAGAGGAUGGGAUAAAAGCAAAAUUACAAGGACAUGAAGCAAAUGAGCCAUGUUUAGUAUGGCAAUUUUGACCCAAUAAUUGUGGCAGGUCUUGGAGAUAACAUAGGCAUACACAUAAGGCAGAAGCAAAUACUGUCGCAAACUCCUAGCUAACUACAAAUGUUCCAUAUAGAAAAAAACACCUGCAAAAGUAAGGGAAAAAGCAACAGAUAAAGAACUCAAGAUGCUAGACCUGUAAGUGUGCAGAUCGCAGGUCUGCUCCACAGAAGCUGCAGUCUAUCAAGCAAGCAUCUGCAAUGAUUUAAGAUAAAUUUGAAUCCAAAUGACAUUUUACCGCAAGUAGUUCCAGCCAUUUUGGGAACAAACAAGAAAUGCUAUUUUGUAUUCAUUGUAAUUCCUUAAGCUAAAUAACAAUCAUGUGCUAUCUUAACCAAGGUACAGUUGCAAAUUCUGAAAUUGUGAUGCCAUAGGUUGUUCUUAAUCUUUUUGAACUGAAUAUUGAAAAAAUAUUCCUUCAAUCAUAAAUGUUAAAUAAUUAAAAGAACUGUGAGGGGGGNNNNNNNNNNNNNNNNNNNNNNNNNNNNNNNNNNNNNNNNNNNNNNNNNNNNNNNNNNNNNNNNNNNNNNNNNNNNNNNNNNNNNNNNNNNNNNNNNNNNNNNNNNNNNNNNNNGGGGGGGGGGGGGGGGGAAUGAAUAAGCGGAUGCAUACAGAAAAUUAUGGAAAAUCUGUUAUGGAAAUAAUAUGAAAAUGGGUAUGCAUAACUACAUACUGAAUCUUGACUAAUUUCAAUUUAAUUCAGAUAAGAAAUUCCAGUAUGGGAAUUGCCUUGUAAAUUUGCACUCUGAAGAUUUGCACCAGCUAGUAAAGCUCCACGAAGGUUUGCCCCAGCAAAUUCACAUCUUCCCUAGGCAAGAUAAAACCCUUAAAAGGCAAUUUUGAAAAAUACAUAUAAUUGGGAGAAUAUCCAGUAUUGCUUUGACUCUCUUACUCACGCAAAGUUGCAUUGUGAAAAAUGGAACCCUCAGCAUCCACAUCCUGUAUCAAGAACAGACAGAUUCAGUAUGAUUAAUAUAACUGGUUGCUGGAAGACAGGACAAAAUCGCAUCUUGUCACUGUCAACUUGCAUGUUAAGAAUUAAACACGAAAACUGCAUGCUGUCCAAUUAUAAGAAACCUAUAAAAUUCAAAUCAACAUCAAUACUGGCUUAAGGAAGAUAUAAAAAUAAAAAUUAUACCAACCCGAAAUUUCGCAGAUUGAAGAUUUGCACGUGAGAAGAAAACAUUUCUAAGACACGCAUAGCUGAAGUCCACAAGUGAAAGAUCCUGGCCAUUUUAAUAAGAUAGCAUCAGAGGAAACAAUAUCUAAUGAAUAUAUAAUGUUCUUUCUUGCUUAUCUGAGAAUACUAAUGAGAUUAUCAAAAAAACUCUAAGCUACUGCUAAGAAGUCUUGUGUUACAUGAGUAUGAAUUGAGGAGGUAAAGAAGACCCUUCUCCAAUAAGUUACCAUAGAAGCCACAUAAAACCCUAAAGCAGUUACAAACUUACAAUGACCAGAAUAAACCACCCCAACUAUCUAUUGGCAAGUAAAAUCACUUCUCUGGAUUUCUGAAAACUAGCAAAACAAAUGCAUAAAUUGGCAAAUUCGAUGAUUUCCUCUGAAAACCAAAUUAUAGCAGACAUAAAACUUGGAAGUAUUCAUAGAAUAAAAAUCUUUCAAGCACCUCAAUUCAGUAAUUAUUACCAGCUUAGAAAGAUCAAGGCCAGAAAGAUUAAGUCCUCGAAAUCUGACUUUUUCAGACUGUAUACACUUGAUGAUAUCAAUGCGUGUUAGCUCAGUAUCUAACUCAUUAUCUUCCUUUCUCUUAUUUAUGACAGCAUGGAUUCUCUCAAUUAGUCCCUGAAAUGAAACACAUUAGAUGCAAACUAUUAUUUGAAAAAAGAAAUACAUUUUAUCCACUAACACACAUGGAUUUCAACAGCAAUCAUACAAUAAUUGAGGAAGGACGGUCAUAUCAGACUCAUCUGCCAAGAUUCAAUAAGCACAUCAAACUUGUUUACAUGUAAUUUCCACAUUCCACGUGAAUUUAUAAGGUCUGCCUAAGCAAACCAAAGAAGGCUACACUCAGUACUGUGUGUAUACUGCCUUACCUUUGCUGUUCCCCAGAUACCGUCCUGCAAUCCAGAUACUUAGCUGUGAAGUUUCAAGCCAGCGAAACCAUUUUAAAAGUACACAUGGACACAGAUACCAUUAUCUGAAUCAUCUUCGAUAACAAAUUAAAAUGCCCUAGCGUUCAAAAAACUUAGGAUCUCUUUAAGUGAAGUUCCUUUAAAAAAGUAGAAAAAAACUGAACAACAAUGUCAUGCUAAUAAAAGGUAAAAAAAAUAAAAUAAAAUAAAGCAUAAGGACAGAAGUUCACCAGGAGCAUGCCAGUAUAAACCAAAACGACCACAAAUCUCAACCAUAAAAUUUAAAGUAGUAAAGUAAAUAAUCAAGGGCAUGCAGUUGGCACAGGUGCUUCCAAAUAAAAUGAUGAUUCUUUUCAAACAGAAAAAAGAAAUGGAUGUUAAUAAACUAGAAGAAACCAUGUCUUACAAGUAAUUGAUAAUAUUCUGCUUCCCGUAGAAGCUCUAAAAACUCUGACUCUGUUAAUGUGGGGACAGCCCCAUCCCUUAACCAAUUCAGAAUAUGCCGAAAAUGUUUUCCGUCCCUAUCAACAAAGAUAUAGCCCUGCAAUAAUUCAAUAUGCUCAAAGAUAAGAAUCUGAAUAAUAUACCCAAGAGAAGUGCUUUUCCCUGGAAUAAUAAAAAGAAAAUAAGUCAAAACGUUUUUCUUAAUGGAAGAACACAAAGGAACAGCUCUAUGACUAACAUGAAAACCAUAAAUCAGAAUAAGAACCCAAAACUGGUCAUUUGGAGUUUCACCAGAUCAAAAAGAUCACAUGGAAAUAAAAUUGUGAAAAUGGGAUUAUUUAUGCCGAGGUCAUGGCUAAACUGCAAUCAUUACUCCAUUUUUGGUAGAAGGAGAAGAAGAAAGAAGAGUAGGUGAGUCAUCAUUCUUUCAGGUGAGUCAUCAUUCUUUCUCUGUGAUUAAUUGAUAUGAUGGAAGUGUUGUAGAUAUUAAUUUGAUAGUGAUUCCUCCCUUCAAAAGAAUUCAUUCCUUUUUUUAUUAUUUCACAAAGUUUAACUAAGACUGAGUUUUCUCAAUUUGAAGGCAUCGUGCACUCUACCCCUUUCUUUUCCUCACAUUGCUUCUUCCCAAUCCCAAAGGGAAGAAAUCAAGAAACAAUUACAAUUUUUAACUAUUCACCAGCAAAAACAAGGCAAAGAAAGAUGCUGAGUGUAAGCAAAAAUAAGAGAGUUAUACACCUCAGAGUCUUGGCACACAGUAUGGCGACCGCUGAACAUAGCUGCAAGCAUAGAUUCAGGCUCACGACGAGUCAGAGUAUCAAUUGUUGUAUAAAAUUUCUUUCCCCCUGGAUAUUAAUACAUAAAAUAUAAAUUUGUUCACUUAAAAGCAUGAAUUGUGCAAAUUUGUCAAUAAUGUCAUUCUUUCACAAACGUUCACCGAAAUGUAUAACAAUAAGUGCAUCAUAACAUAACUAAACGGCUUAAGAACUGCGCAGAUAUUACAUACAGUAGAGAAACAAGAAAUAGAAAAUGAGAUUUGCCCUUUUUAAACAGAAAGCAAUCAAAGAGUAAACUAAAGAGCUAAUAAUUCACAAAAUUCAGUUGAUUAAACUCAUUUACAAGUAAUUAGCAACAAAAUCCAAGCUAAAUAAAAAUAAUGAAAAUUAGGUUCUUAUAACAUCCGUCAAUUCUAUGAAAGUUUACCACGAUCAGCAACAAAUAGAUAAAUCGCAAUAAAGAAAAACCGACGACAUGUCGGUUGUGUAGUGCAUAAGUAAAGGAAUUUGCAGAUGAUGUAAAGAGAAUGAGGGAUAGUAACUGACCGAUGUUGAGACGAACCAUUGAAGACGAAUCGGAGUCCUUCGCCAUUGUCGAGUGUAAUGACUUGUCGUCUUACUUGCGCUCAUAGGUAUUUAUAUCAUAGCUGACACUGUUCGAAGGACAGCAAGGAUUUGGUGGGCACAAAUGCAUUUUGGAAAUUGGGCUUCGGCCCAAGAAAUCGAAAAUCAGAGGCUUUUUUUUAAAAAAAAUUUAAAAGGAUUAGAAUGUCUAUAAAUUAAUAGGGCUGAGACCAUCUUAAAUCUAUUAAGUAAAAGAGAUAUUAAAUAUUUUAUUAAUUAAUAAUUUAUUAAUUUACAGAAUUAUUUAUAAUUCAAUUAACAUACAUUUAAUAACUAAACAUUCAAUGUACAUAAUUUCUGAUUACAAUUCAAAGCACUAACAAUACUUCAUAAUUUCUUAUUACAAUUCAAGAAUUCAACCUCAUAGCUUUUAGAUGCAAUAAGAAAAAUAAGAAAUAAGAUUCAGUUAUAUUUAAAUUUUAAGAAAAAAACAAUAAAAUCAUAUUUUAUGUAAUUAAAAUAUCAUAGUCAACUACAUUUGUAAUUUCAACAAAUUAUUACUCUAUGAUUUAAAUGAGACCACAAAGUUAUAUAAGAUUUUAUCGAAAUUAUUAAUUUAAUCCAUUAGUCCAUGUCAAGACCUUGAAAAUUUAAUAAUUAUAUAAUAGAGAUUAUUAAUUUAUCGAGUAUUAAUUUAUAGAAGUUCUGAUUGUAUAUUAUUUUAUAUUAAUAAAGAAUAAAGUAGCAUUCUUUUUUAAUUCCGAAGUAAUAAAAUUAUGGCUAAAUUAAGAGAGUAGAUAUAUUUUAUAACUUGGUUUAAUAACAUCACGCGCCUCCCUUGUAGUUUUGCAGCUUUGAAGCUUUAUAAUGAAUCCUAUUAGCUUUGGCUGGAAAGUUAUAUUGUUAAAGAGAGUUUAUAUAUUAAACAAGGUGAUCUAAUAUUUCCAAAACUAAAUUUGGGAUCAAAAAUAGAAAACAUUUGCAUGUUUUUACCUUUUGGAAGAAUUACUUGAUAAGUGCUUCACAGAAAAAUGCUUGCUAUUAUAGAGCACCCUAAAAAAAAUCCUUAAUAAUUGAGGGAUCAUAAUAAAGUUCAAUUCUAAAUCUGUCAGAUAGAUCGAAAGUAACAAACCAUAUAUAUUUAAAUCUAUUUAGUAAUCCAGGGUUACAAGCCAAGCGUGCAAUAGCCAAUUCUGAAAAUCAAAGCUCAGCCUAUGCUCUCUGAGCACAAAUAAGAUCUGAUAUAUACAUAUCGAAUCCUCCAUUAUGUGGAGUGAAAUUUCCAUCGUGUACGGUGUACCUAACAAUGAGAAAGCAUGGCAGCAUAAAUUCAUCUUCCAUGUUAUUCUACUUAUUAGUACUGGUUCCCUCAUAACUUCUCCAAAUCGGGGAGGUCUGCAAUGUGUAAAGCACGUAAUCAGAUAAAAGAAAGAGAGCCAAAAAAAAAAAAAAAGGUAACAGCCAAAAGAUUAAAUUUCUUUGAGAAAUAGAAAAUGGGAGCUUUUGGCAUAGGCACAGAAUAGAAAGUAACAGAGUCAUUUACAGUUGUUCAGAAUAUGCAAGCUGAAAACAACUUUGAAUGCAAUGGACAAUUCCUCCAACAAACAAUCGAAUUGGAUUGUGGAAGAGACAAAAGCUUAAUGAGGUUAUGGUUUUGGCUAGGUGAACUCAAAAUUCUUUUAUAGACCAAGUAGGUAAAAACAAAUCCCAUAUAGAUGGAUGAACCUCAUACCAUGAACAGUUAAUCGCGAACACUUGCAGGCUUAUGCACACGACUAUGAAGAUACUAAGGGUUUCACCGAUGGUAAGUGAAAAAUAUAUGAUGUAUAAUUUAAAUGGAAGCACAUAGUUUCGGAUUGAAUUCAAGGUUAAAGUUCCACAGACAGACAGAAGAGAUGAAGCUUAAAAACUUACAGAGCAUUCCUUCAUCAUCACUGCUUUCAUCAUUUUGGCCAACAUGCUGAAAAAAGAAUAUGAUUCAAGUUAAAUGAUUGAGCAACAAUAAAAAACGUGCAAAAUUAAUGCUCUCUCCACAAAAAUUUCAGUCUAUAUUGGUAAGAAGAAACAGGAAGAAAAAAUUACCUCAGCAUCAUCGUCAUUGGAAGCCAAAUCAGCUGUAAAGACCACAAAAUGUUUGGUUAGAACCAGUGGAAGUCUUACUCUAAAAUUUUUAAUUUUUGAAUUUCGAAAGAUCUCGUAAUGACAAAGAUUUUCAUAUCCAGUGACCAAGUUUUGAAAAUUAGAAUACGGAAUGACAUCAACUAAAUUCACUAAUAUAAGCUAGAGGAAUCCCUAGUAGAUAUAGCGCACAUGCACACAUGAUAUGCAUCCGAAUACACAAUAAUAAAUUAUCUCAAAGUCAAUAAGAAGCCAAAAUUAGAGAUAAACUUUUAGCCACUAUAAGGAAGACUGAUAUUUGCAGUGUGAUUACAAUAAACAAACAGAAACUUCACUACCCAUAAGUAAAACAAAAUAAAUAAAGGAUAAUAACUAACCAAGAAAUGGAAAAGCUCACAUUCUCUGAACACGCACCCCAAAAAGAAAGAAAGAAAUAAAUGUUCUCAUUGGAUCUGAAGCACAAGCAAUCCACUGACAUCCUUCUAUAAUUAGGUAAUUUAAAGGGGUUAAGCUCACAUCUUUUACGGAAGUAAGAAGAGAAUUAACAACCUUCCAGAGGAUUUAGGGAAAUACCACGAGGCAAGAAAAAAGAAAUAUCCUUCUUCAAUCUAGAUAUCCUGAUACUGCUCACCAUCUACAACAGUCUGUGGCUUAAAAAGCAGGUCACUGAUCUCUCCCUCCCUCUGGCACCAUUUUCUCUCAUGUCUCAUUUUUCCCUUCCUGCCAACUCCCACUACAGUAUUGAAACCUAUUCUAUCAACUCUUCCCCCUCCAAUAACAAGACCAAAACCAAUUUUACUCGCCGGUUAGCUAGGUAGUAAAUGGAAAUUUGUGAAUCUGUCAUUCAUCCGUAGAAACAAACCAGAACUGCAUAAAUUCUCUUCUCUCCCAACAGCUUCUUUUCUCCAGAAAUAGGCACAAGUAUUUGACAUGGAAACAGUUUAUCUAACAUGGCCACCUUUAAAGACAAAGACAUACUAAGGACGUGGUUUUAGAUACGGAUACAAGAAACAAUCACAAAAUGUAAAAUCUAUACAUAUGAUAUUAAUUUCCAAUGGAUACAGCAAUUCAUUCUUUGACAUAACUUCAUCAGAUUACUAGGUUUGAUUAGGUUAUACACACAUUUAUUCAUUUAUUGAAUCUACAUGCACUUAGAAUGAGAGGUACCUAUAAAAACAAGUUACCAGAAAACAAUACAGCUAGAAAACAUUAAUCUAAGUAGUUCUAUAGGUUUAACUAACUGCAGGAAAAAACCAUUGAUUUUGUCCGCCAGAUUAUCGAGAUCCUAAUUCUGGUAAAAAGAAAAUGAGAUAAUAGAAAAUCAAAAAUUAAAUAGACACAAAAUGAGAAAUCAAGAUCAUAUGGCAACUAAUAUAUAGCAUGGGCUGCAGCUAACAAGCAAUAUAAGCCAUGAUAUUAUGCCAGAUACAAAUUUUGAGAUCCAAGAGAGAUCAAGAAGCAUGAAUACCACUAAAAUAUCGAAAGAAGUGAGUGCAGAAGGAUAAGAAAUCAGGUUGAUAUUCUUCAUACUUUGGAUCAACACGUAGUGAUGCAAUAAACUUGUAAUUAGCUUCAAAUGUAUAGGCUACCAUGUCAACAUUUCCGAAAACACACAAGAUUGUGCUGGAUUCAUACAUAGUACAUAUAUAAAAAAACAAUCUGCUUCUAAACUUCAUGAGAACAUCGAAUAAUGAACUUACAAUUUGAUCCCUCAUCAUCUUCAUCGCACCAUUUGUUCCAAUCAACCUUAAUGUAAGGUGCUGGUUUCUCUUCUGACUUGAGUAGCCUUUUCCACCAACCUUUCUCUUCUUUUUGGACCGAGCAUAUUAUGUUCCUUAAGCCAACUUUAGUCUUACAUUUCUGCACCACCAGCAACAAAACUCAAAGCAUUACAAAAGAGGUAUAUUUAGCCGCUCUUGACUCGAGUGAGAGAACAGGAUAAAUAGCCUAGGUAUAUCCACAUCCAUGUUAUGAGAUUGAUUAUGCAACAGCUAACUUUAAUAUAAAGCUUUUGCUUCAACAAAGACUAAAAUGUUUGUAAUUGUUAUGCUUUUGGAGCUAAAAUGUUUGGCAAACACCCACUUUUACUCUGCACCUAAUAUCUACCACCCACCCACACACUAAGUCUCUCGUUUGGUACAGCUAUUUAUCAGUAGUGGCUUUAAGCCACAACAUUUAAAGCGAAUUUACCCUAAAAUUUUACAAUGAAAAACCUAUACUACCUUUAACAUUGUUGUCAAAAUUAUUAUUAUAAGUAAUAUUUACCAAACACUAUCAACUUCCAAUUCAUAUCAAAGAGCUUUCACUCCACAAUAGCCGUGUCUUCUUAAGCCAGAACAACACAAUACCAAAGGCCUUAAGCUAGUGAUUUGAUUUCACAACAACUGCAGAUCAAGCCUCAAUCCCAAACAUACAUAAAUCAAAUGCAGAAAGCAAAAAUUUAACAAUAUGUUUGGUAUACUAAAUGUCUUUCAUAGUUUCAUUUCACAGGGUAUUUAGACAUGCAAUGAUAAAUUGGAGCAAUUUCAAGAACCGAAUUGACCUCAGGUAAAAUUUUGCCAAAAAGUUCCAAGCUGAAGUCGUAAAGCUCGCCUUGGACUCCGACGGCCGAGAAGCCAAAAAUCCCCUGAGGCUCGCAUUUCACAGAAAUGUCUUUCGCAUCGGGUAAUGAAAUGGUAAGGUAUACUUUAUCGGAGCGCUGAGCCCAAAGAACCUCCGGAUGGCGACUGAACAUAAAAGAAAUAAUAAUAAUAAUAAUAUUAUUAUUUUUUAUUGUGACAAUUUUGAACUAAUAAUUAGAGACAUUUAACAACAAUAUUGAUUAAUAUUGGAGAAGAAAAAUAAGGUUACAAGAGAGAAUCAGAAAGAUUACCUCAUUCUGGUGGAUGAUUGAAAACGGUGGGUCGAUUGAUGAACAGAAGUGUAACUGUCUGGGAGUGAGAGUGACUCUGCUGUUUACUGGGUAGAGUGUGCUUACUCGAAGAAAUUGAAAGUGAUAAUCUCGGGCAAGCCAACACGUCGAUUUGGUCAACAGUGGUCCAACAAACCAGGAACUAGGUUUUUUUUUUUAAAUGAUUUUUUUUUUCAGUAUUAUAUUGCCCCGCCCGUGGGCUAUUACAUUUUGGCCCUUUUGGGGACCCCUCGUUCUCUUACAAGAAGGGAAUAUUCUUUUCCAUCCACCGGUUUGUAGGCAGAGUACAUAUACUCUUCGAAAUUAAGGACAAAUUUCUGAAUCGUGCCGCAUUAGAAUUAAAUUGAGUCUCAAAAGAAUUUUGGUUAUAAGUAUAUCGUUCAAACGGUAAUAUAUUAAAAAAAAUAAUAUUUACUACAAUGUAGACCUAUCGGGACUUUGAAGCCCAGACCAAUUCUUGAGUCUAGCCUAAUAACACCUCAACAGAUCAAAAUUGAAAUCCAACUUAAAUUUCAAUAUUGUGUAGGGAUCUGCCUUAAUUUAGAUAUGUCAAGACCUGCCUUAGGCAUCAAAGUGAUCUAUCUUAACAUAACUAAGACUUUCUUUAAACAUCACAAUGAUUUAUCUUAACGUAGUCAAAUCUAGCCUAAAAAAAUCUAAAGAAGGAAAAAAGAAAUUAUUUUCACGUAUUGAGAGACUUAAAUUCUUAACCUUAUUCAUAAGAAAAAAAAGUGUAUUACUUAACUAAAUCGUGACUAAAAAUUAUAAUUAUUAUUUUUUGUACAUUUAGCUUUAAAAAAUCAUUAUAUAUAUAUAUUCAUAUAAGUUUUGACAUAAUAUACAUACCACUUAUUUGUUUUUUAAAUUAUACGAGAAUGAAAAAACUCAAGCAUUAAACACCAACUUUUGUUUCAUGCUAUCAAUCAACUUGAGAAAUUUUAUAAUAUAUCGGAAGUUCUACGUCACAAUUUAAUACGAAGCCUUCGAUUAAUAAUAAUUAGACACAUGACAAUAGAUGCUAGAGAAAUUUUAAAUUCCCUCUUUUCAUUAUCCCUCCAAAUUUAGAAUUUCAAAAAAUUAGAGAAUAAAUGUUGCUUGCUCUCUUUGUUAUCUAAUUCUAAUUAUUAUUUUUUUCUCUCUCUCUCCAAUCAAGUUGCUAGCAUUUUUUAAAUCUAUUGAAGAAUAAGAAGAAGGUUUUUGUCGAUGAAAUGAUUUUGGCAGCCUUUUUUACCCAAAGCUAACAUGAUUGCUGCGACUACCAAUGAAGAAAAAGAUGUGUUUUGCUGGCGAAGAAGAUGAUUUUUGAAGCAUGAGUGGCUGCCGUUUAUUUUUUUCCUUCAUAUUUUUCGAUGUAGUGGCUGUCCUCAAGUUUUAUUCAUUUACUUUUCAGUUGGCCUACUAUUUAUUGGCAUAAUGAAAAAUUUUAUUUUAAUAAGCAUUUAUAGAUUAAUUUGAGGAGGUUUCUUUUGCAAUAUUAGUGUGGUUUCUGCAUUGGUAUGAUUUAAAUUACGAACUUGCUACAAUCUUUAAUUAAACUGUCAAAAGUAAUUUAAAAAAUCUUUAAUUAAACCGUCAAAAGUAAUUUAAAAACUGACAGUAGAUAGAUUAGAGAUAGGCUUGACAAUUUAGCCCGACUCUAUUUUUAGUCUGAUUGAUCCGAUCCUAAUUUUUAAGACUUUGGCCUGAAUUUUUUGAUUUCGGGUCGGGUUCGGGUCAAAAUUUUAAGGCCCGAACAAAUUUAGGGUCAGGGUCGGACUUAAAACCAACCCGACCCGACCCUAUUUAAAAAAAAAAAAACUAACACACGCACACAACACAUGACAGUUCACUCUCUCUAAAUCGUAAAUCACACACACAAAAUACACUUACACAAAUUCACAAAAACCCUAAGCCAGCCACCCAGCCUGCUGCCGUCCUAUCAGCCAACAUCGUGACCGUCCGCCGCACGCCAGCCAAUCAGCCGUCGUCUCGUCGUCGCAUGUCUCACCAAUCAGCCAUCGUGACCGUCUGCGACGCUGCGACAUGAACUUGAACCAGCCGCCCUUUGUCGCCGUCCUGCCGCAUCCGCCUGCCAGCCAACGAUCAAUGCACACAGUUGAAUUGUGGGGUGGGAAAUGGUUUCGAUAGGGUCGGGCUCGACCCGACCCUAACUAUAAAGAGGUAGGGCUUUUUUAGGGUCGGGUUUUAAUUUUUUGUUGAUCGGGUCGGGUCGGGUUUGGCCAAACCCGAGCCCGACCCGACGUUUUGCCAUCCCUAAUUAGAGAUGAAGAUUGGAGAGAGAGAAAAAUAUAAUUUGAAUGAGAUAAUAAAGAGAGAAGAAAUUCUAUAAUACAUCAUAAGUAAUAUAACUCAUUGAUGUAUGCAUGAUAUAUGUAAUUAACCUUAAUAUAACUAACACUUGUAUGGUGAUAUUUCAAAAUAAAUAUACAUAUGUUAUAAAAUCAUUUACUUAUUGUAUGACUGACAUUUUAUUUUUGAUGUAUUGUACAAUUUCUCAGAAGAGAGUAGUAUUUAUUAUCUCUAAUUUUUUGAAAUUCUAAAUUUUGGAAGGAUAAUAGAAAGAGAAAUUUUAAAAAUUUUUCAACGUAUAAUGCCAUGUAUCUAAUUAUUAUUAGUCGGUGUUCCACGUUAAAACGUAAUAUAGAACCUCUGGACCUUACUGUAUAAUGUACUGUAGAAUUUCCUGAUCACACACUUUCUCAGUUGCAAAAGAGGUGGGCAUAUGAGUUCCUUACGGGGAUUUAGUGUGAAUCCACGCAAAGCCCAUAUAGAUUUUUCCGGUUAACCGCUAUGGCAUCCUAGUUUUAAACUCAGUACUAAAUUUACAGAUCCAUUUAAACCCCCCAAAUCAGUCUCUCACCGUCUCAAGUCUCAAACAAAAAACCUGACCGGAACCCAAACCGCCAAAUCCGAUUCGAUGGUGGACUGUGCUAAAACCCCUAAAAUUCCAAGACUGACAUGCGGUAAAGGAGAUGGUGAUAGACUUAGCAAUCUUCCGGAGCACAUCAUUUAUCACAUAUUCUCGUUCAUGGAAACAGUUGAUGUUGUUAGAGCAAGCACUGUUUCGCGAAGAUGGAGGUACUUGUGGCUUUCCGUUCCUUAUUUGAACUUCGACUAUCACACAAUUUGGUCAGACCCGGAAAGUAGAUGGUCUCGUAGGAAAAUCAAUGAUAAGUUCAAAGAUUUUGUCAACUGGGUAAUAUUUUCUCAAAAUGGGUCUGUUAAUAUUCAAAGAUUUCGUCUUUGCUGCUGGGAUUAUUUAGCAAGUUACGAUAACGAUAGAACGAUUUACAGAUGGGUUUCUGCUAUGGCACGUCGAAACGUGCAAGUGCUUGAUCUGGCUAUAGCUUCACUAUACCCAUUUGAGUUUGACUUGCCACAUAGUCUUGUAACUUGUGAUUCAUUGGUGGAACUGAAGUUGAGUUUGAGCUUUCAUGUUCACCGAUGUUUUUUAAAGCUGCCUACUGCUGCUGGUUUUAUUGGGCUCAAGUCUCUUGAUUUACAAAGUGUUGCGUUGGAUGAUAAUUUGUUUCCUGAAUUUAUUUCAAAUCUUCCCCUGCUUGAGAAUUUGUGUAUGUUGUCAUGUGUUUUUCCUGAAUUGAAGGUUCUUGACAUUUCUUCCACUAAUUUGAAGAAUUUGGCUCUGGAAUCCAUUGUUGGCAAUGAUAAUGCUGGCAAUGAUGAUGCUGGCAAUGAUGAUGCUGGCAACUACAAGCUUAAGAUUGCUUGUCCAAAUCUUGUGUCUUUUAAUUAUAUAGCUUUAGCUCCAUGGUUACCUCACUUUGCUUUUGAGAGCUUAAACUCCUUGCAAAAUGCAUUCAUUGACCUGGAUGAUUAUAACGAGGAUGACAUGGAGAACGAAAGAUGUCAUGUUUUAUCUACAAUCUUCAAUGACUUUCGUGAAGUUAAAGUUUUGAAAUUAUCAGAAGCCAUUCUUCUCGAGGUAUGAUUUCAAAUACAUUCAUUGCACCAAAUCAUGAUUCUGCCAGAACUUGUCUACACUUUUUUAUUUUGACAUUAGAAAUGAAGCUUAAGUAAACUGAAUCUACUUUCUUUGUUUGGUAAAAUAAGAAUUCUAUUGAUUAUGGAACCUUCCUAAAUGCUAAUUUGUUCUUUAGACUGUGUAUAAGUCAUUGUGACAUUGUAUGAAGUCUCAUUUAUCUGAGUAAUCAAUUGUUAUUGAUGUCAAAGACUAGAACUCAUUGGUGACUUGAGUUUAUGUAUAUUAUCGUUUGUUAGAUUUUUUGUGUGAUUAUUGCACUUAACUUGACUAAUGUAUUCUCUUUCUUUUUGCCAUUGUUCCUCCAGGUUCUUGAUCCUGAUCCUGCUCACGAAGAACCAGCAUUUUUUUCCACUUCAUUCAAUAAUUUGAAGUCCUUAAUACUUUCUGCAGGUCCGGGUGUAUGUCUCAUGCCAUCAAUGCUUAGGUUGCUCAACUGCUCUCCAAAUCUAGAAGCUCUUGCAAUAUAUUCUCCUAAGGUAAUCUUAACACCAAAAACUAUUCCAUUUGUUAGAUACCGUCGCUUCUAUCCAUUUUUUUUAAAAAUCAUAUCUCCCAUUUAUGUGCUAAAAUUUUAAUUUUGUUAAAGUGCAACUGGGCUUUGCUUAAAUUAUCGCAAUAGAGUUGAAACCUGAAAGUAUUUGUGAUAUAUUAUGUUUACCGCUUAGAGCUUAAAGUAAAUGUUAAUCUUGUGGCCUCUUGGUUGUUCCCAUGCUAUUGCUUGUUGAGCAGAUGGUUGAAUUUAGAGUCAAUCAAUCGGUUGUGUUCUUCUGAGGUUUGUGCAAGUUUUGUAAAAGAGCAAAGUUUAGUAUUUGUUUAGUUUGUGAAAAUGAUAUAGCUUUUUCUAAUUCAUCUUACUCUAUUCUUUGCUUAAAAAUGAAUUCUCCUUUUGAUUUGAUUCCUUGACUGCAUUUCGGUCUGUUUUCUCUUGGCAGCAUCGGCGUGGAUAUAAUGCUUAUAGGAAAACACCGAACAAGGCUGCUAUUUCAUGUUUGACAAAUCAUCUCAAGACAGUUGAAAUAAAACAUUUUAGCGGUGAUAUGAAUCAACUUGAAAUUGUGAGGUUUCUUCUAAGGAAUGGACAUGUAUUGCAGAGAAUGAGUAUUAGAUGGGUGGCAGAUGUUAAGAAUCAAGGGAAGAUUAUCUCAAGGAUAAUGAAGUUUCGGAGAUCAUCUUCAAGUGUUGUGCUGAAAUUCCUAGAUCCUAAGCCAGCUGAUGAUUUUUCAGAUUAUUUAUUUGAUGAUGAGCAAAAGAACUAAAAUUAUGUUUAAAUUAAAAAAAAAAAAAGUGGUUUAAGUGUAUGUUCGAAUUAAAUAGUCUUUUGGAUUUGUAGAAACUGAAAGGAGUACAGUGCCAGUCACUGUGGCAGCCUUAUGUUUUGUUUGAAAAAAUUCGGAAGCUUCUAAAUUGUUAUAUACCUCAAUUCUGAAGUCGUUAGUAUGUAUAUUAUAAGCAAUACAUAUGUUCCAUUUGUCAUAUUUUAUUUUGGCAUUACGAUUGUUUUGUCUUGAUUAAUAUUGAUUAUAAUUUGUUUAACAUUUAUCUGGCAUAUGUAGAAUUAUACUUUAUCUGAGUAGAUGACGCUGCUGCGUACAUCUUCAGGACUCGGUCAUAAACUGUUUAUCUCUGCGUCUGUCUAGCAUCCAUCCACGUAUGACCUGUCGGCUUUUUGCCCGCAAGCAUACAGUUAGGGGUGGUAAAAAUAUCUGUCCGGUCUGGAUUCGGUUCGCACCCGGAUGUUUUAUCCGGCCCGGUCUUGGGCAUCAUUUGAUAAAUUCGGAACCCGAGUUUUAUUAAGCGCCUUGGCCGUACAGCAGUAUAUUAUUUUAAAUAUUUAUAUUUAUUUGACUCAUUUAUUACAUAUAUAUAAAGUUUUAGACACUUAAAGUUUAUAUUUUCAUGUCAAAUUUCAUUAAAAUAAAUUUAAAACUUAUAAAAUUACCAAAAAAUAAAAAAUAUAUACAUAUAUAAUAUUAAAAAAUAUAAAAUCUGGGUACCCAAAUUAAAACCCGGCACAAUCCGACCCAGGCAUCUAUGCAUCCGGGUCGGGUCCGGUCAUUACGAUACCCCGACCCAGCCCAGGGUUUUGCCAUCCCUACAUGCAGUGUAUAUGAAUUGCAGUUCUUGUACGGACAACAUGUCAUCCAUAAAACUCGAGUUAUGUUCUUUUUAAUCUUUAGUUUAGAUUACAUUUUGCAAAACUAAUAAACGAUAGAGCUCCUAGCAAGGUCAAUAGUUAACUGCGAAUCCAGAAGAUCGGAAUGCUAUACCUUUCAAACAUGCAUUUCAAAGCCAUCUGCGGAAAUGGAAAACAAGCAUUUCAAACUCGUUGUUAAAACAAUGAUAAAAGUAAUUUUAAUCCUAAUUUUUAAUUCCAGGCAUGAAGCUAACUCAUAUACAAAGAGAUAUCAAGUAAGCAGAGGCGAAAGCUAAAAGCUUUGGUUACAGGGGUCGGUGUGAAUAAUGUAUAUAUCGUUUAGACAUAUUUUUGAAUAUCUAUUUUAAUUUAGGGGAUAUUAUAUAUAUUUAAAAAAAAUUAAAAUUUUUACGGGAGCCAUGGCUUACUAUAGUCUCCAUUAAGAUUCACCCUCCCUACUUUUCGUACUUCAUUAAAGUAUAGGAUAAAUAUUUACAAUAUUAUAAAUAGAUUUUAUAAAAGCAGUCCAUAUAUGAAAGUCCUUCUGCACUCUGAAUUAAAUAAAAAUAACGUGAGACUAACAAUUUAAGAGUCUUUUUUGCAACGUAUAUCGUGCAGUGAUGUACUCUAUCGACGGAGGACUCUCUUCAUAUGCUUUUUAUUUUUCCAUGCCUGAUUAUAAAUAGGAUCACUCUAUGUUACAUUAAACGUAACGUACACACACUCACAACAACAGUAACAAGUCCCAUCAUUAGAACUGUUGCUGUGAGUGCGUGUAUGUUACGUUUAACGUAACAUAUCACUAGCCUUAUAAAUAACAUCACUUUUAAGGAUUUUUACAAAUUUUUAUUACAACCGUAACUUUUGUCCUCAUACAAUAACGGUGUCCAUUGUCCACAUAUAAAAAGUUCAUCAAUAAACAUAUAACCUAAUUAAAAUUCGUGACAAAAUCCAAAGGAAAGAAAGCGUGGAGUAAUAUAUAUAACAAAGGCAUUGAGCAUACACCAGGUGUAAUUUGCAUUGCAUGGCCACCCUUACGUGGCAGUUCCGCCGAUUAACACAUCUUUAAAAGUUAAAGCCCCCCUCUCUCCUUGUUAAGGGCGUUUCAACACAACACUCAUCAAUGCAAGCAAAGAGACAGUGAAGGAAAAAUUAAGAAACCAAUAUUGUCACUUGGAAGAAAGAAACAAUCAUUACAUAUAUAAUACGAUGGAUACUAAGAACAACAGGAAGCAUUUGUCCUGCAUUGCCAACGACGUCGUUCACAGAUGUGCACUGUACGUAUCUCUCUCUCUCUCUCUCUCUCCUUUUCUUUUUCUCCCCGAUCACUUUGUUUUCUUUAUAUAUACGAAUGUAUGUAGAACGUAGUAGGUUUUGUAUAAAUAUCUGUUGCACACAUUAUUUGAUGUGCAUUUAAAUAUAAUUAAUGGUAAUUGAGAUGACACACAAAGACAAUGCAAAAAAAGAAAAAAAAAGAGAGAGUAAAUUAAUGAAUUUGCCUUGAUCCAGUUAAUUUGUGUGCAUUUAGCUGACUGUAAGGUGGUUUCGAGUGUGUUUUUGUUUGGCAACUUUUCACACAAAAGCACUUUUGGGAAGCACUUUAUGUAAUGUAAGUGCCUCUAAAAACUGUUUUAUGUAUUACUGCCAAAUGCAGUGCAGAGGUUACAAUGGGAGGGUCGGUUUUAUACCUGUUCUUCGAGACUUAAUUUCAAUAGGAGAUUGAAAUAUUUAUGAGAAUUAUGUUGUUAGCAGACUUAAUUCUUUUGGAGGAAUUCAUUCCAUCGUAGACCACUCAAUGAAUUUGGUCGAUUGAGAUUAUUUGAGUGCAUGCUUCAAAACUGGAGCAUUAAUUCUUUGACAUAAAUGGGCUUUAACAUAAGGCGCGUUCGCUUAUUCCAUUUAUUCAAGAAGUUGGCACUCAAUUUUUUAUUACUAGCCUUUAGAUGGCCAGCAGCCUUUUGUAGCCCUUUCUAGUUUCUACUAAAGUGGUUAUGUGCAAUAGUUCUAUUCUGGGUUGCAAAAUUAUUGUGUCAGUAGAAUCCACAUACAUUAUGUACUUUUCUGUAUUUAAUUUCAAGAGGCUUAGUUAUAUCAUAGUUUUAGGAUUAUAAUAAGUCUGUCCGUUACCAUGUUAUUGGAAUUUUUUUUUUUUUCUAAAUUAGUUGGACACAUUAUUGGAUUGGUCAAUAAAGGAAAGCAUUUGGCAAGUACUUGGUUUGAUAUUAACAUAUAGUUGCAGUAAAGCACAUUAACUUGUGCAUCCUGAAAUUCUUGCAGGCAAGUAAAGGCUUCUGAGGAUUCAUUGGUGGAGGGGUUUGAAGCUGAAUGGAAGCCUGAAAUCGGACAGUAUUCGAAGAAAUUUGUGGAAUAUUGCAGCAUAAAGGCUCUUACUAACAUGUGCCAGAGCAUAGAAGAAAAGAUUAGUGAUGGAUCAUUUAGUCGACUCACAUUUGAUAUGAUGCUUGCCUGGGAAAUGCCUAGUGCCGCCGAUGAGGAGUCUCAUACUGUAAGCAAUCAUCAUAAUACUCAUAUCCUAUAUUUAUUUCAUGGUCCACCAAAUCAUUAUGAUAUUAUCCCAAUUUUGGUGUGCCUAUCUUCUCUUCAAGUUGCUUCUUCUAUUUCUUUUUCAUUAUACAUUCUCUGGUUCUCAUCAGUUUUCGCUCCAAUUAAAAGAAGCAUGAAUUCUUUCACUUAUCUGCUGAAUCUGUUCUAAUGAUUGGGCAAUAGAUUUUUAUUCCUCUCUGUGGUUACUACUAUUUUGAUCUUGUGCAGGAGUGCAUGGGAAAGGAGAAUGAGGAUAGAAAGGCUGUAAAAGUCACUUCAGAUCAUGAUGAAAUUCCUCUCUUCUAUACAGACAUCAUGCCUCUUCUAGUAAGAGCGUCUCUUUCUGAUCAUUUGAGUGCUAAUGUACCGACCAAGCAUUAGCCUUCACUGAAACUCGUAUAUGAUUUCAUGAACAUUGAUUAAUUGUUAUUUUUGCUAACUACUCUAUGAGAUCUGAUCAAAUUAGAUAUAUAAAUGUUGCGAUUGAUCUUGGAUUUGCUUUAUAUUUGGCCAUCAAUUAUAUUUUACUCUUCAUUUUUAUAUUUGUUUGGUUUGAUAAUUUACCCUCUGGCCCAUAUAUAUGAUGGUAGGUUAAUAAUGAACCGAGUGUUGGAGAAGAUGCAUUUGUAUGGAUGGGAUCCUUAGUUCCUCUAGUUUCAGAUGUUAUUAAUGGGAGAUUUACAUAUGAAAUUCUGACAGCGCCAACAGGAAACCGGCUCCAUUCUCCAGCAUAUGAUAUAUUUCUAAAGGAGAUGGACAAGUAAUUCUUCCAAUUCUUCCAUGCAGCAAUUUUACCACUCAGAAACUUUAAGUGCCGUUUGGUUUUGUGACAUGCAAAUUAUCAUGGAACACUCAAAAUGAGUUGUUCUUAACAAUUUCUAGAAUUUGCAAACUCACUAACCAUAUCUGAAAAUGCAGAAGCAUUAUUACCACUUAUUGAUAACAAUAUCUCUGCUCGACUUGUUUGGGUGCUUUCAGCCGUUUUUCAUUUUCUUUUGGAAAUCUUGAUUUCAUAGAUGCAUAAAACAUUUGCAAAAACAAGCAACUCCAAAGGGUGUUGAGCUGGCUGACGAUGAAUUUAUACUGCAUGUGGAGGGAACUGCAAGCACACAGAGAGUAGUGCGCCAUAUUGGGAAAACAAGUUGGCCUGGUAUGUCUUUAGUUUGAUGUCUUACAUCUUUUUAACUGCUGUAGAAAUUGUUACUUGGAUUUUACUAAUCAUAAUUGUUGUCUCUAGGUAGGCUCACACUGACAAAUUAUGCGCUCUACUUCGAGGCUUCGGGAGUAAUAACAUAUGAAGAUGCUCUAAAGAUUGACCUCUCAAAAGAUGCUGAACUAUCUGUUAAACCAACUGCCACAGGUCCAUGGGGUGCUCCGCUUUUUGACAAGGCAAUUGUAGUCGAGUCCCCUGAACAGUAAGCAUAGUUGCACUUAUAUGAAAUUACUGGAGCUAUUAGCAUCGUUAUUCUUAUUUUAAAAAUUGUUAAAUGCUUGGUAGUUAUCCCAUAAGCUAGAUUUUAAAUGCAUAACAUACAAGGCAGACAUCAGAAAGCAUUCUGAUUCGUUUAUUAAAGUUUGUCUUUUAUUAAGCUAAAGAUAUUAAUGCUGCUAGAUUUUUCUAAUUUGGUUGUAGAUAUUGGUUAGUUACACUGUCAAAUGAGCAAAUCUCGUGGAUAUUUCAUAGUGUGGUUAUGCAAUUGUUUUUUGCCCUUCACUUUUCUAGAUCUGAGGGAAUUGUCCUGGAGUUUCCAGAGAUAACUAGCUCGACAAGGCGUGAUCAUUGGCUGGCCCUCACAAAGGAGAUAAUGUUAAUGCACAAAUUCCUGUCAAAAUUCAAGGUGGAAUGUCCAAUACAAGCAUGGGAGAUGAAUGCAAGGACAAUACUUUGCAUCAUAAGACUCCAUGCAGCAAGAGAAAUGCUGAGGAUAUUGCCUCCAGAUCCCACAAAAUUCUUGAUUUUUGCUUUGUAUGAUGAGUUGCCAAAGGGAGACUACGUGCUAGAAGAGCUUGCUGAGAGUCUGAAGAAAGUUAAUUGUGGACAUCCUUCCAGUGCUAGCUCAAUUCUGAGAUGUAUGAACCUGUCAAUUGCCGCAAGUGGAGAAGUAAAAGAAGGAAAAGAACUGGAGGAACAUAAACAUAUAAGUGAUGAAAGCUGUUCAUCACUGGAAACUGCCAUCAAUCAAUCUAAAGAGCAAGCAAAGGCAAUUGAAAUUGCUAAGUCUACCACUGAGGGCCUGAAAGAUGAAGGGAUCAGUGAUAGUAUCCUUGUUCUCUUGGUAUGUUUUUACUUCCAAAUUGUUGUUUAUGCUGCUGAUUUUAUAUUGACAGAAUAAGUAAUGACAUCUCAACAAAUCAUGGUAUUGAGAGCUUGUUUGACAUUUAUCAAACACAGCAAAGAAAUUGAAUUUUAUGAAAUUCCUAUAGCACCCUAUAAUUUGUACCAAAAAAUCUCUGCACCUUUGGCAUGCUGUAUGGUAUGGAAGUAUAGCUGUCUCAGAGAGGUUACUGUUAUUUACUUUAUUUGGUUUUGUAGUAUUGAUGUUAAGUUUGAUUUAAUAAUGUAGGAGCUACUAAAGCCACUUAAAAGUGUUUUACCCUGGAUUCGAGAAGUUGUUUCAUGGGAAAAACCAGCAACCACCCUCACUGUGAUUGCAACAACUCUACUAAUAGUGUACAAGUAAGUCAGUGCUCCCUCGUAAUUUUCUUAUAUACGGAAAUUUUUUUGAAAGUGCAUGUUGAUCAAGAACCACUUCAUUACUUGGCCUAUUAAUGUGUAAACUUUGCAAAUGACUAGUAAACUAUAUAAUGGCAAUGUAGGGAGUGGGUAGGCCAGGCUAUAGCUGCUUGUUUGCUCACCAUCGUGGUGAAGAUGCUUCAGGCAAGAAAAAAAAGGUUGACAGACAAAUGCAAUGAGAUAGUAGUAUGCACUGCUUCAGAUCAGAGCACCGUGGAGAGCAUUGUGUCGGCUCAAUACAGUUUGAUAACUAUUCAUGAGAUGUUGCAGGCAGCAAACAUUAUGAUUUUGAAGAUAUGGUCGAUAUUAAUUUCAAAGGCCCGCAAGGUACUCAUUUUGAUAACCUAUGCUUUCAGCUUAGCAAUUAAAUAUCGUUUUCAAUCAAUAUUGCUUAUUCGUCGUUAGCUGAAGUUCGUUUACCUACUACAUUUGUUGGAUGUCUUCAAUUAUUGAGGAGUCUUAGUUGCAUUUCCAAAUUGUUCUAAAUCCUCGUUUCAUUUAAUGGGUUGCAGCAUGCGGACACGGUUAUGGUGGCAUUGACUGGGUUAGCAAUAGUAUUAGCAGUUGUUCCAUUCAAGUAUAUUGUCAUGGGAGGUGUGCUGUACGGCUUCAUUAUGAACUCGAAGCCAAUGAAGUACCUGGGAAACAACUCAAACGACCAAAGCGGCAACAGACGUCUAAAAGAAUGGUGGGAGUCAAUCCCUAUUAUUCCUGUUCGCGUCGUGGACAAGCUUCCUGAGUGCCCAAAAUAAUGUGUCGGCUCCUGCACAAUCACAGUUGCCUAAAUCCUCUGUUUCUGAACUUUUGUUAUCAACUUACUGCACGAUAUACACUUCUGAGUUUGCUUUUGCCAUCAGAGUAGAACUGUAUCUGAAACACAGCAUACACUUAAAUGCUCAUUACAAAUUUGGAGAAAAGCACAAGUAGAAAAGGAUUGAAGACAUUCAGUAACGUUGAAAUUCUGCAUUUUCUUUAAUUUUUGUUAUGAACAAGUUUCUUAAUUAUUUGUUCUCUUGAUGUAAAAUAGCAUAUUGCUGGGAGUAAUGAAGAUGUGACUGUGCUUUUCCUAUUAGCAUGUUAAUAAAAGCAAAAUGGAAAAUUAUUAGUUACGUCCUCUCGUUUUGCGGCUUAUUGAGCUAACAAGUAACUUCUUCAUUACUAGCGUGCAAGUUUGCAACUAGUGAAUCUCAAAUAUAACUCUACCCAAUGGAUGGAUGUACGAUGGAUGUACCUACCCAAUCAUUUAUUUCUCAUUAAAUCUGUUAAAACAGAAAAAGUCCCGACGUCAUAUUCUUCGCGCCUUUUAAAAAACGACACGUGUCGUAUCCCACUACUCGCGUGCUGGAAACUUUAACCCACUCUGACUGCGUGACAGCAGAUCAUUCCCAAUUCAUUUCAGUUUCACUGUCACUUUCACUCCUCCUCAGGCGCCUUCCGACAAACAGGAAGAAUGCAAACUUGAAAACCCCCAAAAACCCUAACGUUCCCCCGGAGACCCUAACCCACCAUAAACCCUGGCUCUUAAUCCUAGCCACUAUGAGCGACCAAGACGAGCAAUCGCGAGCUCAGAAAGCCGCCCAGUUAACAAGUCCGCUCUCAUCCUCUCUCUCGAACCUUUCUUCUUCUUCAAGAAGCAUCCCCUCUAAUCAAGAUUUCCAUUUCUUCUACAAUUUCCCUGAAUUCAAUCAACCCGUCCAAGAAAUCGCGAACCAAUCGCAGCUCCUCCUACAAUCCAUCGGCUCAUCGGAGAUUUUUAACCAACCGAUCAAUUUUCCUGAUGAGGUUGACAUCUCGGACGCCUACGACUGGCUUGUCGACGUAAACGACAACGUUUUCGAGCGUAUGGAUGUUUCUUUCGACGAAUUUAGUAAAGUAAGAGGGGAAAAUGGGGAAGGAGAUGGAAAUGAAGGUGGCUUUCAGUUGGUUUAUGGGAAGAACAAGAAGAAGGGCGACAUUGUGGGUGGCUCUGCCCCGGCCAGUGUGAAAGUGAAGGACAGGAAAGAGAAAAGCAAGGUGCCGUUUCAUAUAUCGACUAUAACAAAACCGCAAGAGGAGUACAAGAUAGUUGUGAACAAUGCGAACCAGCCGUUUCAGCAUGUUUGGUUGCAGAAGAUUGAGGACAGUGGACGGUUUAUCCAUCCUCUUGUAAGUUUGUUAUUUUUUGAAUAUUUUGAUAUUGGAUUUGACUUACUGGGUUUGUUAAAUUUGUAAUCUGAAAAUAGUACCUUUCUUAGGGACUUUUUAGUGAUCAAUUAUUUCUUUCAUUUUCUUUUUGGGUGGUUUGUGGUAUAUGUUUACGCUUAUCUUGUUUGGAAUUUGUGUGCAAUUCUUAUUAUUCAUGCGAGAAUUUUAACACUAUCAUGUGGUUCAUGCUUGCCAAAAAUAUACCAAAACACUUUUGCUUAUUGCUAUUGCUUUAUUUGUACAGGACAAUCUUUCUGUUUUGGAUUUUGUUGAUAAAGAUAUAGGGGAUGUGGAACCUGUAAAACCUCCCUCGUUGGAGCAGACACCAUUCAAGCUUGUGGAAGAAGUUAAAGAUUUAAAGGAGCUAGCUGCUAAAUUGAAGAGCGUAGAUGAGUUUGCGGUAAAGUCUGACUUCUGUGAUUAUGUUUUAUUGAUAAAUAAUGCCGUGGUUCAGCCUUACUGCAGUAGUUUCUUUUUUUCAGCCUUUUGAUUUCUCUUUUCUGAUGGGGCAUUUCAUAUACAGAACUGAACACUGUCCUAUGUAGAGGAUAUAGUGUAGUUAAGGCACAUGUCACCGAUGUCAGCUACUUCAAAAUUAUAUAGUGCUGGAUGUGGUUUAAGCCAAUAAGACAAGAAAGGGGUGUGGCCGCCUAUGAAGAUACAUACAAAUAUGUUAAUAUUCGAAACAUAUACAAAGAAAUGUGCCUGUAAUAGUUUUCCUGUCUACGUAAAGUAGUAAACCAGCUGUCUAUUUAAUCUUGAUACAAGUUUUGCAUGUUUAAAAAAUUAUCUUUCAUCUUUAACAGUGAGUCCAUUUUUAGCUGUAAUCCUUUUCUCAAGCAUGACUUGGUUUUGCUUUCGUUUUCAUCUCAACAGUAAACCUGUUUGCAACUAGAAAACAUUGUAAUUUUUUUGUAACUUUUCUCUAGGUCGACUUGGAACAUAAUCAAUAUCGAUCUUUCCUAGGAUUGACUUGCCUGAUGCAAAUUUCCACCAGAACCGAAGAUUUUGUGGUAGAUACGUUAAAGCUUCGCGUUCAAGUUGGGCCAUAUCUUAGGGAAGUUUUUAAAGAUCCUACCAAGAAAAAGGUUGGUCCCUUCAACAUGCUCUCGCGUAGCUUUGUGAUAAAUCUUAUUUUUUCCCCCCCAAAUUAUGUUAACUUUUACUUUACUAGGUGAUGCAUGGAGCAGAUCGAGAUAUUGUGUGGCUUCAACGGGACUUUGGCAUAUAUUUGUGCAAUAUGUUUGACACAGGACAGGUUUUAUCCCUUGAAACUCUCUUUGAAAUUUGAGACUUUAUUGAUGAUCUUGUCUGGUUUUUUGUACAAUGGUUAAAUUUAUCUUAUCUUAUCUGCUUUUUUGUGGUCUAAUUUAUGAGUGUUGAUGCAAGCCUUUAUUCUACUAAAUUAGUUAAAUUGAGUUAUCUUUUGAUACUGUAUUUUCAAUUUUGUAAUUCAUCUUAUGUGUUUGAGUCAAGGUUUGGCUUCAAAAAGCCUUGUCAGUUACAUGUCAUCUCUCCCUUAAUUUUUUCAAAGUAGCUUCGCUUGUCAUUUGAACUAUUUGUAUCAUUAUUUUCAAUUUUGAUGUGGAACUUCCCCCAUUUAUUAAUGUUCUUUUGGUUGUUUUUGUGUAAUGCUCUUUUGUAAAUUUUACCGUGGCAUUUAUUUUGUUUUGCAUUUCAAAUAAUAGUGAGAAUUGCUUUUUUCAGUCCUAAGUUUAUUGGUUUAUUGUAAAUAUACUGUAUAUUUAUUUUGGUUUGCAUUGGGAGAUGAUCGUGGGAAUUUGUUUCUGUCUUUUCAUAAGGCCUCAAGAGUCUUGAAAUUGGAGAGAAAUAGUUUGGAGUAUCUUCUACAUCACUUUUGUGGAGUUAAUGCCAACAAAGAGUGAGUCCUUUUGUAAAGUACCUGAUCUGUUUCUCCUUAUAGUUUCCGCCCUUCAUCAUCCUAAGUCAACUCAUUGCAGAUACCAGAACGCAGAUUGGAGAGUACGUCCUCUUCCCGACGAGAUGCUGAGGUACCUUUGGUUCUCUUUUUAUCUUCUUUGUAACCUACUUUUCUAAUGAGUUCUCCAAAAAAAAAAAAAUUAUGAUCUGUUUGGCAUGAAAAUAAUUACUACUAUUUUAAAGUUCUUGUAUUCUUUGGAAAAGCAGAAAUCAUAUAUCAUCAUUUAAGUGUUUGGGGUUUCAUCUUUGCCUGUAUUUUUGUAGAAACUAAUAAUAUUUUUUUUUCUGUGGCUUAGGAUUUGAAUUGUGGGAAUAUCUAUGUUGGAAAUUAAUAAUGAGUGCACAUUGACUCUUGAUAGUGGACAAAUAUUUGGACAGCCAGGAAGGGGAAGGCCAACAAAAGUUUUGGGUUUUUAUAAGUUGAAGUUAUGAAUGGUUUUAUAAUUAAUUAGGUAUAGGUUUCCUCAUUUGGGUAUUUCUGGGAGAUCUGGGUUAUAAGAUUGAGAUAUUCCAGCCUGUAUAGAUAAUUGUAGGGUUGCCUGUGUUUGUGAUAUUCCAGCGCGUUUAUUAUUACUACUUCUUAUAUAUAUAAAAUUUUAGACUCUUUCCAUGUCUAACAAGAAGUUUUCAUGAUAUCACUUGGAUCCUACUCAUGCAGACUUGUAAGGCAUCCUUAGGUGCGGUUAUGUGAUCUGGUUUUUAUAAAUAUUUUUAAAUUUUUUGUCAGAGACAAUGCCUGUAGUGACAAUGUACUGACUUAUCUUUUGGUUAUUACCAAGCUGAAUCAGGUUGCCUGUGGUUUAUGACCAUACCAUUUGGUCUUAUAAAAUGUUCUUCCCUUCACCUCAUGUUCUCAUACUUUAAAGCAUGAAUAAUAUCUAAGGGCCUGAGAUUAUUUCAUUAAUUUUUCCCAAGUCUAGAUCCUUCCCAGAGAAAUGGAUGGAUUACCCACACACUCACCAGUAACAUGUCGUACUUUAUGACGGUUUUGCAUUACUGCUGUAUGUCAUUUAAUUUGCCCUUUUGAGGAUUCUUUAUUUUCUCUGGGCUGAUGUUACUUUGUGGUGCUUUUUUUUCCUAUUUAGUCAAAAUAUAUAUUCAUCAUAGAGUUUCUCUGUUAGAAUUUUCUUAGCUUUGAGGAUUCGUUAGUGGCAUAUCAUCCAAUUGAUUAUACUUGUGAUGACAGAUACGCUAGAGAAGAUACACACUAUCUGUUGUAUAUAUAUGAUAUAAUGAAAAUCAAGUUGUCCUCAAUGCCCAAGGAGUCUGAGAAUUCUGAUACUCCCCUGACAGAGGUAUGAUUUUUGCUUAACUGUUGGUGUUGUUUUGUAAAACUGUUGGGCAUCUCUAUGAUUAUAGAGAAUCCAUUUUUAAAUGCUUUUUUCAGAUCUUGUUGUGCCAUGUAUGACAGACCAUUGCGUCUGGAGAUUGGCAUGGAGCUUAAUAAUUACAAUGUUAAAAAUAGAACAUAAAAUAUUGGGAAGUAUCUAUCAUGACUAAUUCUUCAACUGUUUAAGGAAGAUAGUUUAAAUCCGAAUAUCCUUUUUUGGAUUGUGGACUAAAGAAAAUUGUCAACUCUUGAUUUCUCUUCCCAAGGAUGAAGACGUAUCAGUCUGUUGGCAAACACAUUUUUUGAAUUUUACUUUAGUUAUCUAUAAUUUUACCAUAUUGAGCAAACAUUUUGUUGCAAACAGGUCUACAAGCGCAGUUAUGACGUAUGCAGGCAGCUGUAUGAGAAGGAGCUUCUGUCAGAAAAUUCUUAUCUCCACAUUUAUGGGUUUGUCUUUGUCCCUAUUCAUCUCAGUUUAAGUUUUCAUUUAGUGGCCUCGCCUGUUUAAAAUCUUCUCUCAUACAGUUUUUGUUUGUUUCAUUCUUUACUUAGCAUUACUUCUCUUGUUUAAUUUUAGUUCUAUUUUGGACUUCGUAUUUAUGUGAUUUGACAGAACUUAAUCAGUGGAGCUUAUUUCUCUAUGUUGAAAUAGGUUGCAGGGGGCUGGUCUCAAUGCUCAGCAGCUUGCUGUUGUUGCGGUAUGUCAGUUCUUCAUGUGUUUUUCAAACUUUGCCACUUUUCUAUCUGGAUAUUAUAUGCAUGAGGAUGCUACUGAAAAUGUAUUAUCCGCAUGUUUUGUUUACUAGUUGCAUCUUCAAAUGAAACAAAGUCUUGACCCAGAAGAAUCCGUAACGCACCAAUAGUCACUAAUAGGAUUGUCUUGAGAAAUUUACUUCUAAAUUUUUGAGUGGAUGAUAGAAGGGUGGAUUUUAAGUAGCUGACACAUCAUUGCCAACUGCUGAUAGAGUCUGUUGCAUACUUGAGUAUUCUUGCUAGUUCUGGCCCCAUUGAUCCCACUUCAAUGAUUUGCAGGGUCUUUGUGAAUGGCGAGAUGUUAUUGCUCGUGCAGAUGAUGAAAGUACUGGCUAUGUAUUGCCAAACAGAACUCUGAUUGAAAUUGGUAGAAACCUGUCUGAAUUUCCUCCAACUCUCUCUUCUAUAUGUAUAUAAUCCAUUUGGUGAGUUAUGAGUUAAUCAUAUUUUCCUUUUGUGGUAAAAGCCAAACAGUUGCCUACUACUGCUGCCAAGUUACGUCGAUUGUUGAAAUCAAAGCACUCAUAUAUUGAACGCUAUAUGGGUCCGGUACUUAGCAUCAUAAAAAAUUCUAUGCAAAAUGCUGCUAAUUUUGAAGUCAUUGCUCAAAAAUUGAAAGAGGAACGUAUGGAAGUGGUAAGACCUGCAUGCUCAUGUUUGAUUGUUUUGUUAUAUCAGUGAUCCAAAUUGAUUAUUUUUCUUUGAGAAUUUGAUGUUAAUGCCUUCAAUGGAUUGCCAACAUACAUUGAUUUUCUUUUUCUUUUCCUUGGAUUUCGUUAGAAUCAGACCAACCAUCUUUUAAACGAGGAUGAUGGUCCAAAACCUUAAGGUCUACUACGAUGAAUUGCUACUUUUUGUGCAAGUUCUUGUAAUUCACUCAGCUGGUUGUCUUCGGCAAAUGAAAGGAAAAAGGAAAUUCAUCCAAUCCAGUUCUAUUGAAGAAAAAGAAUCCUAGUUGAUCUUACAAAAUUAAGCUUUCAUAAUUUGUUAACCCAUGGAAUGUGAUUAAAACUCAUGGACAAAGGAUGUUCCAGUUGAGAAAGGGAUUUGAGUGAUUUUUAGCAAUUAUCAGUGAUGUCUUCAUUAGAAGUAAGUUUAUGGUUUAUAGCAGUAAAUGCUCAAUAAUUAGGUACUCCUUGUAUAUUGGCUGACCGGGUCCCAUGUUUGUAGUAGGUUUUGUGAGCUACAGAGGAUUAACUUCAGUCAGUUUUCCAUGUUAUGGCUGUUAAGAGCUAUGUCACCAUUUUUCUUUGUUUACAUCAAACUAAUCUUUUUUUUUCCCCCCAUUUUUCCUUAUUUGUGUAGGCAUCAGAAGAAACUGAAGUUUUAGUUCUUGAUACUUCCUCAAACUUGAAAAUUCCGAAUGUUGGAAGGGAGAGUGUUGAUGGUGUUGAUGCAUUAGUUGGUACCACGAUGCCUCACCCACCAGCUUACACCCAGCUGAAACAAGAGCCUCCAAAGGUUGGAAGCAGUGUCGCAGAACUUGACAGAAAUGGACUAGGGUCUUUUGCGCAUCCUGGAGAAGCAAUUGCUUCAGAAAAUAAAGAAGCUACUCAUAUUUCAACACUUUCCAGCUCUGGUCAAAGUAGAGACUUGAAUGCUUGCAAGUCACCUUCACCAAGGGUUGUGAAUUUGAUGCCUUAAUGUGGAUUUUUUUUUUUUUUGGUUAAGAGGUUUAGCAUUCAAUUUCUUUUUCUUUGGUUGUGAAUUUGAUGCCUUAAUGUGGAUUGGAUUUUUUUUUUUUUUGGUUAAGAGGUUUAGCAUUCAAUUUCUUUUUCUUUAUAGGUUACUGAAGCUGCUGUUCAGGCUCUAAAGAAGCCGAACCGUGGUUUUGGAGCACUGCUGGGUAACCCAAAGAGAAAGUUUGAUGGCGAGAAAAAGGUGAGUUAAUCAUUUGCUAGUAAUGGUUGUUAAACAUCUGCUAUGUCAUUGUCACAUAGCAAAAUAACUAUUUCUGAGGCCUGCCAGUCACCCAGUUUGUGCAUGUGUGGUUGGGAAGAAGGCAACAAAGGAAGAAUAUAGUUAAACAUUUGCUAUGUUAUUCUUACAUAGCAAAAUAACUACUACUGAGGCCUGCCAGUCAGCCAGUCUCUGCAUGUUGGUUGCAAAGAAGGCAACAAAAGAAGAAUGUUUUUUUUUUUUGAAUCUUCAUUCCAUGAUUCACUUUCUUUUCAAUUUUUCUUGUCAACUAGCAUGUACAUUUGCCUUCUUGUUGCCUUUUUCGUUGCGUGAGUCAUUAUGAAUUAUGAUUUAUAUUAUACGGAAAUUGUGAGUGGGCAACUGUUGGGCUAUAAUCAAACAUGCAAAAUUUCGGGUCCCAUGACUAAGCGCUGCUAUCAUCUGGAUUUGUGUGUUGUUGCAUUUUAUAUUUGGUUAACACCCUUCUUAUUAUCCUCCUUUUGAUUGUUUGUUUGUCUUAAUUAGGACAAGGAAGCUAUGAAACUAGAGCAGAUUAAAUCCUCAGUCAAUCUUCCAUUCCACUCAAUUUUUGCAAGAGAUGAACAGUUAAAACCAGUUGAUGUGAUGAAGUCUGAACCAAAUAAGCCUGACAUUCCAUUUCCUUCAUCUUUUGGUAGUGGGCAACAAACGAAACCAAUCAUAGAGGAAUCCAAUAGAGUUACAGUAGUUUCCCAAUCAGAAGAACCCGCUCCGGCUGCUAGGUCUGAUACAGAAGAUAUUAUUACGUUGGAAGAUGAUAUAGAUGAAGAGGAACAAAACCUUGGUAAUUUGGAAACUGCAAGUGCGCCCGGAGAGGACGGUUCUGCAGGGUCUGCUUUGGAAAUGGGUAAACAAGAUGAGACCAUGUCUCUCUCUGAUUUAUCAACUAGUUUCCAGGAGUGCUUCCACUCUGCUAACAACAAUAGAAAACCUGGAAAGCCUGAGAGAUCUGAAGAACCUAGUGGUUUUUUGCAGCUUAAGCCGUUUGACUUCGAAGCAGCUAGGAAACAGAUCGAGUUUGGAGAAGAUGCCAAAGAAAAAUCAGCUGGGGUUGAUGGAAACAAAAGAAAACCAGUGAACUCUGGAGAUAAGAAAAAAGUUUCAGCUGUAGAUCAAGCUCAAAAAGAUGAUGGAACAAAAGAACUGUCACAAGGUAGACGACGUUCUGCUUUUCCUGCAACUGGAAAUCGAAGUGCAACAUUUCGCUGAGUCUCUGGUAUCAAUCAUGCUGCUCUGUGUAGCAGAAAUUAGUUGAAUUUUGGAUUUUCACAAUCAUGUUCUUGAUUUAAAUGGAAAUUAAUGCUGGUGGACAAAUUCGCAAUGGUUGUACGUAUAUUUCCAUUGCUUGAGGUCUUGUCUGAUACAGCAUGAGCUAACCUGAUCAUCUUUUGAUAUUCAGUAACAGGAGAGAUGUAUGGUCUGCAGGAGCCAAUGAUGGGCAAGUGAUACCUGAGGCCGGUGUCUAUUUGAAGGUAAAAUGGGCGAUGGUUCUAGGUUUCAUAUUAGGUUUUUGAUAGUCUUGAGUAAUUGCCCUACUAUCUUCAUAUUUAAAAAACAGGAUGGUUUCAAACCAAAGUGCGGUUUGUAAUCAAAAGCAUUUGAUCUUUUUGUUUUUGUAACUUUACGGGUUUUAUUUUUAGAAAAAUGGUUCUGUACUAUGGUUUAUUUCUGCCUUAUUUGAUAUUGUGGUCAUCUUAGGCUUUAUUUAGUGUAAUUUUUCAGUUAUAUGUUCGUUUGGGAAGAGGAAAUGAAGUUAAUUUUAUUUCACACUUGCAUAAGAAAAAAUUGUAAUGUUUAUAUUAUUUUUGUUAAAAUUAUUAUUUAAAAAUUAUAUUUGAUAUCUAUUAAUAAUUUUUAUUAUAAUUAUAAUUUUCUUUUUCCUCCAUCAUCUCAAUUGCUUAUAACUGCUGUUGAGGAUGGUUGGUGCGAUGUUAAUAAUUUGUAAAGGGCUUAGUAACAUCUGGUUCCGUGAUGUCGGCCAAACCAUAUCGAAGGGCUUAAUUUGACGGUCAUCGGGGCCUCCUGCCCAGCUGCCCUCCUUUACGGAUUCCGCUUCCGCAAAUUAUUUUAUAUAAACUGUUGUUACAUGAUAGUGGUGGCCGGAUGAAAAUACUACAUGACCAUAUAAUGCUUUCGGUGCAAUGAGUGAAAAAGAGAAAUUUUUAUGUAUUCUCGGAUUGAAGGAGAAAUUUUAAGAUUAAGAUUGUGGAGUGGUAGCAGGAGUAAAUUAUUUACUUACAUCACUAUGAGAGUGUGGAACGAAAAUUAGAAAUUAUGUAUUUUCUUUGUCUUAGAUUGAGAGUGAAUCAUUUUAAAUUAUAAUUUUAUCCUUAUUUAAAGAAUUGUAGUUUUUAAUUAUAAAGUAAAUAAAAAAAUAUAUUUGCACAAUAAAUUAUUUAUUUUGUUAUUAAUUUUAAUUAUAUAAAUUAAUAAUAAUUAUUAUUAUUCUUAAUCAUGUGAAUCAUGAUUUUUUUGUUAAUUUUNNNNNCGUACAGCAGAAAUAAAUAUGAUAUUUUUAUUUUUAAAUAAAUGUGAUAUUAUUUUUAUUUUUAUCAAUAUAAUUAUAUUAUAUUCAAUAAGGAAAUGAUAAAAAGAAAGAAGUGGGAGUAGAUUUCUACUUUUUAUUCAAAAACAAAAAUGAGACCCACAGAGUAGAAGCCUAACUCUCCUCCUUAGAUGAGUACUAAAACGUUUAAGUAGGAGAAAUUCAUAUUUUUGACUCCCACUCUACAAAGUAAACAUAAUAAUAAUAUCAUAAUAACAUUUGAUAAUUCUAUAUAUUUGUGACGUCAUAUCUCAUCAAUUGAUUAAUAAAAUUAAAUGGUGAUUAUUUAUGAAAGAACAAAAUUAAUUCAUGUGAGUUAUGGUUAAUAAAUAAAUAAAAUAUAAAAUGUUAAAUUUUGACUAUAAACUAAUUUCAAUAUCUAAUAAUUUAAAAGCUCAAUAGAGCUAUGAUAAAAACUAAAGGGAGGAUUCUUAAUCCGAUCCGGGAUCUUAAUCAGUUCAGGACCGAUCCACUUCCAGCUAUUACGCGUCAAACAUCCAUUUGACGAUUGACGUGUCACGCCAUCUCACUGUCCUCACAAGAAAACCCGUUACCUUCAAAAUGCUCCAAACCCAUCAACGCCGAAUUCAAAUCAAGCCCCAAGACCAAAUACAAAGCAAAAACAAAUAAACAAACGUCUGUUCAUUCAGUCUGAAAAAAUCAAAAGAAGUAAAAGGAUUGGCGAUGGCGAUGGCGGUUGAAGGAGGAGGGACAUUAUCGGAGAUAUAUCAAAGUGCGAAGAAGUUGCUGUUGAGAGCGAGAGACGGAGUUGAGAAACUGGAGAGACUGGAGAGCUCGACGUCGACUGGGGGAUACGAUUCGCCGGAGCUCUCCUUCGCUGUCAAGAAAGAUAUUUCUCAGAUCCAGUCACUCUGCGUCGAGAUGGAUCGCCUAUGGCGCUCCAUCGCCGACAAGUCUCAGCGCGAUCUCUGGAAGAGGUACCUAUUCAUUUACUGUUUUGCCACGUGGCACCGAAUCAACCUUGUGUCGUGUCCUAAUUGCUCUACGCCAGUUCGGUUGCAAUUCUGUGCAUGAACCGCAAUUUUUAUACUGAAUAUUACAUUAUUGAUUUUGUCUGAGCGACAAGGCAUGCUUCCACGUUUACUUGUUGCUUAGUUUUAUUGUUUUGCCUUCUAUGUUAACAGUCUAUAUAAGUUUUAUAUGUGUUACAGGCAUGUGUAUAUAUGGAAGUACAUUAAUAGCUGUUCAUGCUGUUGCUUGCUUGAGGUCGUUGGUAUAUUUGCAUUUGGAACUAAAUGUGCUUGGUGUGGGUUCGCUAUGUGUGUGUGUGUGUGUGUGUUUGUUUGCGUUUGAUGUUAAAUGGAAUUACCUUCUAUCGAGUCAGUGCCGCAAUUUGAUUGCUUGGUUUUUCAGAGGUGUGUUUUUAUGUUAUGUCAUGCAGAAAAGUUGAACAAGUAGCAGAAGAGGCUGAAUCAUUGAAAGAGAGUCUCGAUAAGUACUUUUUAAGAAAUCAGAGACGGAUAAAUGAAGCUAGAGAGAGGGCGGAAUUGCUUGGAAGAGCUGUAUGUUUAUUCAGUUUUCGUUAGAAGUUUUGAACGGAUUCUGUAGUGUUUUUCUUGUCUGGAAACGAGAAUUAGCUUUCCAAUCUGAUGAAUUUCUUUUAUGUUAUAGAAUGGAGAGUCGUCUCAUAUUUUGAGAAUUUUUGACGAGGAGGCGCAAGCAAUGCAGUCAGUACGCAAUUCAUCGAGGAUGUUGCAAGAAUCGUUUGCAACUGGGACAGCCAUUCUUGCCAAAUAUGCAGAACAAAGGGAGCAUCUAAAGGUAUUGACACUUAAGCUCCUUGUUUACAUGCACAGUUGCACACUAGAAAUUUUUGCCAAGCUCACUCAAACUGUGUGCAAACAAAGUUCACUAAACAGGGUCAAAUGAGAAAUUUACAUUCUUGUCAUGGUUGUAUUCUUAACAUGAUUAAAUAUUUAAAUGAGAACAAUGUUAGAUCCUCAAAGCAAUUAUCUUUAAUAUUGAUUUAUACUACUGCUAUAGAAAUUAUAAGUGUUUGCAGCACCUGCACAAAUGGCUGCAGAGAAUUUAGUCUGUCUAUGGUAAUAAUUUUAAAAGCUGGUAACUCCAAAUAUUCAACAGUGGCUGACAAAAACAAUCCUCAAGUUUUAAAGUAAAAGCAAACUUUGCUUUGAAAUAAUCAGUGACAACAAUGACGUGAAAGUGUCACCAACUGUUUAUAUAUAAUAUCUCCAAUAUUCCAGAAUUUAGUUUCAUAAUGGCUGGCAAAGACUUGGUUUUUUUAAGGUUUAAAGUAAAAACGAUCUCUGCUUUGAAAUGUUCAGUGGCAACAGUGAUGUAAAAUGAUCAGCAACUGUUCAUAUCUAGUAUCUCCAAUGUUUAGAAUUUUGUUUAAAAGAUCCGUUCCAUCCAUAAAAAAAUUUCAUUCUGAAUAAGCAACUCAAGAUUACACUUCGCAAGAACACACCAUCUACCAUUUCUCACAAAUUUAAAUGUCACAACCUAUGAUCCAUUACCAAUUGUGAGAAACGGCAGAUUAUUUGUUCUAAUGAAGUGUAAUUUGAGUUGCUUAUUUAAAAUGAAAUUCUUUUAUGGGUAGAAGGGAACUUCUAAACGAAGUUCUAGGAAUCAAAUUAGCUGUUUAGAUUUGAAUAGUUGGUGAUGCUUUGAUGUCACUGUUGCCACUGAUUCUUCUCGAAAAGAAACAGAUUUUUAAAUGGUAUUAUAGAGGUCACAGAAAAAAAAUAGUCAUGCUAUCAUUGAUAGCACUUGCCACUGAUGUUGAUAAUGAGUUUAACUGAUUAACUUCCAUCUUUGGUUCAGAAAGCACAAAGGAAAGCUCUGGAUGUUCUCAACACUGUGGGUCUGUCCAAUUCAGUAUUGAGGCUCAUUGAGAGGAGGAACCGUGUCGAUACAUGGAUCAAAUACGUAGGAAUGGUUUCUACAGUGGUCAUCUUAUAUUUCUUCUGGAGGUGGACUAGGUGAUCCGAUCUUCAUACUUAGCCACGCAUAGAUCAUUAAUCCGCAUACUUUGGAAUGAUUAAGUUUUGUUCUUGAUAUUUGCCCCAUAAGAGGGUUAAUGAGGAUGUACAAGGCAUUCUUUGAUGAGAGACUAUCCUCUUAUGAGGAUGUAUAAAGCAUUCUUUGUUAAGAGACUAACUCGUAUAGGACGGACUCCCAAAGAAGGUUCUUUGCAAUUCUUGAACAUUUAGAGCGAAGUUGACGAAACGUGCUAGUUGUUUUUGUAUUUUGGCAAAAGGGGAAUUACAGAGUUCGAAGAUUCUAAGAAAUGCGCCAAUUUUGUUUUGUUGUCAGAACGCAAAAACGGCCUGAUUGUGGACGGUUAAAUCCGGAAUUAUGUAGUGGAUUUGCAGUUAUUGAAGGGCAUGCUUGGGAAAAUAAUAUGGUCAAAUAAAAUCAAGAACAAUUAUAUUGUAUCUGCUGUUUAUGCGUCCGUACUUGAAGGUGUCCACGUGGCUGGUGUGUGUUUGUUAAACCAGUAAAAUUAAGUAGUGCGAAGUUCUGAUCGCCGCUCAUUGAUUGUUUUUUUUUUUAACUUUAAAUAAACUAUGAGAAAAGGCUUUGAAUGAGUCGCAGAUAAAUUAAAGUUUUUUUUUUCUUCUUCUAAAUUUAUAUCCAAUGGUUCGGCACAUGUUAUUUUCUUUAUUUUUAGUGCACACGGUAAACUAUUGAUAGUAUUUGGUGUAAACUCACUUUCAAAUCGAUGCUUCACGAAAAGUCCAAAUGACGCGCUAUGAAAGUAAUAUAGAUAACUAGGAUAAGUGGAAAUGAUAAACGAAUAAAAUGAAGUAAAAAGAAUUUUUCAUUUUUAAGGGUUACAAAAUAAGAAUAGUUAAUUACUUAAUUAGUUGACUUGCUAAAAAUUUUUCAUGCAAACAAAUGGUCUGGACUGGAAUCCGUUUAAAUGGAUAGGAAGAAAAUUAGAGUGUCGUAAAAGUACUGGAGUUUCAAAUCCCCUCACGUAGUCACAAGGAUUAGAAGAAAAUUGAAUUGUUAGGCAAAAUGAAAAAAAAGAAAAAAGCUUAACAUUUUUAUUUUCUAAAAAAAUGUUUUUCUUAGUUGUUUUGUUUUUUAAUUUUAAAUAUAUUUAAAAUUUUGAAAUUAAUAAAUGACUUUGAAAACUUGAGUGUGCUCGAGCCUCGAGAUCUACUCAAAUUCUUUUACAUUAUUACAUUAUGAAAAAUUGUAUGAUGUCGUGAUUAAACUAUUGUAUCAAUACUAUGAUAAACAUAAAUUUUAGAAAUUAUAUAUAAGACUAGUAAGUGAAAUGUAAAAUAAAUUAAUUAAUAUAAGAGUGGUAAAUAAUGUUUUAAAAUUAUAAACAAAACAAACACUUAUAAAAAUAACAUAAAAAUUAUAAAUCAACAUUAAAUUUUAAUGUAAAAAUAGUUUAUUUAUUUAAUUUAUUCAAGCAAAGAAAAACUUUACUCAUCAAUUGAAAACAAAAAUUUUGUAUUGAAAACAAUGGGAAUAAGUUUUAUUAAUUGAUUUAACCAUGAAUUUUAUAUUCAUGUCAGGAUAUUUAUAAACUGUUUUUUUUUUUCAUUUUCUAUCAUAGUAUUUGUUUACUAUACAAGUUGAUUAAGUAAACUUAUUAUUAUUAUUAGUAUUAUUAUUAUUAUUUAUGUGGAUCAAGCCAAAACAAAAUAAAAAUACAUUUGAAUAUUACUAGACAUAUAUGGAAUAUUAAUACAAUUGAAUCUAACUUUCAGUUUUAUACAUAAUUCAUCUAGUUUCAAAUUUUACUUCUUAUACUAAAAGAUCAUUUGAGGUUGCUAUCGAGGAGGUUUAAAAUGAUGCAAAAUCACUUAUAUCACAAAUAAAAUAUGAAAAAAAAUUUCUAAAAUUUGAUUUUGAGAGUAAGUUUUAUCCUUAAUAAAAUUCCACAUAUAUUAUCACGUCUAUUACAUAACCACAGAAUUAUCAUUAUUUGAUUUAGAAAUAAAAAUAGUAAAUAUAUAAUGUAAUCAUUAUUAUAGUGAGUUUUUAUUUAUUUUUUCAAUAACUCUUAUAAUAUUUACUUAUUUUACAUUCAUUUACAACUCUUCUAUUUUACUUUUAUAAUUUAUAUGUUAUUUUACACUUAAUGUUGAUGUACAAGUUUUAUAUCACAUUUGUAAACAAGUUUUACUUUAUAUUUACAUGUAUUAUGUUUUAUUUACUUAAUUCAUGUUUUAUUUUAUACUUAAUGUUGAUUUACAAGUUUUAUAUUAUAUUGAUAUAAGUUUUUAUUUUAUUUACUAAUGAUAUAUCAACUUACCACUGUUAAUUUACUUAUUUUACCUUCAAUUUGCAAGUCUUGUGUUUCAUUUACAUAAUUUAUUAUGUUUUAUUUUACGUUUAAUGUUGAUUUACAAGUUUUAUGUUAAAUUUACACCUCUUAUAUUUUAUUUACACAAUUUAUGUUCAAUUAUAGUAUAUUAUAGAAUGACUCAUUUGACAUUACAAUACAAAAUUAUAAACAUAAAUAGAUGUAUCAAAAAGUCUUGUCGAAAAAUGAAUCCACCUUAAUACGGACCUGUCUCAUUGUUUUAUAAUUAAAGUUGCACACUCUUACAAUGAACUUGAAGAAAUUGAAUUCUCAACAUCAAUAAUGAGGUGUCUAUUACUAAUAAUAGUUUAUAAAAAAAAUAAAAAAAAUAAAGAAAUAUGAUUAAAUUGAUCAAUGUAAUUUUAUUAAAAAAAAGAAGCAUUUUUAUUACAAAAGCAAUCUCAAAAUAUAUAUUUUUUGUAGUUACAAAAAAUCAUGACCUAGUGGCGACCUAGUGGCGACCUGGUGGGCGUAUAUACAAAAAUCAUAAUAUUUUUAUACUGAUUACAUAAAUUCGGUGAUCACAGACCACAGUAAAACCCUGAAACCGCCCAACGGGGUUCUUUACCAGAGGAAAAAAGGGAGGAAAGAAAAUGACUUUUUAAUAUAACGGCACGGGUUUAAGCCAAAAACGGUGGAAUCAAAUCAUUGACACGUUCGUGCGAUGCCUUCACUCCUCAGGCAAACCAGACUCCCGCAUGUGAAUGCCACGUGAACGUAGCUUCUUCACAUAAUUUUUACCCCAAUGUCCAAAUUACCCCUUAUCUUUUACUCCUUUUUUUUUCUUUUUAACUUUGCCCGAUUUUGAAGUCUAUUACGUAUUGCGGACUGCUGCCCUCGCUUGACGUGUUUUUUCUCCUUUUUUUUUUUUUUCCCUCUCCAAACUAUUCUUUUCAAUUUUAACUAAAUAAUUUUUUUUUUUAUUACGAACAUCAACUUAAAAUUUAGGUUAGUUAGACACUUCCCCACUUCAUCCUUAAAGUCAAGUAUUCAUAUCUAUCUGUCUAUGGUGAAUAAUUUUUUUUAUUUUUUAAACUACGAACAAGUUAUCUUUUUUUUUUUUCUUUUCCAAUAUCACUAUUUAUCCACUUUUAGUUUAAUUCUUUCUGCCUAAGAUGAUCAAUUUAAAUUAAAAAUGGGAUUUUGAAAUUAUUUACUAAAAAUCAUGAUUGUUCUUUUGACGUAUUUGAAUAAAGUUUAUUUGGAAAAAUUAAUGUAAAAAAAAAAAAUGUUGGAAGAUUACGACAAUGGAAAUGUAGUCUCUGGUGAAAUGCUCUGAUUCAAUCAAUCAUCAGCAAAUGCGGUUCGCACGUUGGCAAUGGAACUCGUGAUAGCACAACCGUGAAAUGUCCUUCAUUUGGGAGUCCACGUUAAUCACAUGUGGGUCCAUCUUGAGUGCUUUUGUGCUUUACAAUUAAAAUAGACAGACAGGCUGAUGACCUGACAAUUUCGAGCCUGAUAAAGCCCCUUCAUCAACUUGAUCAGAAGGACAGGACAGCUAUUAAUAGAAAAAAGCAGCAGACUAGUACUAAUCGAGAAGUCAAACAGAUAAAAACUAAAACUAAAUAAUCUAAUCUCCUCCUAAUUCACUAAAUUAUUUUAUUUCUAUUGGUAUAAUUAAUUAAUUGAUUGAUUAAUCAAACAUGCCUUCACAAUUAAAUAGUUUCAACAGUGUAAGUUGAACCACGUGUCAAGCAAAAGCAACCAUCAUUUAUUAUAAUUUUUUUUUAUUUUUUUCGAAAAAGGAAAAAUCAAAAAACAAGGCAAGUUGAUGCCAACAGGAUCUGAUCCGGAAGGGUAACCGAGUCAUUUCGCCGUCAUGCAUGCCUCAAUCCGGAUUGCCUGCCCGCCCCCACGUUGGAAAACCAGGGACGCAUCGAUAAGCAGUUUCAACACCCAAAACACAAACUUGGGGGCGGGAAUUGCAAAACGAAAUAACAGCUUUUGCUUUUGCUUUAAUUUUUUUCCGUUUGUUUUCUUAAAAAGAAAGAAAAAAAAAAAUACUCCCAGUUCCACAAUAGAGCCCCUGGUUUUGCCUAUUUCUUUAAUCCUUUUACGCAGACUCAUGAUAAAUAUCUCCAUCUAUCAGUCAGUCCAUACGGUUUCCUUUCAUCACCAACCCCACCAACGAAAACAAAAAAAACAAAACAAACCCCCUCUUCAGAAAUAUAAUUAUAAUUUUCUUUUUCUAUUGAAUUAAGCUUGUUGGGUAUAAUUUGCUAAUUAAUCAAAGAUCGAUCUAUGACGACGGAAGCGGUCAGCAAGGUUGGAUAUGCGCAUAGUAAGGUUGCUAUGAAGAAGAAGAGCGGUUAUCGAGGUCGAUGCAGGAGAAGAAAUCACGACAGAUAUGCACCCGAUAAUAAAACGGUGCCGAUGGCGCUGCAGCGUCUGUUUCUUUCUUGCAAAGACGUCUUCAGAGGCCCUGGAACCGUUCCCGCUCCUUCUCAUGUCCAAAUGUUGUGCUCUAUUCUUGGUAAGUGUUUUUUUUCUUACACUUCAUCAUUUCUGGUCCAAUUUUCUUGUUUUUCAUUUGGCCGCUGCACUCGCAUGACGUGUAUGUUGUGAAAUCUGAACCCAUCAUCAUCCUUCAUCCAUGCACAUAUAUAUUAUCAGUCAUGAGAAAUUUUGAAUCAGCCAUUAAAAAAAGAAAAAAAAAAAGAAAAGGAAAGAUUCAAUAUUAUCAAAUCAAUACCAUUUUGUUUCAUGAGAUGAUCUAUGAAAGAUGGGAAAGGAGCACUGCUCCUUAUUUCAUUUCCUGUCACGUCUGUGUUUCAAUCAAUUGUAAUAAUACAUAUAGCCACGUAAAAAGCAAGGGGCAAUACUCUUUACAGCACGAAAACCUUCUCAAAAAAGGGGCUUUACUUUAUUGGCAGUAAUGAAUUGUUUUGAGCAAUUCAAUUCAUCAGUGCACUUAUCAUGUUUACGUAGUUUGUCAAUUUGGUUCCAGUUUUUGGUUCUUUUUAUUGGAUUCAGUGCCGAAAUGUCAUGUGUGUUCAUAGGACGUACUGGGAAAAGGAUUAGAAAUCUGUACUGAAUUUUUUUAAAUUUUGGGGGGGGGUUUUUUUUUGGGGUGGAUGGGGUUAUGGAUCUAAGUGGAUGGUACCAAUUUUCAAAAAUGUAGUUUAAUUAACUUUCCAGUUGAAAUUACAAAACCAAACCAUCCGAAAUGGAUUCUUCGAGAAAAGGUGGGUUCAGAAAACAAAGUGGUUGCUUCUAGGUGAAUCCAGAUUUUUUUCACGCGGACACAUGGUACCUUUUGGUUGAUUACCCAGCCACAGUGUUGCUUGAGGGGACAAAAAUAUCAUAUUUGUUUUUUUUUUUUUUUCCAAAUUCCUUUUUAAUUCGUAACUCAAUCUCAUGGGAUCCUACUCAGCAGCCAUUGUGAUUAUUUUUUUUACCUGACGACGCAAAAAUCUUUGCAUUAGAAAGGAUACAUAAGCACAUUUGCCUACUGUUGCUACGUGUACAUGUGCAAUGGUUUGGUUGCAAAACUGGAAGCAUUGGCACAUUAUAUAUAUGUGUGUUUUUUUUUUUUUAAUAUGUAUAAAUGCAUGGAUCAUGACACUUGGCUAAGUUAAAAUUUCCAUUUUCUCGUUAUCAUAAAGAUUGCCAGUGACUCAAACAAGCUUUUCUUUUUAAAUUUAUGAUGCUACAGAUGAAAUGAAGCCAGAGGAUGUUGGGCUUAGCAGUAAGUUACAGUUACUUAGUGCCAAAGAUGCAAUGAAAGGGACGCCAAUUGUCACAUCCACUACAAUAUACAAAUGCCAGAACUUUUCGGUAAAGACAUAAGCUAUUCAUAUUGGGCUAAAUUAAAUUCUUUUAUUAUCGUAUACUAAUUUGUAAACCAUACUAAUUAAUAGUGCAAAUUUGAUUUAGAACUUGAUAGAUUACCUUUUGGAUUCUCUUUUGUGCAGUUGUGUCUUUUCUUUCUUCCUCCAACUGCUGUGAUCCCCUUGCACAACCAUCCGGGAAUGACUGUUUUUAGCAAGCUUUUGCUCGGGACAAUGCACAUAAAAUCGUACGAUUGGGUCGAUCCUGUUGACGCAAACGAUUCUGCAGCCCCCACAAAACGUGAGUACCGCUUACCUUAUACAUAUAUGUCCAUGUAUAAUGCACACACGAACACACACACACACACACUCACAUAUCAAAACAACACGAUAACUUGAAUGUGCUAGCUCGGACUAGGAUGAUCAUUUGUGACUGAAAGUGAUGAUUUAAUUAAUUUGCAGCGCGAUUGGCGAAGUUGAUAGCCGACAGUGAUUUCACAGCACCUUGCAACACUUCUGUGCUAUAUCCAACAACAGGAGGCAAUAUCCAUGAAUUCACAGCCAUUACGACAUGUGCCGUGCUCGAUGUGCUUGGACCUCCCUACUCUAAGGACGAUGGUCGGGACUGCUCAUAUUACAAGGAGUUGCCACUUCCCGCGGUUCCAAGUAAGCGAAACAAAACCACUUGUUACUGAUUAAAAACAACCUCGUUUAAACCUCCUCGAGUAGCGCUUUCAGAGGUCUUACCAAUUAAACCCACCGAUUUUGUUAAUGCAGAUGGAGAGAAUCAGGAGGCAAAAGAGGAUGAUGGUGGUGAGAGUUGUAGGUGGUUGGAAGAGAUUGGGGUGCCAGAGAACUCACACAUGGAUGAAAUUGAGUACUUGGGACCGCAGAUAAUUGAGUAGUAGCUGUAACUAGCUUCAGCCCACAGUCGCGUGAUAAAAAAAAAUUUCAACGCAUUAUCUUCUUUUGUUUCAUAGCUAGUCAAUGGUUUUGUAUUUAUAUAUACACAUAUAUUACGUUGUUUCCUGACCUGAGUUUUCACUAUGUUAAUAGCAAAAUUUCAUUUCUUUUUCUUUUUUCUCUUUAAUCCCGGUAUCUUCUUUAAUAACUUGAUUACUUGAGUACACUGUACCAUUGAAAUCAUGGUUCAUGCCAUAGUUCCCUUAGAGGAAGGUCCAAACCCGGCUUAGGAGAAAUGGAGGUUUGGGCUGUCGAGGGCCUUGGUGUUGCUAUGUUCCCAAGAGAUGUUUACUUGGGCUGUCGAGCGCGCCGAGAAGUGCUUAAUAUUACAUCAAUGGGCCGGGCUUGUAACCGACUACUACACAUUCCCAUGGCGGCAAUCCUGAUCAGUAAUUAACUUGGGAUUUUGCAUUCAAUGAUUGCCACAAUAAUAUCAGCAAACUUUUCAGAAGAACCUUAAUUGAUAAUUGUCAUUUUGCAAUCAUAGGUUAGUUGAUGGAUAUACCAUGGGCCCUGAAAAUUAAUUAAAAUAUCAAACAUUGUAUGCUCCUAGGUUGGAAAUUUUUCAAAAUUUUCAAUAGAAAAAUAACCUCAAAAUCAAUAUUUUACAUGUGAAGAUCUGUUUCAUUAACAAGCGCGAUGGGCCAAACGGAGGGAGCCAGGAAUUUUAAGCUGUUCAUAUUUGACGCCCUAAUUUGGGAUUUGCUAAUACGGAAAAACUUUGAGCUGCUCACUAAUUUAUAUCUUGACUUCGAGAAUCUGCGCAAUUACUAAUUAGUAGCCAUCAAUAAUUGUCAAAAAUCAAUUUUGAAUUUCGAUAUUUUUGAAUGCAUUGGUGUUACGUGUUUCUCCAUACGCGUUAGUAAAUUUGAGAUGGUGUAAAUUUGUAAUAAACUAAUAAUAUCUUCUUUUUUUUAUAAUUUGAAAAUCAACCCAAUCUGAUUCUCUAAAUUAACAAGAUCAAAUUGACUAUCCAAUGUUCAUUCACUAGGAAAGUCCUAAAGGUCCCUCUAAACUAGAAAGUUACUCAAAUCUAUGGCCAAAAUAAAGUCUUCUUAUAAUUAAAGAAACAACCCAUCUUUUUUUAAGAUCUUCUGACAAUGAAUUUUCAAUUAUGAUGGGGUUUGAAGUUUUGAAAUUUUCUAAGAAUUAUUAACAACUGAAAAGAGAAAGCAAAAGAAAAAGGACGAUGUGAUAUGGCAUGGGACAUGGACUUCCCACCACCUUUACAUUGCCAUCAUGCAAAAAAAAAGCUCUCAAUUUUAUGCUUAGCUUGUUCUUGUUUUCUUUCUUUUAUCACUUCUUUAUUACGUGGGUCUUGAAUUCUCAAUAGUUUCUAAUUGUUAAAAAACUCCAUGAAAAUUGCUUUCCCUAUUGUAAUACCUCCAUUAAGGAGAAUGAAGGGUUAAAAAUGUACCGACAGAUACUGGAAAAUUAUUGAAUGAAGUAAUCAACAUGAUUGUUCACUGACAAUAUUAUAUUCGGAAUAAUGAUAGCUGGUUGUUUUGGAUUGUUUUAGAUGUUGUAUUAGCCAAUUAGGCAUAUUGGUAUAUAUUAUUAUUAUAUGAAAUACUAUUGCCUUUUUUAUUAGCAAAAGACUUUCGGUUAAGAUUUUGCUUAAUUACACGAUUGCAUCGUGAUUGUUUUUAAGCUUCAUCAUUCAAUUCCAAAACUUAACGUAACAAAAGAUCUUACUAACAAUACUAUUUUAAUACCCAUUUUUUUCCCAGUCACGUGAGUGUAUAUGAUCUCCAUAUCUUUGGUACUAUAUCUAAAAAAUUUUUCCAAUCAAAUUAAUUAACACCCGCAGCUACAUUUAAGCAAAUUGUUCUAAGCCGCUAGGGUUUAAUCUAGUAGUUAAAACACAACCCUUACAAUUGUGAGAUUAUGCGUUCGAACCCUCACAACAAUACAUUGUGGGGGUUUAAUUUUCUUCUCUAAUUUGAGUGAAAGCAGUCUCAUAAAAAUAUGGAUUGUGCUUGUCCCAAAAUUAUUUAAUUAUAAAUAUCAGUAUACUAAUCUCAUAAAAUAUAAGUAAAUACGAGUUGGAAUAUGAUCAAUAAUGUCAUAUAAUUUUUUUUAUUUAAAAAAAAAAAAGCAAAGUGCUAUGCAAUCCACUUGAUAUUACGACAAUAACUGGCACACUAAUGAACAACUAGUAAAUUCAUUUUAAAAGAAAUAACACCCCAAAUCAUUAAUAUUUAAAAAGAAUCAUUUGAAAAAAUCUUAAAAAGUGUUCGGCAAUCCACUUGUCAUUGUAACAAUCACUCACACGCCACUGAUCAACUUUAGUUUCAUUCAGUAUGCCGAGAAAUAGAAUUUAAAAAUAACAACACCUCAAAAUCAUACAUAUUUGAGAAGAAUCACAUGAAAAUUGAGCAGGUCAAAUAGUUGUGUAUAGAACAAAUUUUUUCAUGAGACAGGCUGGAUAGCAAGAAAUGGAAGCCAACUGUGAGUUUCGGUCUUUCAUAGAAUUUGGCCUAACGUUGUCACAUUCACUAUUCACGUACCCAUAUUAUCAUCAUCCCAGUGGGCACUGGCACUGCUGAGUGCUGACCCAAUAGAACAAAAUAAUAAUAAUAAUAAUAAUUCCCACUUGCUCAAUAUUUUAUUCUUUUCAUUUUAAUUGUCAUUUUCCCAAGUAAAUAAAAACCUUUUAUGCAAUUAAUUCUGCUUGUCGGGUGGAUGAGGUGGUUCAUCACGUUCAAAUGUUCAAUCAAUGACAAUUUUAUCGCAAAUUCCAUUGCUUAUAAUUGUUGUAACCAAACAAAUCCCUGGUGCCUGCACUAACACCUUAGCUUCAUUUUCAAUUAAGGCGGUUUUCAACAACUUAUUAACUUUAUUUUUAAAGAAAAAGAAAUCCCAAGUGUUUUUCUCACUAAUUGAUUGCUUAAAAAUACUUAAGAAAAUUACCCACAAAUAAAUUAACGAUAAACAUUUAGUACUAGCUUAUGAUUUUUUUGGGGGGGGGGGGGUUUCUAAUAAAAUUUGGAUUAUUUGGGUUUUAUAUUUGAGAAAAGUUAAGUUACGACGAUCGAUAAUUAUAUACCCUUAAAUAAUUAUUAUCUAAUUUGGAUAUUUUUAUAUCUUAAUGAGUUCGUGUUGAUUUGCCAAUCUUACAAGUCUUUAUUUUACAAAAUAUAGAUAUUUAGAUUGAAAAAAACAUAUAUAUAUAUGUAUGACAGUAUGAGUAGUGUAUAUGUUACAAGAUAUUUUAAAAUUUAAUACUUUAGUUGAGAAAUGCCAUCACCCUCAACUACUCGGUUACAAGAAUAUUAUUGCGUUAUUUAAUAUUCUGUUAUCGAUUGCUUUAUUAGGAAGAAAUAAUGAAAAAUGGGACAUCCAUUGCUAAAGUACAACACAACAUUGUUGACAAGUGAGUCCCCCUUGAAGUGACAACUAUUUUUUUUCUUCCUUAAUAAAGGACGAGCUAUGUGUAUGUGGUUUUGCCGUGCAACCCAAGUUUCAAUGUCUGUAUCAUUUAUAGGGGGAAACCUUAGGUGCAACCCACACACGCCACUCGGCUUUUGGCAGCCUGGUUGAGAGGGCAGCAGUUAUUUUUGUGGGGGCUAAAACAUUCAUUCUUUUUUUCUUUUGUAAUUUUUCAUCUGUGAGGAUUAUUUGUCAAUAUAGAAAUUUGAUACUGUAAUCAAUAUUAAAAAAAAAAAAAAAAGUACCCACACAUACACACAUAUAUCUAAGAAAAUAAAUGAUGAAUACUAUGUAAGAGAAAAUUUGGUAGUUACAGGGUGAACACUUUCUUAUCAAAAUAAUAAUAAUAUAAUAAAUUAGAGACCCUCCUGAAUAUUUCCAACAUGCUUCUCAAAUUGCAUGAGUGUUGGAUUCAUCAACUUAUUAUUAUUAUUAUUAUUAUUAUUAUUAUUAUUUUAUCAUCAAUUGAUGUGCAAAAGGGUGAUGUUAUCAGUUAUCACGGCCUCCUGAGAAAAAAAAAAACUUUAAAUUCAACGUGAAAUGAAAAAUGUAAGGAAUCAAAUCGAAUUGUCAAAAUGAAAUGAGAGGCGAACAAUUUAACUGUUCAGAAAAGAAGCAAAGGCGCCAAAAGCAACGGACGGAACAUAAAAGUGGGUCCCACGUUUCAAAGGGACAAAACCAGAGAAAGCCAAAGCCCACCCCGCAACGAAAGUGAUGCCAAAGCUUACAAUUUGUAUUACCUUAAAAAUUCUGUUCGGUUCAUUUAAAUUUUAUUAUAAAAUCAUUUUCAAAAUUCCAAAUUUUAUAACCAAAAAAUUCGCUGCAUGCAGCGAGAAAGCAGCAAGUGAAGAAUAAAGGGUUCCCCCCGUCAGCAAGAAUCUUUUCUUUUUUUUUUUCGCUUUUUUUUUUCCCUUUGUUUUUUAAGAAAGCAAAAAUUAAGAGAGCAUUAGUUUUGCUGUCAUGAUAAGUAUGGUGUUCAAGAGAGUGUCGGCUAGUGGGAAGUGUUUUGUCAUUCAGUCAUUGUGUUUGCAAUUUUCUUAUGAACCCGUGUCAAUAAAAUGUCUUGGCUUGUGAACAGAAACUGAAAUUGAGCUUCUUUGUGUGUCAGUGAGAUUUACAGUGUCUGUGCAUUGAAUGUAUGGUUGCUAAAUUUUUGCUUUUUUCUUCUUCUUCUUUUCUUUUUUCCCCCCGAAGUGGAUAGUCAAGAAAUAUGAAGAGAUUAUGACUUGAGAUUUUUUUUUAUUUUAUUUGAAGUGAUGAUCUGAAUUAACUGGGCUUUGGUUUCUAUGGUAGAAGUUUUGUUCUAUUUUGUGAGGGGAUUUCUUCAUGAGUUAGGCAAGGAAUUAAUUCGUUUUGAAGUUAGAAUUUAUGUGUUCAAAGUUAGUUUCAAGUGACCUUUCUAAAGUCUUUAAGGUAUAUUGUUGGAAAUUAGCUGGCUUUUUUGUUCAAUCAGUCUCUCAAGAGGUAAGCUCCUUAUGAUCCUUUAGAAGUUUUUAGUUAUGAUAAUGUCGAUUGAUAAAUUAUCUGUAAUUUGUAUAAUAUUUGCAGAGUUUCUGUUGAUCUUGGGAGCUGGCGCUUCUGUAAUUGAGAAGCUAGAGGCAUCACUCUGUUAUCCCAGCGGAUUUUUAAAAGCUCUAGAAUCCCUUUGUGAUUUUCUCUAGUGUUCCUUUUUGUAUGCAUUGAUGGCAAGAGCAUCCAGAUUCAGUCAGUGUGCACUUCUGGUGCUUGCUUACAUUUUGCUUCAGGUCAAUCAUUCGGAGCAACUGCAGUCUUCUCAGGCUCAGACCCUUUUGAGGAUUCAAGGGCUUUUAAACAAUCCAACUGUUUUAAGCAGCUGGAAUAUCACCACUGAGUUCUGCAAUACAGAACCAACCUCGUCUUUAACUGUAGUAUGCUACGAAGAGAGCAUAACCCAGCUGCAUAUAGUCGGCAACAAGAGAGCUCCUACGUUGCCUCUAAGCUUUUCCAUGGAUUCCUUUGUGACGACUCUUGUUAAGCUUCCGGACUUGAAAGUCCUCAGGCUGGUUUCUCUAGGUCUAUGGGGUCCCUUGUCUGGUAAAAUUUCACGUUUAUCGUCACUGGAAAUACUUAAUAUGAGCUCAAAUUUCCUGAAUGGUUCUGUACCUCAGGAGCUUUCAAUUUUAACUAGCCUUCAAACACUCAUACUUGAUGAAAACAUGCUUGCUGGUCGGGUUCCAGAUUGGUUGGGUUCAUUACCGAUUUUGGCUGUUUUGAGCUUGAGGAAUAAUAUGUUCAAUGGGACUUUGCCUGAUUCGUUUAGUUACUUGGAGAAUCUUAGAGUUCUUGCGCUUUCAAACAAUCACUUUUACGGAGAAGUUCCUGACUUCAGUGGUUUGACUUACCUUCAAGUACUUGACUUGGAAAAUAAUGCUUUGGGACCUCAGUUUCCUAAAGUUGGCAAAAAGUUGGUUACAAUGAUACUGAGCAAAAACAAGUUCAGGUCUGCCAUUCCUGCUGAAGUGAGUUCCUAUUAUCAGCUUCAGCGGCUAGAUCUCUCAUCUAAUAGAUUUGUUGGACCAUUCCCUCAAGCACUUUUAUCCUUACCUUCUAUUACUUAUUUGAAUAUUGCUGAUAACAAACUCACGGGGAAGCUUUUCGAUGAUCUUUCUUGCAAUCCCGAACUUGGAUUUGUGGACUUGUCAUCAAAUCUGCUGACUGGACAGUUGCCGGAUUGUCUACUUGCAGGUUCUAAAAACAGGGUUGUCCUGUAUGCUAGAAAUUGUCUAGCAGCUGGAAAUGAAAAUCAACACCCGCUUUCCUUUUGUCAGAAUGAGGCUUUGGCAGUGGGAAUUUUACCUCUGCAAAAGAAGCAGAAACAAGUUUCCAAAGCAGUUCUUGCGUUGAGUAUAAUAGGAGGAAUUAUUGGGGGAAUCUCACUUUUUGUGAUUGCUUUCUUGCUUGUUAGGAGAACUAAGUCCAAGCAAACAAUGAAGAAGACUCCAACAAGAGUAAUUCAAGAAAAUGCUUCAACUGGGUACACCUCGAAGUUCCUCUCAGAUGCAAGUAAGGCUUCAUCUCCCCUUAAUCCCCCUGCCAAGUAAUUCCCAUUCUGUGUUUCUGUUGAAAUCAAGCAUGAAUCUGGGCACACCUCAAAGCUGCUACUGGAGUCAUGCAUUGUGCAAGCUUUAAUGUAUUUAUGCAUGUGUCCACACACAAUGUAGUGUUGCAUUUUUAGGACAUAGGACCGUAAGUUUUAAUUGAAAGGUUGUCUUUGAAUACUCUAUUUUGAUCAUCCAACUUGAAGCCCUCACAUAGAAAUUAUUGACCAGUCAGUUGCAAGAAAUCGAGUGAUGAUUGUGUUCUUGUCUUAAAGCCAGUUAAUAAUAUUCUUGAACUGUUAAAUUGUUGUCCAAGUUUUAAGCUAUAUUAAAAUUGACCAUAUGAUCGUUUGUGCCCCCUGAAGGGUAUAUUUCUCAAACAAUGAAGUUGGGAGCACUUGGUCUUCCAGCUUAUCGAACCUUUUCCUUGGAAGAGCUUGAGGAAGCUACAAACAACUUCGACACCUCUGCUUUCAUGGGUGAAGGUUCUAAAGGGCAGGUAUGCUACUCUGGUACAAUAUAUAUAUGAUGCCUACUUUCAUGUCGCAAUGAUGCACAGUAUGACAGUUCUGACAAUUUGUAUUUUCCCUUUGCGUGAUCCGUUCAAAGAACGGAAAAGGAAAAGUUGGUCCAGCAUUUCUCUACACCUCACAUAUUUCAUGCUUGCAGAUGUACAGGGGUCGCCUGAAGAAUGGUACCUUCAUUGCCAUUAGGUGCCUUAAAAUGAAAAAAAGCCACAGCACUCGAAACUUCAUGCACCAUAUAGAGCUGAUAUCAAAACUCAGACAUUGUCAUUUAGUCAGUGCUCUUGGACACUGCUUUGAAUGCUACUUUGAUGAUUCAAGUGUUAGCAGAAUAUUUCUCAUCUUCGAAUACGUUCCAAACGGCACACUAAGGAGCUGGAUAUCUGGUAAUUCAUGAAAAUCUUUAAUUCGUUUCUCAGGGUGGAGGAUAUAAAGUAAUUAAAGCCACUCUUUUGUACUCCUCUGCUCUAUAAGCCGGCUUUAUGGGGUCUUCAAAAGUAGCUGUGAAUUUUUUAACCUUGAUCCUGCGUGUAGUCAUUGAAUAAAGUAAUCAAUCAGUCUAGAUAGUUCAGUUUCCUGCAAGUAAUUAAUUUACUUAAAGAGAAUAAUUCGUGGUUUUUAAAAUAUAUUGUUCAAAGUCAUCAAGAAAAGACCGAAUCGGAAUCAUGUUCCAUAGUAAUCACAAGAAAUUACUAUUUUAUGUCCUCCAUCCUGACUUGUUGUUAUAUCCAGUUAAUCAAAUUAUGCCUUUAUGUUCUGGCUGGUUUCAAAGUCUUAGAUACUUUUAUGCAGAAGGGCAUGCCUGGCAAUCACUUACUUGGACACAACGUAUAUCAGCUGCAAUAGGGGUGGCAAGGGGCAUACAAUUUUUACAUACAGGGAUUGUGCCUGGUGUAUUUUCAAAUAAUUUGAAAAUAACAGACAUUCUACUAGAUCAGAACCUUGUUGCAAAAAUUAGCAGUUAUAACCUGCCUUUAUUAGCAGAAAAUGCCGAGAAGGUAAAAAGGAGAGAAUCUUCCUUUUCAUCAUUCUGUCCAUCUUUUCCAGUGCCAUGCACUUUUCAGUUGAUUUGUAGCUUGCUUCAUCUGUGCAGGUUGGUCAUGUAACCCCUUAUUCUGGAUCCAUAAAUCCUACAAAUAGUGCAAGGUAGGUAAUUGCUUCAAUAGUCUGACAAAUGUUGUUGCAGUUCAUUAGAAAUAUUAAAAAAUAGGGAUAUUAUCAUUUUUCCACCAAAGGUAUUCUGACACAUCAUGUCAGUACCACGGUUUAGUAAAACUAUCAAUUUACCACCAAACAUUUAAACUGUUAGCAUUUUCUCACCAUUCCGUUAAAACUCAGUUAAUAUGUAAUGAAAAUUUUCUAAAAGGUCAAUUUUACCCCUGGAGCAUAAAAGACCAUGUAAUUAACUUUUUAUGAAUUUUGUAAUUAAAUCAUCAUUUAUUGUUCUUCCUUCUUAAAGGACAAAAAUUACCCUUUAUGAAUUUUGUAAAAUUGACCGUGUGGUGUUAGGUAAUUCAUAAAUUGAUUUAAUUUAUUUAAUUUUUAAAGGGCAAAUUUAUUUAUUUAAUUUUUUGUGUAAAAUUAUUAUCAUCAUAUCAAAGAUUAAAUUGCUUCUUUUGCACUUUUUUUUUUUUUUGCCCUUUCAUAAAUUGAGUUUUAGUAGUAUAAUAAAUUGUCUUUAGCUCGUCAAUUUAAUAAAUAAAUUUGCCCUUUAAAAAUUAAAUCAAUUUAUGAAGUACCUAGCACCACACGGUCAAUUUUACAAAAUUUAUAAAGGGUAAUUUUUGUCCUUUAAGAAGGAAGAACAACAAAUGAUGAUUUAAUUAUAAAAUUCAUAAAAGGUUAAUUACAUAGUCUUUUACGCUCCAGGGUAAAAUUGACAUUUUAUAAAUUUUCUGUUACAUAUUAAUUGAGUUUUAACGGAAUGGUGGGAAAAUGCUAACAGUUUAAACGUUUGAUGGUAAAUUGAUAGUUUUACCAAACCAUGGUACUGACAUGAUGUGUCAGAAUACCUUUAGUGGGAAAAUGAUAAUAUCCCUAAAAAAUAAAAGGAAAAACUAAAAAGGAAGCCUUAACGGGCAACUAAAAUUGCUAAAAAGAAUAUGUUGGGUAUAAACGUAUAAGAUCAUGCACUAAUAAAUCAUGCUGCAUGAAUAUCUACUGCUAUGAGAAAAUAAGUGAUGACAAUCUUCAAAUUUCCUCUAGUUUCUGCUCUUAGAAUUUUCUAGUCAUACAAUUCUACCAAAACAAAUUCAUUCUGAUUUAAAUUGAUGUAAGAACUGUUCUCUCUACACUCUCUUAUUUGGCAGGGGGAAACUUGAAGAUAAGAUUGACAUUUAUGACUUUGGAUUAAUUUUACUAGAAAUUAUUGUUGGGAGGCCAUUAAAAUCCAGGAAAGAAGUGGAUCUUCUGAAAAAUCAGGUAAUGGUUCUGCUUGUUUACAUUACUUUCUUUCAAAAAUCUUUCAUAUCCAUUCUUCUUUCUCAGUCAUCAUGUGAAGAGUUCAGAAUGCCGUGGAAAUUUGAUCACUCUUUGGUGCACAGCUAACACAGUAACACCCUAGGAUUUGUGUUCUAAAAUUGCAUCUACUCGGGCUCUUCUAGAUUUAUGCCAACUCUACUGCUAAAACUUGAAUGUUUCUCUUCUUUGCAUCCUUAAUCUGGUGGCUUACAACUAUGUCAUGUUAACAUAGACCGAAACCUCUUCAUGAUUACUAGCUGGUUACUCAUGACAGCAUACCUUUGACUUUCUGUAGUUACAAGCUGUCAUUACUGCUGAUGAAUCAGCACGACGGAGCAUGGUUGAUCCAGCAGUUAACAAGGCAUGUUUGGAUGAGUCACUGAAGACAAUGAUGGAAGUCUGUGUCAGGUGUCUGCUUAAGAACCCAGCAGAGAGACCUUCAGUUGAGGACGUGCUAUGGAAUUUGCAGUUUGCUGCUCAAGUUCAGGAUGCAUGGCAUUCUCAGAGCAGUGAAGGGUCUCCAAUCUCACCUCCAUGGCCAUCACACCAACACCUUUCCUUUCAUUAGUUGCAACAUUCAGGUCCUUACACUGCUAAAUAUAAACCUGUUAACAAAUCUUUUGAUAUAAAUACACAUCUUAUUUCCUACAAACUCUCCAGUAAAUGUUGAGUUUCUGGUCUUCGAUCUUCGCUUUACAUUGUGCCUACUGAUUUGAAACAAAAAAUUUGAAAUGCAGGACAUGCUGUACGUGGCUUGAUGACAAUUGUGCCUGAACAUUUUCUAUCACUCCUACCUCUUUCCUUCCAUGUAAUUUUUGCGACAAACAACUCUAAAGUUACAGUUGAAGAUGACAUUUUUCAGAGAGACCAAAAGCUAGCUGUCUCUUGUUAUGCUAAACAUCUUGUUUCCAGUUCUCCAUGGUUGGAUCCUAGCACAUAUCCUGGAUUAUAGAUCAAUGGUUGCAGGUCCCGUAUCCCAGUCAAAUCAUCUAUGCAUUUGUUUAAUAUUUUUCCACAAUGAUGAUCAAAGGGGAUAUGUUGUCUGCGUCCAUUACUCUUUCUUUACUAUUGUAAGGUGCAGCUAAAAGUAAUGAUGUACAAGCUUUUUCUAUGUUAUUGUAUACACAUAUCUAAGCCCAAUGUUUUGGCAGGAGAUGGUUGUUCACUUUCGAACGUUUUGCUUCUUUCUGGGAUCCGGGUUGAAUCUCAAAUUUUUACAAUUUACAACCUCAAAAUCGUUUAGCCGUAGGUGUGGCCUGUCAAAAUUCAAGUUUCAAGAUCAGUCUCUAUUUGAAUAACAUUCAGUAAAACCCUACAGGUUUAGUAAGAUAUCGUCAACCUAACGGAAUUCAGAGAUCCAUCUUCAGCCAUUAAUAUUCCAUCCAACUUACAAUGCAAUGAGCGUAUCAGAUAUUGCCAGAACAAGAAGUCUCCAUUCACUAAUUAGAUUAAGACAGGAUUUUAUCCCAAGUCUUAAUCGCAUCUGUUCAAUUUUUCUAUGCAAUCGCUUUCCUAGCUCAUGGCCCCCAUAAUUCGUGGUCCUCUAUGUCAGUUGUCAUCCUCUUGAUCACCUUUAUAUUUCAUUUUUCCUCUUCAAAUAAUAAUGUUUCGAGGUUUCAUGUCCAUGGAUGUCGACAUGCUCAAGCUCGAGGAAACUCCAAAAGGGAGGUAAAAGGAAAAUGAGGUUGUAAUGGAGAAAGGGAAUUUGGUGAAAAAAUAAUCACCAUAAAACACAAUGCAAAAUAAGAGUUACUAAAAGACGGCCAUUCACAACAUUCAAAAAUCCCACAAAAUAAUUCCAGUGAGUAAGAGCUCCUCUGUUUUCCUCUUUUGAGAGUUGAAGAUUGUCUUUAAGACAUCAUUGUACUCCUAUACAAAUGCUACAAAUAAAUUACAGUUAGAUGAAAAAUGUUUCAAAAGUAUAAUUUAAAAAAAAAAUUGAGAAAUUAGCAAGAGGUUCAACCAGAGCUGUCUACAAAUCAUCCAAAGAAAUCCUCUAACUCUGAUAACAAUGCACCUGAAAUCACAUUUAUGAAGGACACCACUAUUGGACAAAUCCAGGGAACAUCGUCACUUCAGAACCAGAGUGCUUUUAUUAGGCUUUUAGUCUGCUGUCCAGCUCUGCUCCACUAUUUCCCGCACUCUUCGGUUGUACUCUCUCUUAUUCUCACUGAACAGCCGAGCUGCUUCAGAGUUUGCAGGAGAGUUUGGAUUUGGAUCACAAAGCAGAGACUGAUAAAGACAUAAGUAGCAUCGGGUUAGCAUCAUCUUGUACAUCCACUGACAACCCCCCAAGCUCAUUUAUUUUAGGAUCAACCAUAACUCACAUGAAAUCUCAUGCAAAAACCAAAUUGUCAAGUGCAAACAUAGCAUAUUUGAAAGCUAUAUUAUUAACCAAUUAUUUUAAAGAACACAUUAUAACCAAACUAUAAAUGUUUGAAAUAUUGAUGAAGAAGCUGAUGCAAGAUUCCAUCAUGUUGUGAGUGAGUGAGUGAGUCAGGGGGGGGGAGGGGAAGAAAAGUCAGUCACAACCUGGUAACAAGGAUAAUUUCAGUUUGAAUAAGCAUGUAUUCUGAUUACCAGCUACCAUCAACAAAGAUCAAAAAGAUAAAAGAAAAUGCCAAAAUCAUAACAAAUACUCCACAAUGCCAUCAUUGUUAUGAGAAAGACAAAUUUGAAAACUUUUCAUUUGCAUUUUAAGUCAAAAGACAAAUUUGAAAACUUUCCAUUGCAUUUUAAGUCAAGUUAAAUAUGGUAAGUACAAUAUCAUGUCUUCUCCCACCAAAAACAAAAAAAAAAAAAAGACAAUAUCAUGUCUUCUCCCACCAAAAACAUAUGGUAAGUACAAUAUCAUGUCUUCUCCCACCAAAAACAAAAAAAAAAAAAAGAUUCCAGAUUAAGAGUGCCAACAGUAAUACUACCUGGGAUACUUGUCAUUGUACGAUUUUGACCCCAUGCACAUGAGUUUAGGAAUGAGCAUGAAAUUUUACAGGUUCGUCUAUGUACAGUAAAAAGUGCUCUAUAUCACAGUUUUAUGUUAGCUUUCGCGUGGAUUAAAAAUUAGAUAACUAGAAUUCCAGCCUUGUUUUGUCUAGUCCAUAGAAACACUUGAAAACAGCCGCAUGUUUGAUACUAAAUCUCAAAAAUCAGUUUGUUUACAGCAUUUUUCAGAUGAGACAACUGACUAUAGAUUCCUCAAAUUUCUUUAAUGGAAAAUACUUAAAAUCAUUCAUAUCAAUGCAUCAAACAGUAAUAUUUAUGUGUCGUAUUUCAGACCAUAAACUUAAACAUCAAAUAAUAAAGUGACCAGGUCAUAAAAUCACAGAUAAAAGAGAAGCAAGAUAUGUUGGGAAGAAAACAAAAGAGAAACACCGUGCAAUUAGUCUUUCUUAUGCACAUAAAAGAUACAAAGGAACACAGUAGGCAAACCAAAUAAUAUGAAGUCAUCAUUUGAUGAAACAGGGACUUUGGUCUAUGCAAACCAGCAGAUUUUCUAUUUCGAAGAUUGUCUUAAAACAUGGAAGAUUCACAUUUAUGUUCAGUUAAUAUAUGAAAACAUAUAUAAUGAUGCAAAAAAAAUGCCUUCACAGUGCAGGCUUGUUGACCUCAUAAGCACUUGGAAUUGCGUCAGGGUAAGACAAUCUGAAAAGCUUUUAGCCACUAAUAUCAUGGGUGUGAUUCAGUUGCCAAUUCAAACUAUCUCCACAUUUCAAUUAAGUAGAAGGACUUAUAAAAAGAAGAAAGGGGGAAACAGGAAACAUAACAAAAAUACGGAAAAGGGGGAAACAGGAAACAUUUAACAGGGGAAACCUUAAAAAAUGUGUUAGUCAUAUUGUCUAUUCUCUUUUCUUUUUCCCCCUUCAAAGCAAAAAAGCAAUUUUCUUUCAAUAACCAACAUUAAUUAUAAGAAAUUACGCAGGCAGAAAACAUCCAAUAUCAAUCAAUGAUUAACAAGAAAUAGAAUCCUUUUCCCACAAUCAAGAAAAAUGAAAGAAAAGUCAAACAAAUUUGCACCUGAAUAGAGGUCAGUAUAGCUGCAACAUCAUAUAUAGGACUCCACUGAUUUUGUAAAAUAUCCAAACAAAUACUUCCAUCUGCAUAGACUGAACAAACCAUAGGCACAAGUCAGAAAUCAGAGUCAAUCAUUACGAAGACCAUGUGCAAUAUAAUAACAAGCAACAUAUCAUUUAUCACCAAAAUUCAAAGAGAACAAUAACAAGAAAAAUAUAAUUAAUAAAUAAAUAGAAAAAUAAUUUACAAAUAACAUACUAUUUGGAUGAAACAUCCGUGAGACGAAACGAACUGUUGGGGGUUUAUUUGGAUAAUCCUCUGUGAAUUGUAGAGUCAACUUGAACGUACCUGAAGAAAUUCAAGAAAAUGCUUAGAUGACAAAUGCAAAAACCUAAAUAUUUCAACUGUAAAGACAAAGGAUAAGGCAUAAGCAAUCAUUUUUGUUAAGUAGGAGUAUUUAGGCCUCAAAUGCGACUGAAAGCAAGGAUAGCACGAUAUAGAAACAGAGGUAUAAUUAUUUACUAAAGCAGAUUGUCCACCAUCAUGCAGCAAUCGAUCUAAAGCCACUUCGGCAAUUAAAAUUCCAUCAAAAACACCAUUUACAUAAUUGGAACGUGAAAGCAUCGUUUACAAGAUAGCUCAUUCUGCUCAUAUUGACAGUCCUUCUGAUCAAAGAUGAUGACAAAAAAAAAAGAAAAAAAAAAGAAAAAAAAAAGAGGUGAUCGAAUUUUCUCAACAUCAAACCGGAAAAAAAAAAAAAAAAAACCACUAACACAAACAUGGACAAGGUAAUUAAAUUGUAACAAUAUAUACAAGUUAUGACCCACAACAGCAAAUACAACACAAGCCAAGAACCAUAGGAAUUCAACCAUGUUCUAUACACAGAAUCAGCUUAGUUACAGGCAAAAUAAAAAAGUCAGCUCAUCAAAGCUUUCGCUUAAUUAUACAUUAAAACUAAUGAACGAAACCUAACAAGCAAAAGCUGAGUGAAAAAUGAAAUCAAAAGCAUAAAAUUAUUUCUAUAAAGUAAAAAGACAAUAAAAUUCCCACCUCCGUCCCAGGGAGUAUCAUCGGGCCUGCAAAACACCACGAAAAAGGAAAAAAAAAUCAAAACAAAAACCAAAAGAAGUACAAAAAAGAAGAAAAGGAAGAAAAGAAAGUGUACCCAAAAAUAACGGCGUUCCACAACAUGAUGUUGUUGUCUUGAGGGGCACCGCUGAUGCCGGCGGGUGGAUCUUGCUGGAGGCGCUUGAAGUCCCGCAUCAGCCGCUUCUUCGCCGGUGUUGACAUGGCGACGUCGUGUUCUACAGAGAGAGAACGAGAGAGGAAAGUUCUAGAGAAAAGAGGGAUCUGAGCAAAAAUCUAAUCUAAAGAAGACUUUGUUGCUGCAUACGAGUUGCCAUGACAUAGCAAUAGGCCCAGGCAAUAGGCAUAACCUGUGCAACACCGCCAGCUAGUUUUGGUUUGUGAAUUGUGAUUGUGAUUUGUGAGUCCCACGCACACACUCUAGUCACAGCCGCCUUCUACUUUUUAUUUAUUACGCGUCGUGGGAUCUGAGCUGUUCAAACUUCAAAUUGUUUUAUGUCAUUUACCGCAAGGGCCACGUAAUUUUGUUAUGUAUUUCGAAAGAAAUUAACCGCCGCCACCACCACCAAAUUACUUUAUUUUUUAAGAAUCAUCCAUUUUACCAGUAAUUGUUUGUAAUGCUGAAAUAUCUUGCAUGGGAGUGGAGAGGAUAAAGUAUCUGAAACUCUUCAAUUUAAUUUAAUCCGAAUUGGGGUUCGCAUCCAGUUCGGAAACUUUUCUCACCCUUCACUGGCCCCAACGUUCAGAUUCUUAUGCUACUAAAUUUUAAUUCUAUAAUAUUAUCCCUCUCCUCUCGACGACCCAUAAAUAAAUACACACCUUAUUUUGAAAAUUUCUUUCCCAUAUUAACCCUCGAAUAAAUGCAGAAUUUUCUGGUCUUUCAUUUUGGCUUGACAUCAUCUAUAAUGGUCUGAUGGGGGCAGUUACAGUACAUGCAUGUAUCUCAUACAUGCAUGCAUAAAAAAUUAUCGUUAGAUUAAAUGGAGUAGAUCCAAUGGUUGAGAUUCAUCUUAGUGUUAAAUAAUAAAAAAAUUUACAAGAAAUGAAAACAUGUAAAACUGGCAACUUGAAACUUUGAACUAAUAAAUAUGAAACAACUACCAUUAAUAUUGAUAUUAUAACCAUUAAACUUGAAACCAAAAUAACUUGAAACUUUAGACAACGAAUAUGAAACUUGUGAUCAUAAACUUGCAAUCUCAAGAAUCAUACAAAUCAUGUACCAAUAAUAUAUGAAACAACUACGAUUAAUCUUGAUAUUAUGACCAUUAAACUUAAAAAUAAAGUAACUUGAAACAUAGGGUAAUGAACAUAAAACUUGAGAUCCUAAAAAUCAUACACAUCAUGAACCAAUAAAUAUAAAACAACUACCAUUAAUAUUGAUAUUAGGAUCAUUAAACUUGAAACUAAAGUAACUUGAAGCUGAGAGCAAUGAACAUGAAAUUUGGGAUCAUUAACUUACAACCCUGAAAAUCAUGCAAUUAAUAGACCAAUAAACAUGAAACACCUACCGUUAACUUGAUAUUGUGACCAUUAAACUUGAAACCACAAAGAAUUUGAAACUGAGGGCAAUACACAUGAAACUCAAGAUCAUAAACUUGCAACCCUGAAAAUCAUGUAAUUAAUGAGUCAAUAAACAUGAAACACUAUUAUUAACUUGAUAUUAGAACCAUUAAAUUUGAAACUAAAAAAACUUGAAACUGAGGGUAAUGAACAUUAAAUUAGGGAUCAUUAACUUGCAACACUGACAAUUAUACAAUUAAAUAGACCAAUAAAUAUGAAACAUCUAUUGUUAACUUGUUAUGGGAACCAUUAAACUUGAAAUCGAGGGUAAUAAAUAUAAAAUUUGAGAUCAUUAACAACCCUAAGAAUCAUAUAAUUAAUGAAUUAAUAAAUACAAAACACCUACCGUUAACAUGAUACCGAUAUUAUUAAACUUAAAACUAUUUUUUUAUUGUUAUCUGACCUAUAUUAGUAAAAUAAGUAUUAUUUUAUUUCAUAAUUUUUUAAUCGUUUAAGGAGCUCCAAGUUCUUUUUCUUUUUUUCCAACUGUUUGGCUGCCAAGUGGCAAUGUUUUUUAAUUUUUUUAUUCCUUGCAUGUAUGUAUGCAUGUAUUAAUUUAUUAUAGCACAGGCCUGAUUGCAAGCAAAAACACUUUAGGGUCCUACGCUCAUCCUGUUCGCUCAUAGCCUAGCAACAACCGAUUCGCGCCUCAAAACAUUUUCUAUCACUCUUCUCUUGCCCCGCCUACGUAAAUUUGGUGACAAUCAUCACCACAAGGUUAACAGUUGAAGAGGAGAGACAAAAAGCUAGCUGCCUAACUGCCAAUGCCUGUUAAGUUACGUCCUGCAUCCCAUCAAGUAUGGUCCUGUAGCCACCUCCUAACUUAAUUGCCUCCCUUCAUCCCUAUUUCAGAGAAUAUAAUUACAAGGUUUCACCUCCAGCAAUGCGGACAUUGUCAAGCUCAAGCAUAUUGAAAAACAUAGAUAAAAAAGAGGGAGGUUAUAAUACAUUCCAACAGUAAUGGAGAAAAAAGGGCUUCAACAGAAUAAGCAAUCACCAUAAAAAUACAAUGCAAGAUGGCCGUUCACAACAUCCAAAAAUCCGACUAAAUAAUUCCAAUGAAAAAGAGCUCCUCUGAGGUUGUCUUAAGACAUACAUCACUGAUUCACUGCAGCAAUAAUACCCCUAUACAAAUGCUACAGAUAAAUUACAGUUACAUGAAAGAUGUUGAAAAGAAGAAGAUGGAAAUGUUGAGAAAUUAACAAGAGGUUCAACCAGAGCUAUCUGGGAGGAAGAAUCUGAAGAGAUUCUCUAAUAACAAUGCACCUGAAAUCAGAUUGAUUACGGAGUACACGACUAUUGAACAAACCAGCCACACCAGCCCCAGUUUUCAUCUUUUAUUUCUACAGCAUAACCGGCCGGUGCUUUCAUUGGACUUUUAGUCGGCUGUCCAGCUUUGCUCCACUAUUUCACGCACUCUUCGGUUGUACUCUCGUUUAUUCUCACUAAACAGCCGAGCUGCUUCAGAAUUUGCAGGGGAGUUUGGAUUUGGAUCACAAAGCAGCGACUGGUAAAGACAUAUAAGUAGUGUCAUGUUAGAAUCAUAAAUACAACCACUGCGAAUCUCACAAGCUCAUUUGCUUCAAGAUCAACCAUCAUUUGUACUAAAUAUCAUUUGAAAACCAAGUUGGCAAGUGCAUACAUAACAUAUUUGAAAGCAAUUGACUAACCAAUUACACCAAAAAAAAUAAAGUUUUGAAAUAAUGGGGAAGAUAAUACAGGGGGCCAACAUAUGGUGACAGAAUCAAUGAAACCUGGUACUAAGGAACAUUUCAAUUUAAUGAAAACAUGUGUACUAACUAACAUCGACAUAGCAAAACAGGAUAAAAUAUCCUGAAAACCAAACAAUGCAAUCCUUGUCAUCACAAGGCAAAUAUGGAAAUGUUCCAAUGCAUUUUAGUAAGUAUUAGAUAUGGUACGUACAACAACACUUUUUUGAAAAUUGGAUAUUGAUGAUCGUCUCAAACAUGGAAGAUUCACUUUUUAACUUUGUUUAAUAUAACAAAAAAAUAUACAUAAUGAUGCAAAAAGGCCUUCACGGUACAGAAAUGUAAGCCGACAGAUGCUUUCGGACGUCAUGAGCACUAAGAUCUUAUUAGGUUCAGAUACUCUUAGAUAUAUUUAGCCAAUAAUAUCAUAUGUUUGACUUAGUUGAGUAUACCAUUCAAACUAUCUCCUCAUUUCCUUAAAAUGGGAGGAAUUACAUAUACACGAAACAAAAGGACAAAACAAGUUACCAGUCAUAUCAUUAGUAUCUUCUUUCUUUGAUGCAAAAGCACAAUUUUCUUGCAAGUUCUCGAUAAUCAGGCAUUAAUUAUAAGAAAUUAAGCACAGUGAAAACAUCCAAUUUCAAUCAAUGAUAAACAAGAAACAGAAUCUCUUUCCAAUAGACAGGAAUGAACAAGAAAAGUCAAAACGAAGUUUCACCUGGAUGGAGGUCAGUAUAGCUGCAACAUCAUAUAUAGGACUCCACUGAUUUUGUAAUAUAUCCAGGCAGAUACUUCCAUCCGCAUAGACUGAUCAAACCAUAGGUAAAGAGUCAGAAAUCAAAAUCAAUCGUUAUCAAGACCAUGAGCCAUAGAAUCCCUAUAGCACAAUAAUCAGCAAAAUUCAAAGAAAGAAUAAUAGCAAGAAACUUAUCAUCAAUAAAACAUUAGCAACAAAAUUUAAAAAUAAGAUAAUGACGUACUAUUUGGAUGAAACAUCCGUGAAACGAACCGAACUGUUGGAGGUUUAUUCGGAUAAUCCUCUGUAAACUGAAGAGUCAACUUGAACGUACCUAGAAAAGUUCAAGAAAUAGCUAAAACAACACUUGCAAAAACCUAUAACUUUCAAGAAAAAGAGACGCUAUAACGAAAUAUGAUAAGUCAUAGGCAAUCAUGUUACUUAAUGGUGGUUCAGGUUUAGUGGGAGUCUUUAUUUUAAGCCUACAAUGUAAAUCAAAGCAAGUAUACCAUAACAUACAACCUAACAUAUAAUUAAUUACAGAAGCAGAUUGUCCACGAUUAGGUAACAAAAAUUCAACAAAAAUAAGCUACAAUCAAAUAUUAGGCAAAACCAAUAAUUCAGCUUAACAAAAGUUUUACAUUUUUACAGCUGAAUGAAAGUAAAAUUAAAAGCAUAAAUAUUUUGUAAAAAUCAAAGAUAAUCAAAUACCCACCUCCGUCCCAGGGAGUAUCAUCAGGCCUACGAAACAUCACCAAAUGAAAAACAAACAAGAAAAUCAAAACAUAAACCAGAAAAGUUACAAGACAAAAACAAAGGUUAAUUAAAACAAAUACCCAAAAAUAACGGCGUUCCAUAACAUGAUGUUGUUGUCUUGAGGGGCCCCGCUGAUUCCGGCGGGUGGAUCUUGCUGGAGGCGCUUGAAGUCCCGCAUCAGCCGCUUCUUCGCCGGUGUUGACAUAGUGGCGUUUUAGAGAGCAAAACUGAGAAGCGGCUUUUGCAGAGGGGGGGAGGGGGGAGAAUGAGAGAAGAAGCUUCUAGAGAAAGAAGAGAUCUGGGCAAAACCUUGUGAGGAUGCUGCAUGCGAGUUAACAUGACAAUAAUGGGCCGGGGCCGGGGUUGGCUGAGCAGUGAGCACCAAUUUUUCUUUUUUUAAUUUUAAUGUUUAACGAUAAAGUUACAAAUUUUUCCACGCAUUUUUAUUUUAUUUUAUAUUGAUAUUAAUUCAAUUCGUUUUAGUCAGUGGGCUGAGGAAAAAUAUACAUAUGGUCCCCACGCCACACACAAGUAGGACACCUAUGUAUUUAUCGAAAUUGACCUUGGCCAAAACUCCUUUCCAAAAUCGUCUUGCAUCCUUCACAUGUUCUCUCAUUGGAAAGCAUGUAGUGCAGCAAUAUGUCAAACACCAGUACACCACCCGCAAAAUUCUACAGAGAGUAUGAGUAUAUUGAGGAAUUUGAUAUUAUGGAUGCAUUUUUGUCCAUAUUUGCAAAUUCCUCAUUUUCUCAAAUGCUUAGCUCAGCACUCCUGUCAUUUAAUGAAAACCAUCAGGGACGAUAAUGAUAUUCGCAAACCCGUAAAUCCAUUCACACCAGUCCGUUGCGGGUUGUGAGCGGGUUUGAUAUUAGGAAUUGAAAUUCGCACUAUGUUGUAGGUGGAUUUAGUAUUAGGUACAUAUCCGAUGGAUACUCACAUGAAUAUCUGCCAAAUCUAUAAUUUUUUUAAUACAAUUUUAAUUAAAAAAAUAAUUAAAUCUAAAAGUAUAUAAAUAAAAUAAAUAUAGAGUGCAAACAUGUCAUGUGUGGUGUGUGCAAGUUGCAACUCAUAACCUAACCUAAAGGAAACCUAACUUAAAGGAAACCCAAACUAUUUCUUUUUCAUCUGUGAGCAGCAGUCGCAAAAUCUAACCUUCUAAACUAUUUCUCUUUCACCCAUGGGCAGUAGCCGCACACCCAUUUUCCUUUCACCCGUGAGCCGCAGCCGCACACCCAUGAAAUUUUCAUGGCAUUUGUGGUUAUUUUUUAUGGAUUUAUAUAUUUCAUACUUAAAAUCGAGAAUUUGUAUAGAAUUGAUGUUGAAAUUUUAAUUUUAUAUUUACAUUGAUUAAAUUUAAAAUUCAGUAUAUUAUGUGGAAUUUUAGCUUAAUAAUAUAAAUUUACAUAUUGAUUUUUAUUAAUAUAACCUUUCGACAGUCAAAUCAGUCACCAGACUUUUGGAAAUAUAAAUUUAGAAGGAGAAAGAUUAGAGAGAGAAAGUUAGACUUUUUACUUUUUGAGUCUAUUUUUUUUCUUACAUUUUAGUGAGAAUGAAAGACAUAUUUGUCGACCAAACGGAUUUGACUUAAGUCUUAGCUAUUUUGAUGACAAAUGUCAUUGCUCUUGUGACAUUUGACAACACUUAUUUUUUAGUACGCAUGUUGAUUGACAUAUGGAUAUACAAACUUAUCUAUAGAUUAAAGGAAAAAAACGUUUUAUCUUUAGGUUAUUUUUACUAAGACCUUGAGAUUAUAGGAGCCUUUAAAUUUAAGAGGUUUGUCCUACGAUAAGAGCCUAGAACCUCAACAUCUUUUGGGCUUUGAAGUCUUAUUACUUAGGAGAAUCAUUCUAGGUGAUUUGUCCACCACUUCGUGGGCUUAAUUGAGAGAAAAUUUAUUAAAUGGGCCUUAUUGAGAUUAAAUUUCUUUGGGCUUUAUUAAAUCUAUUUUAUUUUUGAUCCAACACCAACUUGGAUUUAAGAUUCAACACUGCCUCCUUUAGUUGGAAAGAGUUCAACUUCCCUUCUUAGUUUGUAUAAAAUGUAAAUUUCUUCAUAAUUUAUUAUAUCUAAAUUCUUCACCUUUUGGGGUCAAUUUAGCUACGCUAAUCAGAGUUGACCCCGAUAAAUUUGUAAUCUUUUUUGUUUCAUUGUAUGUUGUUGUGUGUUUAGUCCUCUAUCUAAUACAUCCGUAUCACAAUUGCUUGUACGCUAAUUUCCUACUGUGUAAUUUUUUUAUGUUAUUUCGUUAAUUUCCUCCAACAUGACUCGGGGACAGGCUGCUGCGAGUGGGACUGUGAGGUCUUGCAAUCCAAUUAAUUGGGCAUAGUGAUGGACCAGGACUGUAUAUAAAAGAACUGCUUAAAGAUCGUACAAUCUAGCAUCGGCAAGGCCAGUGCUUUCUAUGUAUUUGAUUACUAUGACUCCAUAAAAAGUAUAUAACAUGUACUGUAAAAUCACUUAAACUGUUAAUUAUUAAGAGAAAACUAAAGAAAAAUCAAGAAACCCUGAACAUAAAACGGAAGUUAAUUUGUUCUCCUGUGAUUGUGAAGUAUCUGAUGAUGAUCAUUAGUAAACAUGAUUGGAAUCUGACUCUCUUCUUCAUCAUCUUCGUCGUCGUGGGCAGGCCUUGAAAGUUCAUGAAGAGGCUCCAUGCUGUGGCAAGAUAGCACUGUCUCAGCUGCAAAGUCGAAGUUGGAAGUAAGGUUGCUCAUGUUGAUGAAGUUUGUGGAGGCCGAGGAGCUGUUUGAGUAAGCAGGCUGCUGUUGCUGUU